CGACCCCCCUUAAUUUACUUUUUCAUUUACUUUUUCAAUCAAUCAAAAAACCUUGCAUAUAAUAGAACCCACGGUUUGAAAGUAAAAAAAACAAACCUAGGGCACGAAACUAAAUAGAUCCACUUGACUUAUCACAAUGAAUUAUAUUUGUUCGAUACACUGUUGUCAAUAGAAAUGUUGCGAAAAGAAUAUAUGGAAAAAAAUACAAUAAAUUCAAUUGACAGUUAAAAUACAAACUGAUCAAAUCGUUGGAUUGACACUGCAUAUCUAAAUAAUUCUAUUCUACACGUGUAGAUGAGAAAAUAAAUAAGGACGUGGUGAAAAAGUCCCUGAUUUAUUUAAUCCACACCAAUCAAAAAUGUAUUCAAUAAAAAAUAAAAUAAGUAGAAUAAGCAAACUUACCUCGAUUCCCUCUUUCUUUUUUAUAAGACUUUGUCGCAUAGAAUAUGAGAAAACAAUGAAAAAUAGAUACUAAUAGGGCGGGAAGGGGGGGUGUAGUGACUUUUCUAUAAUUUUAUAGAAUCUUUCUCUAUUCUUUUUUAUAUACCCCCUUUUUGCAUUUCUUUCCUUAAUUGAACUUCAUUUGAUUAGGGCGAAGUUCCUUAAAAACCCCCGCCUUUUUAAAAAUAUCUUGAACAGUUCCUGUAGGUUGAGCACCCUGUUCAAGGAAAUAUAGAAUAGCAGUAACGUUUAAAUAAGUUUGAUUCUUUAUCGGAUCAUAAAAACCCACUUUCUGCAGAUCUUUUCCUUCUCUUCGGGAUCGAACAUCAAUUGCAACGAUUCGAAAGACAGCUCAUUGAGAUAGAUGUAAAUGAACAAUACCCCUCCUAGAAACGUAUAGGAAGUUUUCUCUUCGUACGGCUCGAGAAAAAAAUAAUUUGAUUCGAAGUUUUAUCUAUGUAUUGAAUUCUAGUAAAUCAUAAAAGGUGCAUAAAAUCAUCAAAUCAAUUAGACUGCGGUUUAAGUCUUUUUUUUCUUUUUCAUUCCUGAAAAAAAAAAAAGAAAUCAUUCGUACUCAUAACUCAAGUUAGAUAACUUUUAAAUAGCUCAAAAGAAAAUUGUUAGGCAAUUUCAUUUAUUGAGUGGUCUUUACCCCCUUAUUUGUCUCCUUUAAAAUUUUUAUUUCUUAUCUUAAGAUACUAAGUCGGGCUCAUUUAUUGAGACAAUUUAAAUGGUGUUUCCUUGUUCUGAGAUCCUUUAUCAAUCAUUGGGUUUAGACAUUCCUUCGGUCCUUCUUAAUCCUUUCAAAAUGGCAGCAACAUACCCUUUUUGGAAUUUCCUUCUAUCAAAGAAUCUUGUGGACAUUUGAUUCCCGCGUGAUACACUUUGGGUCGAAAAAGUUUGAUUAAUCCCAACAAAUUUUCCUUUUGAAUGGGAAACUUCCUCGAAUAGGAUCCUUUCGAUUUUUAUAUCGAAGUUAUAUUCUCACGAAGUUGUUCCAAUUUAUUGAUUUGCAUUAACCCUAGAUUUUUGCUCCGAGAAAUCAAUUAAUACUUUCUACUCGAGCUCUAUCCUGGACUAUUUACAUUACCAAAUGAUGUCGAGCCAAGAGCACUUUCAUUCCUAUAGAAAUGGAAAAUGGUGGAUAUAAUAAAGAAUCCACAAAAGGUCGUCUCCUUCAAGUCGCACGUUGCUUUCUACCACAUCGUUUCAAACGAAGUUUUAGCAUAACAUUCCUCUAAUUUGGAACCGGUAUGGAAUUGAUUCAAUUAUGGAAUCAUGAAUAGUCAUUGGUUCAAUUAGUGCAUAGACGUCGUACUCUAUACUCUUUUUAUAGAUAGAUAUAGAUCAAUAAAGAUUUUUCUAAAGAAGUUUUAGUAAGACCUCUAUCAAAGAGUCCAUUUAACUUCUAAGGAAUCAUUAAAAAUAUUCAUAAUUUUAAAAAACAUUCAUAAUUAAAAAAGCUCGUAUCAUUAUUUGAAUAAAAUUGACAAUAAGGACCCUAUUUGAUCAUCGUAGAAAAGAUAAGUCCUUCUUAAUUGAAUUAAAUUAAUAAACUAGAGCAAACAAAAAAAUAAAUAGGUAAGGGAGGGGUUUUCGUAUCUAUCAAAUCAACUGAACAACUGCCCUGUCACCAUUCUAAUCUAAAUAGUCUAUAUUACAAAUUUCAAUUUGUAAUUUUCGUAUCACAAAACUUUUUCACACAAAAAUCGAAAGACUUUUAUUAGUGAAAUAGAACAAUAAAAACAUAUACGAUAAACUUUUCCUCAUUUUAUAUGUAUUUUUUUAAGUAACAUUAUUAUCUUACUAGAAAUAGAAAGUGAAUAAAAAAUAAUAAAAGAUAUAAAGCACCACCAUCUCAUGUGUUACAUAGAUUUACAAUUUUUCAUUAGGACCCAACACGAAAUACCCAAACUGAGAUUCAAAGAAAAUAUAUCGGUUGUUAAAUAUAUAAUUACAUAAUAUAGCAUUGGAGUUUUGUUAAAUUUUUGAUAAUGUAGUUCGGACAGACGCAAAUAUUUUAAUAUCUCCCAUUAAUGAUUAAUUCUUAUCUGCUCACCCAUUCUAUGGGAAUAAUGGGACAUAACAGAAAUGAAAAAGGGGAUUCUGAUCGCAGAUACAAACUACCUAGACACAAAACUAAAGAAGUCCAGAUUAAGCUGUUCCUUUUUUUAUUUCAACCUAACCUAUAUUAACAUUAAGAGACUUAAUUCUAUUGAGUUUGAGUCAACUUUAUUAGUACCAAAUAUAGUUAGAAUUCAGAAAUCCAUAGAAAAAUUAAUAAAUAAUUAGACUACCCCAUUUACGAGAUAAAGAAUAAUAGAUAGAAUCGUUGAAAAUUUCAAUUUUGAUAAAAUAGAAAAUAGAUAUGGGACAGAGGGUUUUUCUAAAUAACUAACUUCUCUAAAUUAGGAAGAUUUUGAACAUAUAAUGAAAAGAUCACUCGCCCUUUUUGAAUUUGAAUUCAAACGUGUGGAAUUCAUGUUCCCAUCUUACCCGGAUCCUAAAUAGAUUAAUUUAUACCUGCGUGUUAUUUGAACUCGAUUGAGUUAAGUUUGUGAAAAAAGUAUGAUUCAUAAAAGAUAAAAAUCAGAAAUCAGAAACACAUUUCACCUAAAAUUAGACUUUAAAUAAAACCUUCUUUAUUCUAUUUUAAAUUAAUAAUAACACAAUGGAUAUGCUCUGGGACGGAAGGAUUCGAACCUCCGAAUAGCGGGACCAAAACCCGAUGCCUUACCGCUUGGCCACGCCCCAUUUAGAUUUUAUUCAACACUAAUAUAAAGAAUAAUGGUUGUUUGUCAACCCCAAUCGAAAUAUCUCUACAAUAAAAUAAAUUAUUACUAGGAUUUUGAUACGUGUAGAUAUAGACUUCAACUUAAUUUAUUGAUCAUUAGAUAGAAUUCUAUUAAGAUAUUGUAUGAAAGUAUGAUUUCUUCUAUUCUCUUUUGAGAAUUGGAGGAUUUUUGAUUGGGUGGGUUCAAAAGAAGGAUUUUUUAUCUACCUUAAUUGUUCUCCUUUUCCUUAGUUAUUUUCCUUACUUAUAUCAACAACUCAAUCAAAAUGCAAUUAUCUCCAAGAAAAAAAAGUCUGUUAUGCUUAAUAUUUUUAGUUUAAUCUGGAUCUGUCUUAAUUCUGCCCUUUAUUCGAGUAGUUUUUUCUUCGGAAAAUUGCCCGAGGCCUAUGCUUUUUUGAAUCCAAGAUAGGAUCAUCCCAUAGUUGGUAGAUAGCAUCUCGAAUAGGGAAAUUGGACAUAAUCAAGAUAGGAUCAUCAAAAAACCAUCACAAUUGGAGUGUUGUGAAAACGGCCUUCAAAACCAAGCAUGGUCUCUACGAGUGGCUAGUCAUGCUUUUUGGGUUGACUAACACCCCUAGUACAUUCAUGCGACUAAUGAACCAUGUUUUGAGGCAUUUCAUUGGAAAAUUUGUCAUUGUUUACUUUGACGAUAUUCUGAUAUAUAGUCGCAGUGAACAAGAACACAUAGAGCAUGUGAGAUUUGUUCUCGAGGCACUUCGACAGGCACGUUUAUACGCUAACCUUAAGAAGUACACCUUUUAUACUAACGAGCUUGUGUUCUUAGGAUAUGUAGUAAGCUCACAGGGAAUCAAAGUGGACGUGUCCAAGAUUGAGGCCAUUAAGCAAUGGCCGACUCCAACAUCCGUCCAUGAGGUGCGCAGCUUCCAUGGAUUGGUGGGCUUCUACCGGCAAUUCUUCAAAGAUUUCAGCACCAUUGCCGCCCCACUGACCGCCGUGACCAAGAAGAAUGACAAGUUCCAUUGGGGGGAGGCCCAAGAACAAGCAUUUCUCACCCUCAAGGACAAACUCACACAUGCACAUGUUCUAGCAUUACCUAACUUUAACAAGACUUUGAAAUAGAAUGUGAUGCUUCUGGUGUAGGUAUUGGCGUUGUCCUCAUGCAAGACAAGAGGCCUUGUGCGUUCUUCAGUGAGAAGCUAGGAGGUGCUGCCCUGAACUACCCCACGUAUGACAGAGCUUUACGCACUUGUAAGAGCAUUGGAGACCUGGCAACACUACCUCCGCCCAAGGGAGUUCGUGAUACACACUGAUCACGAAUCCUUGAAAUUUCUCAAGGGCCAGCCAAAGUUAAGCAAGCGCCAUGCCAAGUGGGUAAGUUUUAUCGACACCUUCUCCUAUGUCAUUAAGUACAAAACUGGCAAAACGAAUAUGGUAGCUGAUGCUUUAUCUCGUAGACAUUCUUUGCUUGCUGUUCUUGAUGCCAAGUUGUUAGGGUUUGAGAUGCUCAAGGAGAUAUAUACCCAUGACCAUGACUUUGGGGAAAUCUAUGCAUCUUGUAUAAAGAGUCCACAUGGAAAGUAUUUCAUGCAUAAUGGAUUUUUAUUUUAUGUGGAUAAAUUGUGUGUCCUUAACUCUUCCAUUCGUGAUCUUUUGGUUAGAGAGGCACACGGUAGUGGUCUCAUGGGACACUUUGGCAUUGUUAAGACUCUAGCCAUGUUACAAGAGCACUUUUACUGGCCGCACAUGCGUAGGGAUGCUGAACGCAUGGUUGGUAGAUGUGUCACUUGUCAUAAGGCAAAGUCUAAAACAAAUCCAUACGGCCUGUAUACCGCAUUGCCUAUUCCUCACUAUCCUUGGGUAGACUUGUCUAUGGACUUUGUCUUAGGCCCACCUCGGUCACCAAGGGGUAAUGAUUCCAUCUUUGUCGUGGUUGAUAGAUUCUCUAAGAUGGCACAUUUUAUCCCCUGUCACAAAACUGACGAUGCAUCUCAUAUUACUAAUUUGUUUUUCAAAGAAAUUGUCCGUCUGCAUGGCAUGCCUAAGACUAUUGUUUGUGAUAGAGAUGUAAAGUUCUUGAGUUAUUUCUGGAAGACUUUGUGGUCUAGGCUUGGCACUAGAUUGUUAUUCUCCACCACCAGUCAUCCACAAAGCGAUGGACAAACUGAAGUUGUCAAUUGUACAUUUGGUACUCUACUUCGGGCUUUGAUUAAAAAGAAUCUUAAAACUUGGGAAGAGUGUUUGCCUCAUGUUGAAUUUGCCUACAAUCGAACUGUUCAUAGUGCUACACACUACUCACCUUUUGAGAUUGUUUAUGGCUUUAACCCGCUGACCCCCCGGAUUUGGUACCCUUACCUUUCUCUAAGCACACAAACUUAGAUGGGAAAAAGAAAGCUGAUUUUGUGCGCAGGUUACAUAAAGCUGUUAGAGCAAACAUUGAGAGGCGUACUCAACAAUACAUCCAGCAAGCCAACAAGCACUGCCGUAAGAUGGUUUUUGAGCCUGGAGACUGGGUUUGGCUACACUUGAGGAAGGAGAGAUUUCCCAAGCAGCGACAAAACAAGUUAUCCCCAAGAGGAGAUGGACCCUUUCGAGCGUUCCAACGAGUCAAUGACAAUGCUUACAAAUUGGAGCUACCUGGGGAGUACACUGUUAGCGCGACCUUCAAUGUCGCCGAUUUGAGCCCAUUUCUUGACGAAGAGGAUCCAGAUUUGAGCGCAAAUCCUUCUCAAGAGGAGGGGACUGAUGUGUGCAUGGACCUCGGCUCGCGCAAUGACCCAGUUCAAGUACCAUUGUGCCCAGUCACACGUGCACGGGCUAAGCAAUUCAAGGAAUCACUCCAAGCCCUUGUGCGGAAUGUUCAAGACCAACAAGGGGUUCAUCGAGACAUUGAAGGCUUGAAAGGUGAUAACCCAGUUGUCUACACGAUGAUCCAAGCCCGCGAAGAGACCCCAUGAAGAGCCCAAGCGGCCCAUGGCCGAUUAGGCCUUAGUGUUAGGAGUCUUAAGUUAGAUUAGUCCUUUUGUUAGCCAUGGAUUCGGCCCACCAUUUUGUUGGGGGAUGACCGAACCCCUAGGCCCUUUGAUUGAGUCCAUGGAUCGGCCCACCCUAUCCAAGGAGUGGCCGACCAACUAGCUAGUCGAUAUUAGGGUUUUGAUAUUAGGGUUUCCUUAGUCUUGCCUAUAUAAAGGCUUGCUUUGUAAGCAUUAAGGGUAGACGUUUUAUCAAUAAAAGUUUGUUAUUUUCGAUUCUUUUUCUUGAGAGAGAAUUCGAGCCUUUCACUUGCUUUGGCAAGGGUUUUGAGAAAUCUUGCGUCUUAUCCUAGAUUGUUCUACCGACCUAUCCAUUAGAGUAACCACCUCUGUGGAGUCGUCGUUCUACCGCCUAUAAUCAAAUCGUGUCGUCCGUUUGAUUCCAGGUUCUGCAAUCCAAGCGUUAGACAACCUCGCUAGAUCCUUGGGCAAACGUGCUACGUGUCUCGAAAUAAGUUGAUCGAGGACCGUAUCAAUCAAGCUUGUAAAAAGCCAGAACUGAUUACCAAAGGAAAAUGCCAGGCUUGUGCUCCAUACAAAGGAAGGAAAAGGUUUAAGAGAUUUAAGAGAUUCAAAAGUUUCAGCAAAUCCUAUAAGGAUUUCCCAAGAAAACCUUUUAGGAAAAAAUGGAGAUAUUUUAGACGGAAGUCUAAAAGAUUCAGAGGAACCAAAGGAAACGAAUGUUUCAUUUCUGGAAAGUCAGGACACUAUGCCAAGAAUUGUCCACAAAGCCAAAAGGGAGUAAAAUUAAUUUCAGAAAUUCAAAAUGAACUUCAUUUCCAAUUAUCUGAUUUAGAAUUUGAAUUUUCUGAACAAGAGGAACCACCUGACUCUACUCUUUUGGCUUUACAGGUUCGGGAAAAAUAUUUGAUUGCUGUUUACAGAUUUAUUUGAUUACUUAGGUUGCCUACUAUCCGGUGGUUCUGAAGUAACAGGGGUAAACAUGAGACAUGUAAACUCUUUGGGAUGUUUAACAACGGGCUCUUUUCGGGAAAAGAAAUCAGCAACAAUAUUUUUCUUUCCUUUGAUAUGUUUAACUUCAAAGAAAUAUUGUGAAAACCAUGCUGACUAUCUCAAGAGUUGUGGGUUUGGGAUUAUUUUUUGUUGGAAUUGCAGCAUCUUAGGAAAUGAUCCCAUAUCCAUUUCAACCAAGAAAUGAUGAGAUAUCAGAAAGAAAGAAAAUUUCUUCAUACCAUUUUUUACUGCAAGAAUUUCCUUGAAAGUGGAAUGAUAGUGUUGUUCUAAAUUUUUAAACUUUCCACUUGCAAAUUCACAACAAUGCCUGGUUUCCUGUUCAUCUUCUUCAAGAAGAAUUGCUCCCCAAUAUCUGUCACUGGCAUCAGUUUGAAGACUCUUCUUCCCUUGAGAAGGGAUAUAAAGUGUCUGAAGCUGUUGAAGUUUUUCUUUCAAAUUUUGGAUUGCUCGGGUUUGAGAAUAUCCCCAAGGAGGGGGUAUCUUUCUUAGCAUUUUAGUCAGAGGACUAAUAUGCUUGGCUGCUUUGGGACUGAAUUCCCGUACAUAGUUGACAAUACCAAGGAAUUGUUGAACCUGGGUUUUUGAAAGAUUUUCUUCAGGAAAAUCCUGGACAGAGUGUCCAACAUGUUGUUCAGGUGUACAUGUUCCAUUAGCAAUUUUCAUGCCAAGAAAUGAAAUUUCUUGCUUUGCCAAAAACAUUUUCUUUUCAGAAAGCAUUGUGACAACCCCACCCCCCUAGGGCUUACCCCAGGGUUUAGCGGACCUUUCAGCCCAACUCUCGCCAGGACUCACUCAUACGUAACUCGAGAAAGAUACCGCGUCCAUAGAGAAGAAAUGAAACAACAAUCUCAAACUUAACAUAUACAUUGAUGUUCAAAUCUAGUUACAAGGUUUAUACACGCCCAAAACGUUAAAAUAUUUACAACCCAAGUAAAAUCAACCCUAGUCAGGUGUUGGCCGAGUACAAUAGCAAAAUAAAAAAAACUAGACUAUGCUAGUCUGUACAAGUCUCAUGCCUCGCUCGUACCCCAUGUAAGGAAAACAAAUGGAGUGGAAUGAGCUAAAAGCCUAGUGAGGUUCCAAAUAGCAAGUUGACCAUUAUUUAAAAGUACAAGUAUCAACGUAGCAAAAGAACGAGCAUAACAAGUUCAUAAAAGUGAACAAUACACUUCAAGUAACAACUUUCAAAAUGAACGAGUGAAAAAUUCUUUUCUAAAAGAAACAAUAACACUAUGAAUAACAAUCCAGGCAUAAGGAUACCAAUGGAUCUCAGGAGCCAAAUUUCCAUUGUUUCAUCAGAGCUUGAUCAAGUAUUAGUUGACACUCCGUCAACUUUCAAGUAAAGUAACCAGUCCAGUAGAACUUCGCUUAACUCCAAUCCGUCCACCAUUCAACCCCCUUACCGGGCCCGAACACCAACUAAACACUGGUGGUAAUACUCGAGUAUACCGAUUAGUCGAGGAGAUAACACUUCACUCGACAUCACUAACUACCCAUGGUUCGUUAUCUAAUCGACCAAGCCUUUGCCGGCUCGACUCGAUUAACUAGCCAGUAGGGUUUGGGUCCCCAAGAUGUCGAUGAGAUAACAUCUCCAAUCGACUGAAUCAAAAUAAAAGUACGUAGACAGGAAUGAGAGGCACCUCCCACUUGGAUUGAAUGUGGUACAUACUGCCGCUCCGCACUUACAACUCAAGUACAAGUAUAUCAAGUUAAUUGCAACAAUAAACAAGUAUAUACCAUAUUAGGACAAGUGCGAUAAAGUACACUCUUACCCGAUCAAACAAAUCACAUAUCAUUUAUUUACAUUGAUCAAGUAUUGAAAACAAGUGUCCAGCUCAACCAGGUAUUUGGAAGCAUUCACAAAAAUGUAGUGCUUUUCAAAAAUCAAGUUCAGGUCCAACUCCUUGGUUGGAAUCCAAAUCUGCGAUAAAAUAUCAUUGACGAAUGUAAAGCUCUCUAGAGUUCGAAACAUAGGAGCUUUGCUUCAAGAAAAUCAAGUAAAUGCAACUCGUUUAAGUAGUAUUCAAGAUACUUAUCAAAUCUCAAAAAAUUUAUGCUCGCUCGUUUAGUUUCGGUAAGGAAGCGGUUAAAACUUUAGAACUCCCAUUGGAGUCGAAAGAAUGAGGAAAACGUAUUUCUAGUAGUCGUUAUUUCAUUUCCCAAGGGUACAAGUUCGGCCAUGUGACAGCCCCACCUCCCUCUAAGGCGUACCAAAGGGUUCGGCGGACAGCCUGCCCAGCUCUCGCCGGGACUCAGUCGAACCUCAAUUAAAUCCGGAAUGCAACCAAAGGAAUAACAUACAACAAUCCAAUACUUAAGCGAAACUUAUAUACAUUGCUAUCUCAAAAGGAAGUACAACCAUCAAAUGUACAAAGGUUCUCACUUCACCAUACAACCAGCCCGUGCCAAGCACUAGGGCGAGAACCAUUACAAAACCAAAGAAACCAGACUAGGCUAGACUCUACCGAGCUCUCGUCCUUGCUCGCCGUCCCCUGUUAAGGAAAACAAAACUAAAGGAAUGAGCUAAAAGCUCAGUGAGGUUCCAAACACAUAGGCAACAAGAAGUUCAAUGCAUUCACUACAUAUAACCAAUAAUUCAAGAUACAAAUACAAAAUAAAGCGAUAAACACAAUCAUUAAAAGGAUACGGGUUCACAGGAAGCCAUAUAUUCGUUCGUUCAUUCGUUCUCCUGUCAUUCCCCUUAUUCCUCCGGUCAAUUAAAUAAAAUGUAUUUUUGGUAAAUAAACCCCUCGUUCGUUCUUGCAUUUCGUUCACCCCCUCCUGAAAAUUGGCCAGGCUCCACCAACCUACAAGGUAAUACUCGAGUAUACCAACGUUCACACCCAGGGUCACCAUAUCGCCGGACCGAGUCUGCUUCUGGCUCGAGUCGAUCGGUAACGAAGGGCAGGACCUAGUUCAGCCAAACGGCUUACAUUCAUGCGCAACUAAUGUAGCAAUCAUUAAAUCAUUGAAAAUUUCACGUUUCAUUUACGUCGAGUGCGGUAAAGUACACGCUCGCCUAGAAAACUCGUUUUGAAAAUCCUUGAAAGCACUUAACACAUUAUCAAACAAGAACACAAAUCAUAAAGUCAAGAAAAAUAUAGUAAACAAGGAACACUCACCUAUAUACGCAAAACAACGUGCAAAAUAUCCUUCCGGAUAUUAUCUUUAGUCACCAAGAAAACCUAAGAUUAAACAAGAAAGAAUAUUACAGCUCAUCUAACACAAACAAUUAGGUGAAAUCAAAGAACUCAACAAUUGAUGAGUAGAACGUAUAAAAGACUUUAAAGUGAAACGAGGACAUUUGGACCCGUGGACAAGAAUAAUUAGGGUUUCGUAGACCAAACGUAAAACCAAACUAAAGACAAGUCGGAAUCCAACUAGAUAGGCUAAGAAAUACUAUUUUCGGAAUCGUUUAUAUGGUUCAAAAUCAUCUCAUAUUCAAGUAGAUAUUAUACACCAAAGGUCUUAAUGAAAUUCAUGAUAAAAAAGAGGUCAAAAUACCCAAGAAAACCCUAAACCACUCCUCUUUAUUUGGGUAAGAGUAAGUACACAUUUGGAGUUUCCAAUUGAAAAAGGAUCAUAUUUUAAGAUGGAAAACGGUCAUAGUAUUUGCCAAACGAAAAAUAUACAAGUUCAAAUAGAAACUUAGCCCUCGAGCGAAAAUUUGGGCAGCACGCCCUUUGCAUUUACCUAUUUCCCAGCCAUUUAUGGCUUCAUUAUUUUCCUCAAUCACACACAAUAUCAUCUCAUUUCAAUAGCCAUUCCAUAGGCUCAAAGUCAUAUAAGUACAAAAAUCAAGCUAACAACAUGUGCGGAAAUGAAGUUUAACAAAAGACAGAUUUGACGGGUUUUACGUAACGGACACAUCCGAAGCUACGCUUAUCGGAUUGGGAUGUAAUUUAUACCGUUUCGAAGCUAAAACAGAGGGCUACAAUUUUGAUGAAGACCACGUAGUCCAAAUUCCAGUGUAACCUAGUCAAAUUCCCAAUUCCCAGAACCAAGUUCCAACUAAUCGGCUAAUUAACCGUACUACCUUUAAAUGGCCAUAUCGCAGGCUACCAAAGUCCGUUAAAGGCGUUCUUGGAGGUGUUGAAAACCUAAGACAAAGACCUACAACUUUCAUGAAGACCACUCAGUCCAGUUCUCACCCUAACUAGGCCAAAUUUACCAAAAUAACUCCAGAUUUUCAAGUUCGAAAUUCACUGCAGAAAUCCACUAGCAGUCCUGUUUUAUUCACUCAUAUCUCAGCACACACAACUCCAAUUCAGGUAAUUCCAAAGCCAUUUAAAAGCUAAGAUACAAGGCUAUAAUUCUUAAGAAGACAUCAUCAACCAAUUUGGUAAUAUUCCUGGUCAAACUAACCACUUACAGAGGCUGAUUUUCAUUUUCGGACAGAAACGGGGCAGCAGGGGUAUUUCGGUCUUUUCACAGGAUACGUUGCUCCGAUUGAGCUGAAAUGUUUCAUACAACUAUAAAACAUCAUUCUCUACAACUUUUAUGUUUUGUGCUAAGGCUAGUUCGGCCUCUAACAUGGUGAAAUAGAACCGGGCAGAAUUGGGAAAAAAAAUGAAACCCUAAUCUGGAAUUCAUGCAUUCAAGUGCUAAUCUUCCACAAAACAACAUCUAAAACAACUAAAAACCACUACUAAGCAAUUAAUUGAAGUAAAGAAGAGGUUCUUGGCAAAAUACCUCAUCUCCCUAUGAAAGAUGGUAGCUUAGGCUUUGUUCUCCAAAAAUAACUCCACAAACACCUUGGAAACUACUUGGAAAGUAAGUUUUAUGGAGUAGUUUGCAAAUUAAUCGGUUGAAACUCAAGAUUUGGGCAAGAAAUUGAAGUGGAAGAUGAAGAACUCUCUUGAUUUCUCUCUCACUAAUUUCAGCCAAAGGAGACAAGAAAAUGAAUGAAUUUUGGUCAAAAAUCUGAUUUUAGUAAAGUUACCAACCUUGGUCAAAAGUCCAACUUCUAAUAGCAUGGUGACACUUGGCUCCUUUUAGGGUUUUAAGCUUAUCCUUUUGUCUACCAAUGGUAAUUUAUCUAGCUAACUUUUAAUUGUCUCCUAGCACCUUGUAAAAUAAUAGUACUUUGUACAAAAAUCACUUAAUCACCAAAAGUUUAUCGCAUAGCGGGUCCCACGUCCAUAACGCACUUCAAAUUUAACCCGAACUAACUUAUACUAGAAAAAUGGUUGGAAAAACUAUAUUCACUUAUAAAGUGUCCAAGAAAUUAAUGUAGUAAAAUAAAAUAAGGAAAAUGCAUGAAAAGGAAUAGAAUUAAAUGGUAUAAAUUAAGAAACAUUUUACGGGCUCUCACACUCUCUCCCCCUUAAAGAAAUUUCGUCCUCGAAAUUUUCCUUUUAAUGGGAUCCAUCAAAUCUAAAGUAACCAAUGGCCUGUACCUUCUACGUCCUCAAAAGAAACGAGGGCUUUCAUUCCAGUCCCUUCUCUAUUUGACGGUCCAGGGUCGGUCUGGGUUGGCUGCUGGGUUUCUUUCUUUUCGCGCAAUUGAACUGGGCAAUUAGCAAUCCGAUGCUCGGCGCUCCCACAGCGCAGACAUCUUCCCCCCUUUUUCCAACAACCCACUUCAAUAUGAUUUGAUUUUCUACAAUAGCUACAAAAUGGAAAAGGAAUUGAGGUUUGAUCUCUUCGUGAGAUACCUCUCAGUGGUCCUUUUCCACUCGGGUCUCCUCCUGGAGUAUCCUUCCUAAGUGUCUCCAAAAUUUUCACACCACCCGCUCCACGACCCUUCUUAGCAAAUGGCCUACCUUGCUUACCCUGUUCUGGCCUUUGACUCUCAAGAGAUGCGCUCCUUUUGUUUGCAUGGAAGGUCUUCACUUGUGGCCUUGCAAUUUCUGUCCUUUGAGUUUUCUUUGGAACCCCCAUAGAAGUAGUGUUUGGUGCCAUUUCUAAGGCCUCCUCGGAAAUUCCUUCGUAUUUCCUUUUUAGCUCUAAGUUCUUGUGCAAGAGCUCAAUUUUUUCUGAAUACUCGUGCUUCCAUCGCCCUUCCCAGUAUGCGGCUAGUUUCUUUUGGACUUCUAUUUCGUCUCGAAGAACCACGAUUUCCUUAUACAUCUCAACCCAAUGUGCCAUAUCACAAAAUUGCUGGAACUCAGAUGAUAGCCUGUCGGGCGAAACAAUGGGUCAUAAUAAAUUCUUAAAUACAAGUGGCACUCUCGGUCCGUGUUUUGUUCAGCUGUUGUUUCCCCUUUCUUCUCUUGACUCUUGGCCUCACUUUGUUCCACGGUUAUGACCAUGUCCGCGACUACGUCUUCCUUCCAUAUAUAUAUAUAGUUUUUCCCCUCCCUCUUUCUUUUCUUUUCAAAAGGGUACUUUAAUGAAUGAAUGCAGUAAAUUGACUAAAAUAACAAAAUCAAACAUACCAAAUACACAAAUAAACAUAUCCGCACAUAACACGCCAUAUCAAGAAGACAGAUAAACAAAUACACAAAUACAUAUCAAGUUGGCCAGAUAACCAUGUACACAAACACACAUACUAACGUCAGGUGGUAGCAAUAUACGGGCGAAUCAAAAGGAAAGGUGAAGUCGUCCCAGUCUCAGCUAAGAUAACCCCGUCCGGUCUCUCACGUCACUUACUAUCCAAACUAGAUGUCCAUUGACCUCUUGUACUCAUUCUAGCCAGACAAAGCCUGUUCAUGUUCCCAAAAUGCAAAUCUCAAAUACUUAACCCCGCCUCAACUCUGGAGUACUCGGGCACAAGAAUCCGAAAUAAGACAAUUCACGUCUCGAGCUGGCCAGUCCCAAGAGUAAACUAUCUACAAUCGAAAUUCCACCCUGACGUACCUAUCAACGGUCCUCAGAUACCACGGAAAAGAUUUAAGGCCUAUAAUAUUCACAGUUCAUAGCUUAUGCUCGAACGAGCACUUAAUCCUUCAUACCUAUUCACCACUCAGUCCAGGCUCACUUCACGCAGAGACCACGCGAAGCAGGCUCUGAUACCACCUGUGACAGCCCCACCUCCCCCUAAGGCGUACCAAAGGGUUCGGCGGACCGCCUGCCCAGCUCUCGCCGGGACUCAGUCGAACCUCAAUUAAAUCCGGAAUGCAACCAAAGGAAUAACAUACAACAAUCCAAUACAUAAGCGAAACUUAUAUACAUUGCUAUCUCAAAAGGAAGUACAACCAUCAAAUGUAAAAAGGUUCUCACUUCACCAUACAACCAGCCCGUGCCAAGCACUAGGGCGAGAACCAUUACAAAACCAAAGAAACCAGUCUAGGCUAGACUCUACCGAGCUCUCUCGUCCUUGCUCGCCGUCCCCUGUUAAGGAAAACAAAACUAAAGGAAUGAGCUAAAAGCUCAGUGAGGUUCCAAACACAUAGGCAACAAGAAGUUCAAUGCAUUCACUACAUAUAACCAAUAAUUCAAGAUACAAAUACAAAAUAAAGCGAUAAACAAUUUCAUUAAAAGGAUACGGGCUCACAGGAAGCCAUAUAUUCGUUCGUUCGUUCGUUCUCCUGUCAUUCCUCUUAUUCCUCCGGUCAAUUAAAUAAAAUGCAUUUUUGGUAAAUAAACCCCUCGUUCGUUCUUUCGUUUCGUUCACCCCCUCCUGAAAAUUGGCCAGGCUCCACCAACCUACAAGGUAAUACUCGAGUAUACCAACGUUCACACCCAGGGUCACCAUAUCGCCCGAUCGAGUCCACUUCUGGCUUGAGUCGAUCGGUAACGAAGGGCAGGGCCCAGUUCAGUCAAACGGCUUACAUUCAUGCGCAACUAAUGUAGCAAUCAUUAAAUCAUUGAAAAUUUCACGUUUCGUUUAGGUCGAGCGCGGUAAAGUACACGCUCGCCUAGAAAACUCGUUUUGGAAAUCGUUGAAAGCACUUAAAACAUUAUCAAACAAGAACACAAGUCAUAAAGUCAAGAAAAAUAUAGUAAACAAGGAACAUUCACCUAUAUACGCAAAACAACGUGCAAAAUAUCCUUCCGGAUAUUAUCUUUAGUCACCAAGAAAACCUAAGAUUAAACAAGAAAGAAUAUUACAGCUCAUCUAACACAAACAAUUAGGUGAAAUCAAAGAACUCGACAAUUGAUGAGUAGAACGUAUAAAAGACUUUAAAGUGAAACGAGGACAUUUGGACCCGUGGACAAGAAUAAUUAGGGUUUCGUAGACCAAACGUAAAACCAAACUAAAGACAAGUCGGAUUCCAACUAGAUAGGCUAAGAAAUACUAUUUUCGGAAUCGUUUAUAUGGUUCAAAAUCAUCUCAUAUUCAAGUAGAUAUUAUACACUAAAGGUCUUAGUGAAAUUCAUGAUAAAAAAGAGGUCAAAAUACCCAAGAAAACCCUAAACCACUCCUCUUUUUUUGGGUAAGAGUAAGUACACAUUUGGAGUUUUCAAUUGAAAAAGGAUCAUAUUUUAAGAUGGAAAACGGUCAUAGUAUUUGCCAAACGAAAAAUAUACAAGUUCAAAUAGAAACUUAGCCCUCGAGCGAAAAUUUGGGCAGCACGCCCUUUGUAUUUACCUAUUUCCCAGCCAUUUAUGGCUUCAUUAUUUUCCUCAAUCACACACAAUAUCAUCUCAUUUCAAUAGCCAUUCCAUAGGCUCAAAGUCAUAUAAGUACAAAAAUCAAGCUAACAACAUGUGCGGAAAUGAAGUUUAACAAAAGACAGAUUUCACGGGUUUUGCGUAACGGACACAUCCGAAGCUACGCUUAUCGGAUUGGGAUGUAAUUUAUACCGUUUCGAAGCUAAGACAGAGGGGUACAAUUUUGAUGAAGACCACAUUGUCCAAAUUCCAGUGUAACCUAGUCAAAUUCCCAAUUCCCAGAACCAAGUUCCAACUAAUCGGCUAAUUAACCGUACUACCUUUAAAUGGCCAUAUCACAGGCUACCGAAGUCCGUUUAAGGCGUUCUUGGAGGCGUUGAAAACCUAAGACAAAGACCUACAAUUUUCAUGAAGACCACUCUGUCCAGUUCUCUCCCUAACUAGGCCAAAUUUACCAAAAUAUCUCCAGAUUUUCCCGUUCGAAAUUCACUGCGGAAAUCCACUAGCAGUCCUGUUUUAUUCACUCAUAUCUCAGCACACACAACUCCAAUUCAGGUAAUUCCUAAGCCAUUUGAAAGCUAAGAUACAAGGUUAUAAUUCUUAAGAAGACAUCAUCAACCAAUUUGGUAAUAUUCCUGGUCAAAUUAACCACUUACAGAGGCUGAUUUUCAUUUUCGGACAGAAACGGGGCAGCAGGGGUAUUUCGGUCUUUUCACAGGUUACGUUGCUCCGAUUGAGCUGAAAUGUUUCAGGCAACUAUAAAACAUCAUUCUAUACAACUUUUAUGUUUUGUGCUAAGGCUAGUUCUGUGACGCCCCGAAAAAAAAUGAGUUUGAGAACUCGGAAAUUUUCUAAUUUUCUAGGGUUUAUUUUGUUUAAAACAAAACCCGCCUUUUCUACAUUUUCUUGAUUAGAAAAAAAUCCCAGAUAAAGUUUAUGAGCAAAAAUAGUUUUAAAAUGAUUUUUCUAGUAUCGGUUAGUUUUUGAGUAAUUAAAAGCGUAUUUUGGACGUGGGACCCGCAAGUGCGGUAAAUGCAUUAUAUUUUUGACAACUUGUUGGAAUUUUGUAUUAAGUGAUAUUAGUUUACAAUGUGUUAAGAUAUUUGUAUUGGAGAGACAAAAAGAUAAGUUUUAAACCUAAAGGUGACAAGUGUCACCAUUGUAUUGGAAAUAGCUUAUGACUUACUAUUCAUUUUCUUGACUUUUGACCAAUUGCUUAAAUAUCUCAAAAAUCACACAAAAUUCAUUCUUGUCUUCAACCUCUUGGCUGAUUCUCUCUCUAGCAAAGAAGGAAGAAAAACCUCUUCAAAGUUUGGCAAUUAUCUAGCUCAAAUCCUCCAAAACACUUGCUUGAUCUAGUUUCUACUCCAUAAAAUCCCUCCAUUUGGUGCUAGUGAGUGCUUUGGUGAAGUUUUUUGGAAAAGCUAAGGUGUCCUACAACUCUCCCUCUCUUGUUUACUAGGUGAGUGGUAUAUGAACUUUCCCCUACACUUAAUGAAGCUUGAGUUGUGCUUAGUGGAAGCUAAAGUGUUGAAUUUUGUGAUUUAAUUCUUGUUUUUGGAUGAAAUGGUGAAGUUUACAAUUUAUUGGUGAAUAUUCUGGUUUAAUGUGAUCAUGAUGUUGUGGCCUUGUAUGAUGAUUGGAAAUGUUAUGUAAUGAAGCUAGAAGGUGGAAAAAGUGGACAAUUGCAACCAAUUUUGGGUUUGGAAGAAAUUCUGGAAAAUUAGGGUUCUUGAAGCUACAUUCUGUCCGAAAUUUUAGGUCAUAGAUAGAGGCCGAAUUGGCCUUAGCUCAAAACAUGAAAGUUGUAGGGAAUGACAUUUUAGAGGUGCCUACAAAUUUUCAGGUCAUUUGGAGUAGUGUAGAGUGAGAUAUGUCGAUUUUACUGUUGCUGUUCUGGGUUGAUCAGAAUGUGCGAACUACGCUUGUAAUCGUCUGUUUUGACUGGAAUUGCUUUGGAUUUGGUGGUUGAGGUCUUCUGAUGAAAUGUAUCUUGAUGUCUUAGCUAUCAUAUGCCUUUGGAAUCAAUGCAUUUGGACCUGUGUAUACUGAGUUGGACGAAUUACAGCAUUGUGUGAUUUGGGAACCUGCAAUUACUUUUCUGGGUUGGUUUUCUGCCUUUUUGACCUAGUUGUGUUAGGAUUUGGACUGAGUGACCUUCUACAUGGUUGUAGCCCUGGUUCUUAGCUUCGAAACGGUGGGUCUUGGACCUCCAUCCGAUACUCGUAAUACCUUUGGUGCCAUUACCGUAAAAGGACGUCAAAACUAUUUUUCUAGUUUUGAGCUUAACUUUCAUUUCCGGACUUUUCCCUAGCUUGACUUGUACGAGUACUACUUGGAGCUUGCUGAAUGGCUAUUGGAUGAACUUGUUGUUGUGUGUGUACCUUUGGGACUGGCUGAGGAUAUAAUGAAGCCGUGGUGGCUGGAAAAGUUAAGAAAAUUCAGGGGAAAUGCUGUCCGAAUUUGGAAUGGGCUUGAUUGCUUUGCGGUUGUGCUUUAGGGCUUGGACUUGAGUGAAGUAAUGCAAUAUGAUGGAUGGUUUCAGAGCCGUGGAGGUGAGUGACCCUAAACUAUUUCCAAAGUACUUGUGAAAUGUUUCUUGCAUUAUUUACUCGAUUGCAUCUCAUGCGUGCUUGCAUGUGAAUUCAUGAUAUGAUUUUGGCUUCAAUGAGUUCUGGGAAAGUCUUGUGUUGGACACCAACGUCUCCACUCUGUUUGUGGUUCAUGUUCAUGGUUAUCUGGAGCACCGAUGUUGCUCCCACUUUCGUGAGUUCGUGAGUUAAUGUUAAAUGAAAUAUUUGAGCGUUGGGUGUUCAAGUGCUAUGAUUUCACCGGCUCACGAGAGCAUUAAACGGACAUUUGAUCUCUGAAUCAUGACAUCAUCGAAAUCAUCGAAAUGCAACAUUGUGAAAUAUAUUUGCUUAAUGAUUUUGUUGGUUACUCGCUGAGCUUCUAGCUCACCCCAAAAAUAUUUUAUUACCCUCCACAGGGCUCAAGGCGAAGGCAGGACUUGUUGUGCUUAUUCACGUGAAUGGAUGGCCUUUAUGUUGUACAAUUUGGAUUUGAAAUCAUUUUAUGUAUAGUUGGGAAUUGAUUCCGCUGCAUUUGUGACAUGUAUUUAUUGGAGACUUGGAUGUAUAUUUGUGGACCAUGUGAUGUAUAUUUGAGGUUUUUUCUUGUAAUUCAUUUGAGGACUUUAGUGAACGACUGAGUCCCGGCGAGAGCCGGGCAGGCGGCCCGCCGAUACCCUUGGGUUCGCCCUUGGGAGAAGUGGGGUCGUCACAAGUUCGGCCUUUAACAUGGUGAAAUAGAACCGGGCAGAAUUGGGAAAAAAAAUGAAACCCUAAUCUGGAAUUCAUGCAUUCAAGUGCUAAUCUUCCACAAAACAACAUCUAAAACAACUAAAAACCACUACUAAGCAAUUAAUUGAAGUAAAGAAGAGGUUCUUGGCAAAAUACCUUAUCUCCCUAUGAAAGAUGGUAGCUUAGGCUUUGUCCUCCAAAAAUAACUCCACAAACACCUUGGAAACUACUUGGAAAGUAAGUUUUAUGGAGUAGUUUGCAAAUUAAUCGGUUGAAACUCAAGAUUUGGGCAAGAAAUUGAAGUGGAAGAUGAAGAACUCUCUUGGUUUCUCUCUCACUAAUUUCAGCCAAAGGAGACAAGAAAAUGAAUGAAUUUUGGUCAAAAAUCUGAUUUUAGUAAAGUUACCAACCUUGGUCAAAUGUCCAACUUCUAAUAGCAUAGUGACACUUGGCUCCUUUUAGGGUUUUAAACUUAUCCAUUUGUCUACCAAUGGUAAUUUAUCUAGCUAACUUUUUAUUGUCUCCUAGCACCUUGUAAAAUAAUAAUACUUCGCACAAAAAUCACUUAAUCACCAAAAGUUUAUCGCACUAGCGGGUCCCACGUCCAUAACGCACUUCAAAUUUAACCCGAACUAACUUAUUAUACUAGAAAAAUGGUUGGAAAAACUAUAUUCACUUAUAAAGUGCCCAGAAAAUUAAUGUAGUAAAAUAAAAUAGGGAAAAUGCAUGAAAAGGAAUAGAAUUAAAUGGUAUAAAUUAAGAAACAUUUUACGGGCUCUCACACUCUCUCCCCCUUAAAGAAAUUUUGUGACACCCCGAAUAUUAGAAAGUUGUUUGUAAAGAAGAUACUAAAGUGUAUUUCUUUGGGUUUGAUUUAAAACCUUAUUUUGUUUUAAAAGACUAGAAAUCCUAAUAUUUUAAUCCAAAACCCUAGUUUACUUGUGACUAACCGGAUUUCUUAAAUCUCUCAUAUUUUAAUUGAAACCCUAAUUUUAAUCACUAGAAUUGUAAAAUUCCUCACGUUUUUCUUAAAAAUGCCCUUUAUUUGGAAAUUAUUUAUUUAUUAUAGCCCUACUACCCAGUCAUUCCACAAUAAGUGCAAAUGAACCUAGAAAGUAGGGUUUCACUUUUCGGUUUCAAGAUUGGAACAAAUUAGGGUUUUCGCGAUUUUUCGUAGGAUGAUUUUCGGUACGGAGUGAAGAUCAAAUUUGGUGAUUAAAAGUGACUUUUAGGUGAGAAAUAAUAUGUGAUUAGGAGUAACGAUAUAAGGUUAGUGAAUAGGAAGUAAAAACCCUAGUACGUGUGUUUUAAAGAAAAAUGGCGCGAACCGACGGGUAUCGAUCACUACCGAUUGAACCCACCACUUGACCACCACUUUCUUACUACCACAUACCCUUGAUAUUUUUACAAAAUAUCCCCCCAUCAUCCUCAGCCAUGUGACCAAAAUAUGUGGCCCAAAAUGCAAGGAAAAGAAAGAGAAAUUUGAAAGGUUUUGGUGGUGACAAGUGUCACACACCUAUGGCUCUUUGACCAAACCAAUUGUCUUGCCUUUUUAUCUUCCAUUUAGCUUCAUUCUUCCUCAUUUUCUUCUGGUUUGGCUGAGACAAGAGAGAGAGAAAGAGAGAGCAAGAGUUUCACCAUUUCAUCUUGAUUUGCACCAUCCAAGUGAGGAACCAAAAUUCUAAACCGAUUAAAGUGUGAGUUGUGACCUUGGGAUGCUAGGGGAAACAAAAAUUCCAAGAGGAGGUGAAGUAUUACUCUUGCAAGCUUCUUUUGUUGAGGUAUAAGGUCUAACCCAUAGCUUUGGUUCUUUUAUUUUUGAUUAAGAUGUUAUAUAAUUCAUGUUUUGGUUAGAUUAGUUGUGAUACAAGUUGUUGGGAUGAUUUUUAAGGUGAUAUAUGUAAGUUAGGGUUUGAUGAUUUCUGCCUAUACUUGCUAUAUGGAUCAUAUAUGUUGUAUCUAAGCUUAUAUAGGAGGUUGUGGUGGUGGAUUGAGGCAAGAAAUGAAGAAAGUUUCAUUGAAUCCCAAAAUUCCCAGAUUUCUGGAAAAUUUCAGCCUUGUUCUGUCCGGUUUUAUUGCACCAUGUUAGUGGCCAAAUUAGGCUUGCCAUAAAACAUAAAAGUUGUAGAUAAUGGUAUUUUAUAGGUUCCUACAAAAUUUUAGCUCAAUCGGAGCAACGUAACUUGUGAAAAUACCAAAAUACCCUCACUAUUUUAGGAUGUUUCCAGUGUUCCGUUUUAGUCAGUUCAUCAAGUUUAUCAUGUUUAUUCACUAGGAUCUGUGCUGAUUUAGCCAUUUUUCAAAACAUGAAAGUUUUUUCUGAAUACUCAUGCUUCCAUCGCCCUUCCCAGUAUGCGGCUAGUUUCUUUUGGACUUCUAUUUCGUCUCGAAGAACCACGAUUUCCUUAUACAUCUCAACCCAAUGUGCCAUCUCACAAAAUUGCUGGAACUCAGAUGAUAGCCUGUCGGGCAAAACAAUGGGUCAUAAUAAAUUCUUAAAUACAAGUGGCACUCUCGGUCCGUGUUUUAUUCAGCUGUUGUUUCCCCUUUCUUCUCUUGACUCUUGGCCUCACUUUGUUCCACGGUUAUGACCAUGUCCGCGACUACGUCUUCCUUCCAUAUAUAUAUAGUUUUUCCCCUCCCUCUUUCUUUUCUUUUCAAAAGGGUACUUUAAUGAAUGAAUGCAGUAAAUUGACUAAAAUAACAAAAUCAAACAUACCAAAUACACAAAUAAACAUAUCCGCACAUAACACGCCAUAUCAAGACGACAGAUAAACAAAUACACAAAUACAUAUCAAGUUGGCCAGAUAACCAUGUACACAAACACACAUACUAACGUCAGGUGGUAGCAAUAUACGGGCGAAUCAAAAGGAAAAGGUGAAGUCGUCCCAGUCUCAGCUAAGAUAACCCCGUCCGGUCUCUCACGUCACUUACUAUCCAAACUAGAUGUCCAUUGACCUCUUGUACUCAUUCUAGCCAGACAAAGCCUGUUCAUGUUCCCAAAAUGCAAAUCUCAAAUACUUAACCCCGCCUCAACUCUGGAGUACUCGGGCACAAGAAUCCGAAAUAAGACAAUUCACGUCUCGAGCUGGCCAGUCCCAAGAGUAAACUAUCUACAAUCGAAAUUCCACCCUGACGUACCUAUCAACGGUCCUCAGAUACCACGGAAAAGAUUUAAGGCCUAUAAUAUUCACAGUUCAUAGCUUAUGCUCGAACGAGCACUUAAUCCUUCAUACCUAUUCACCACUCAGUCCAGGCUCACUUCACGCAGAGACCACGCGAAGCAGGCUCUGAUACCACCUGUGACAGCCCCACCUCCCCCUAAGGCGUACCAAAGGGUUCGGCGGACCGCCUGCCCAGCUCUCGCCGGGACUCAGUCGAACCUCAAUUAAAUCCGGAAUGCAACCAAAGGAAUAACAUACAACAAUCCAAUACAUAAGCGAAACUUAUAUACAUUGCUAUCUCAAAAGGAAGUACAACCAUCAAAUGUAAAAAGGUUCUCACUUCACCAUACAACCAGCCCGUGCCAAGCACUAGGGCGAGAACCAUUACAAAACCAAAGAAACCAGACUAGGCUAGACUCUACCGAGCUCUCGUCCUUGCUCGCCGUCCCCUGUUAAGGAAAACAAAACUAAAGGAAUGAGCUAAAAGCUCAGUGAGGUUCCAAACACAUAGGCAACAAGAAGUUCAAUGCAUUCACUACAUAUAACCAAUAAUUCAAGAUACAAAUACAAAAUAAAGCGAUAAACACAAUCAUUAAAAGGAUACGGGUUCACAGGAAGCCAUAUAUUCGUUCGUUCAUUCGUUCUCCUGUCAUUCCCCUUAUUCCUCCGGUCAAUUAAAUAAAAUGUAUUUUUGGUAAAUAAACCCCUCGUUCGUUCUUGCAUUUCGUUCACCCCCUCCUGAAAAUUGGCCAGGCUCCACCAACCUACAAGGUAAUACUCGAGUAUACCAACGUUCACACCCAGGGUCACCAUAUCGCCGGACCGAGUCUGCUUCUGGCUCGAGUCGAUCGGUAACGAAGGGCAGGACCUAGUUCAGCCAAACGGCUUACAUUCAUGCGCAACUAAUGUAGCAAUCAUUAAAUCAUUGAAAAUUUCACGUUUCAUUUACGUCGAGUGCGGUAAAGUACACGCUCGCCUAGAAAACUCGUUUUGAAAAUCCUUGAAAGCACUUAACACAUUAUCAAACAAGAACACAAAUCAUAAAGUCAAGAAAAAUAUAGUAAACAAGGAACACUCACCUAUAUACGCAAAACAACGUGCAAAAUAUCCUUCCGGAUAUUAUCUUUAGUCACCAAGAAAACCUAAGAUUAAACAAGAAAGAAUAUUACAGCUCAUCUAACACAAACAAUUAGGUGAAAUCAAAGAACUCAACAAUUGAUGAGUAGAACGUAUAAAAGACUUUAAAGUGAAACGAGGACAUUUGGACCCGUGGACAAGAAUAAUUAGGGUUUCGUAGACCAAACGUAAAACCAAACUAAAGACAAGUCGGAAUCCAACUAGAUAGGCUAAGAAAUACUAUUUUCGGAAUCGUUUAUAUGGUUCAAAAUCAUCUCAUAUUCAAGUAGAUAUUAUACACCAAAGGUCUUAAUGAAAUUCAUGAUAAAAAAGAGGUCAAAAUACCCAAGAAAACCCUAAACCACUCCUCUUUAUUUGGGUAAGAGUAAGUACACAUUUGGAGUUUCCAAUUGAAAAAGGAUCAUAUUUUAAGAUGGAAAACGGUCAUAGUAUUUGCCAAACGAAAAAUAUACAAGUUCAAAUAGAAACUUAGCCCUCGAGCGAAAAUUUGGGCAGCACGCCCUUUGCAUUUACCUAUUUCCCAGCCAUUUAUGGCUUCAUUAUUUUCCUCAAUCACACACAAUAUCAUCUCAUUUCAAUAGCCAUUCCAUAGGCUCAAAGUCAUAUAAGUACAAAAAUCAAGCUAACAACAUGUGCGGAAAUGAAGUUUAACAAAAGACAGAUUUGACGGGUUUUACGUAACGGACACAUCCGAAGCUACGCUUAUCGGAUUGGGAUGUAAUUUAUACCGUUUCGAAGCUAAAACAGAGGGCUACAAUUUUGAUGAAGACCACGUAGUCCAAAUUCCAGUGUAACCUAGUCAAAUUCCCAAUUCCCAGAACCAAGUUCCAACUAAUCGGCUAAUUAACCGUACUACCUUUAAAUGGCCAUAUCGCAGGCUACCAAAGUCCGUUAAAGGCGUUCUUGGAGGUGUUGAAAACCUAAGACAAAGACCUACAACUUUCAUGAAGACCACUCAGUCCAGUUCUCACCCUAACUAGGCCAAAUUUACCAAAAUAACUCCAGAUUUUCAAGUUCGAAAUUCACUGCAGAAAUCCACUAGCAGUCCUGUUUUAUUCACUCAUAUCUCAGCACACACAACUCCAAUUCAGGUAAUUCCAAAGCCAUUUAAAAGCUAAGAUACAAGGCUAUAAUUCUUAAGAAGACAUCAUCAACCAAUUUGGUAAUAUUCCUGGUCAAACUAACCACUUACAGAGGCUGAUUUUCAUUUUCGGACAGAAACGGGGCAGCAGGGGUAUUUCGGUCUUUUCACAGGAUACGUUGCUCCGAUUGAGCUGAAAUGUUUCAUACAACUAUAAAACAUCAUUCUCUACAACUUUUAUGUUUUGUGCUAAGGCUAGUUCGGCCUCUAACAUGGUGAAAUAGAACCGGGCAGAAUUGGGAAAAAAAAUGAAACCCUAAUCUGGAAUUCAUGCAUUCAAGUGCUAAUCUUCCACAAAACAACAUCUAAAACAACUAAAAACCACUACUAAGCAAUUAAUUGAAGUAAAGAAGAGGUUCUUGGCAAAAUACCUCAUCUCCCUAUGAAAGAUGGUAGCUUAGGCUUUGUUCUCCAAAAAUAACUCCACAAACACCUUGGAAACUACUUGGAAAGUAAGUUUUAUGGAGUAGUUUGCAAAUUAAUCGGUUGAAACUCAAGAUUUGGGCAAGAAAUUGAAGUGGAAGAUGAAGAACUCUCUUGAUUUCUCUCUCACUAAUUUCAGCCAAAGGAGACAAGAAAAUGAAUGAAUUUUGGUCAAAAAUCUGAUUUUAGUAAAGUUACCAACCUUGGUCAAAAGUCCAACUUCUAAUAGCAUGGUGACACUUGGCUCCUUUUAGGGUUUUAAGCUUAUCCUUUUGUCUACCAAUGGUAAUUUAUCUAGCUAACUUUUAAUUGUCUCCUAGCACCUUGUAAAAUAAUAGUACUUUGUACAAAAAUCACUUAAUCACCAAAAGUUUAUCGCAUAGCGGGUCCCACGUCCAUAACGCACUUCAAAUUUAACCCGAACUAACUUAUACUAGAAAAAUGGUUGGAAAAACUAUAUUCACUUAUAAAGUGUCCAAGAAAUUAAUGUAGUAAAAUAAAAUAAGGAAAAUGCAUGAAAAGGAAUAGAAUUAAAUGGUAUAAAUUAAGAAACAUUUUACGGGCUCUCACACUCUCUCCCCCUUAAAGAAAUUUCGUCCUCGAAAUUUUCCUUUUAAUGGGAUCCAUCAAAUCUAAAGUAACCAAUGGCCUGUACCUUCUACGUCCUCAAAAGAAACGAGGGCUUUCAUUCCAGUCCCUUCUCUAUUUGACGGUCCAGGGUCGGUCUGGGUUGGCUGCUGGGUUUCUUUCUUUUCGCGCAAUUGAACUGGGCAAUUAGCAAUCCGAUGCUCGGCGCUCCCACAGCGCAGACAUCUUCCCCCCUUUUUCCAACAACCCACUUCAAUAUGAUUUGAUUUUCUACAAUAGCUACAAAAUGGAAAAGGAAUUGAGGUUUGAUCUCUUCGUGAGAUACCUCUCAGUGGUCCUUUUCCACUCGGGUCUCCUCCUGGAGUAUCCUUCCUAAGUGUCUCCAAAAUUUUCACACCACGCGCUCCACGACCCUUCUUAGCAAAUGGCCUACCUUGCUUACCCUGUUCUGGCCUUUGACUCUCAAGAGAUGCGCUCCUUUUCUUUGCAUGGAAGGUCUUCACUUGUGGCCUUGCAAUUUCUGUCCUUUGAGUUUUCUCUGGAACCCCCAUAGAAGUAGUGCUUGGUGCCAUUGCUAAGGCCUCCUAGGAAAUUCCUUCGUAUUUCCUUUUUAGCUCUAAGUUCUUGUGCAAGAGCUCAAUUUUUUCUGAAUACUCGUGCUUCCAUCGCCCUUCCCAGUAUACGGCUAGUUUCUUUUGGACUUCUAUUUCGUCUCGAAGAACCACGAUUUCCUUAUACAUCUCAACCCAAUGUGCCAUAUCACAAAAUUGCUGGAACUCAGAUGAUAGCCUGUCGGGCAAAACAAUGGGUCAUAAUAAAUUCUUAAAUACAAGUGGCACUCUCGGUCCGUGUUUUGUUCAGCUGUUGUUUCCCCUUUCUUCUCUUGACUCUUGGCCUCACUUUGUUCCACGGUUAUGACCAUGUCCGCGACUACGUCUUCCUUCCAUAUAUAUAUAUAUAGUUUUUCCCCUCCCUCUUUCUUUUCUUUUCAAAAGGGUACUUUAAUGAAUGAAUGCAGUAAAUUGACUAAAAUAACAAAAUCAAACAUACCAAAUACACAAAUAAACAUAUCCGCACAUAACACGCCAUAUCAAGAAGACAGAUAAACAAAUACACAAAUACAUAUCAAGUUGGCCAGAUAACCAUGUACACAAACACACAUACUAACGUCAGGUGGUAGCAAUAUACGGGCGAAUCAAAAGGAAAAGGUGAAGUCGUCCCAGUCUCAGCUAAGAUAACCCCGUCCGGUCUCUCACGUCACUUACUAUCCAAACUAGAUGUCCAUUGACCUCUUGUACUCAUUCUAGCCAGACAAAGCCUGUUCAUGUUCCCAAAAUGCAAAUCUCAAAUACUUAACCCCGCCUCAACUCUGGAGUACUCGGGCACAAGAAUCCGAAAUAAGACAAUUCACGUCUCGAGCUGGCCAGUCCCAAGAGUAAACUAUCUACAAUCGAAAUUCCACCCUGACGUACCUAUCAACGGUCCUCAGAUACCACGGAAAAGAUUUAAGGCCUAUAAUAUUCACAGUUCAUAGCUUAUGCUCGAACGAGCACUUAAUCCUUCAUACCUAUUCACCACUCAGUCCAGGCUCACUUCACGCAGAGACCACGCGAAGCAGGCUCUGAUACCACCUGUGACAGCCCCACCUCCCCCUAAGGCGUACCAAAGGGUUCGGCGGACCGCCUGCCCAGCUCUCGCCGGGACUCAGUCGAACCUCAAUUAAAUCCGGAAUGCAACCAAAGGAAUAACAUACAACAAUCCAAUACUUAAGUGAAACUUACAUACAUUGCUAUCUCAAAAGGAAGUACAACCAUCAAAUGUACAAAGGUUCUCACUUCACCGUACAACCAGCCCGUGCCAAGCUCUAGGGCGAGAACCAUUACAAAACCAAAGAAACCAGUCUAGGCUAGACUCUACCGAGCUCUCGUCCUUGCUCGCCGUCCCCUGUUAAGGAAAACAAAACUAAAGGAAUGAGCUAAAAGCUCAGUGAGGUUCCGAACACAUAGGCAACAAGAAGUUCAAUGCAUUCACUACAUAUAACCAAUAAUUCAAGAUACAAAUACAAAAUAAAGCGAUAAACAAAUUCAUUAAAAGGAUACGGGCUCACAGGAAGUCAUAUAUUCGUUCGUUCGUUCGUUCUCCUGUCAUUCCCCUUAUUCCUCCGGUCAAUUAAAUAAAAUGCAUUUUUGGUAAAUAAACCCCUCGUUCGUUCUUUCGUUUCGUUCACCCCCAUCUGAAAAUUGGCCAGGCUCCACCAACCUACAAGGUAAUACUCGAGUAUACCAACGUUCACACCCAGGGUCACCAUAUCGCCCGACCGAGUCCGCUUCUGGCUCGAGUCGAUCGGUAACGAAGGGCAGGGUCCAGUUCAGCCAAACGGCUUACAUUCAUGCGCAACUAAUGUAGCAAUCAUUAAAUCAUUGAAAAUUUCACGUUUCAUUUAGGUCUAGCGCGGUAAAGUUCACGCUCGCCUAGAAAACUCGUUUUGGAAAUCCUUGAAAGCAUUUAACACAUUAUCAAACAAGAACACAAGUCAUAAAGUCAAGAAAAAUAUAGCAAACAAGGAACACUCACCUAUAUACGCAAAACAACGUGCAAAAUAUCCUUCCGGAUAUUAUCUUUAGUCACCAAGAAAACCUAAGAUUAAACAAGAAAGAAUAUUACAGCUCAUCUAACACAAACAAUUAGGUGAAAUCAAAGAACUCGACAAUUGAUGAGUAGAACGUAUAAAAGACUUUAAAGUGAAACGAGGACAUUUGGACCCGUGGACAAGAAUAAUUAGGGUUUCGUAGACCAAACGUAAAACCAAACUAAAGACAAGUCGGAAUCCAACUAGAUAGGCUAAGAAAUACUAUUUUCGGAAUCGUUUAUAUGGUUCAAAAUCAUCUCAUAUUCAAGUAGAUAUUAUACACUAAAGGUCUUAAUGAAAUUCAUGAUAAAAAAGAGGUCAAAAUACCCAAGAAAACCCUAAACCACUCCUCUUUAUUUGGGUAAGAGUAAGUACACAUUUGGAGUUUCCAAUUGAAAAAGGAUCAUAUUUUAAGAUGGAAAACGGUCAUAGUAUUUGCCAAACGAAAAAUAUACAAGUUCAAAUAGAAACUUAGCCCUCGAGCGAAAAUUUGGGCAGCACGCCCUUUGUAUUUACCUAUUUCCCAGCCAUUUAUGGCUUCAUUAUUUUCCUCAAUCAAUCCCAAAAUCACACACAAUAUCAUCUCAUUUCAAUAGCCAUUCCAUAGGCUCAAAGUCAUUUAAGUACAAAAAUCAAGCUAACAACAUGUGCGGAAAUGAAGUUUAACAAAAGACAGAUUUGACGGGUUUUACGUAACGGACACAUCCGAAGCUACGCUUAUCGGAUUGGGAUGUAAUUUAUACCGUUUCGAAGCUAAGACAGAGGGCUACAAUUUUGAUGAAGACCACGUAGUCCAAAUUCCAGUUUAACCUAGUCAAAUUCCCAAUUCCCAGAACCAAGUUCCAACUAAUCGGCUAAUUAACCGUACUACAUUUAAAUGGCCAUAUCGCAGGCUACCAAAGUCCGUUUAAGAUGUUCUUGGAGGCGUUGAAAACCUAAGACAAAGACCUACAACUUUCAUGAAGACCACUCAGUCCAGUUCUCACCCUAACUAGGCCAAAUUUACCAAAAUAACUUCAAAUUUUCCAGUUCGAAAUUCACUGCAGAAAUCCACUAGCAGUCCUGUUUUAUUCACUCAUAUCUCAGCACACACAACUCCAAUUCAGGUAAUUCCAAAGCCAUUUGAAAGCUAAGAUACAAGGAUAUAAUUCCUAAGAAGACAUCAUCAAUCAAUUUGGUAAUAUUUCUGGACAAACUAACCACUUACAGAGGCUGAUUUUCAUUUUCGGACAGAAACGGGGCAGCAGGGGUAUUUCGGUCUUUUCACAGGCUACGUUGCUCCGAUUGAGCUGAAAUGUUUCAGGCAACUAUAAAACAUCAUUCUAUACAACUUUUAUGUUUUGUGCUAAGGCUAGUUCGGCCUCUAACACGGUGAAAUAGAACCGGGCAGAAUUGGGAAAAAAAAUGAAACCCUAAUCUGGAAUUCAUGCAUUCAAGUGCUAAUCAUCCACAAAACAACAUCUAAAACAACUAAAAACCACUACUAAGCAAUUAAUUGAAGUAAAGAAGAGGUUCUUGGCAAAAUACCUUAUCUCCCUAUGAAAGAUGGUAGCUUAGGCUUUGUCCUCCAAAAAUAACUCCACAAACACCUUGGAAACUACUUGGAAAGUAAGUUUUAUGGAGUAGUUUGCAAAUUAAUCGGUUGAAACUCAAGAUUUGGGCAAGAAAUUGAAGUGGAAGAUGAAGAACUCUCUUGGUUUCUCUCUCACUAAUUUCAGCCAAAGGGGACAAGAAAAUGAAUGAAUUUUGGUCAAAAAUCUGAUUUUAGUAAAGUUACCAACCUUGGUCAAAAGUCCAACUUCUAAUAGCAUGGUGACACUUGGCUCCUUUUAGGGUUUUAAGCUUAUCCUUUUGUCUACCAAUGGUAAUUUAUCUAGCUAACUUUUAAUUGUCUCCUAGCACCUUGUAAAAUAAUAAUACUUCGCACAAAAAUCACUUAAUCACCAAAAGUUUAUCGCACUAGCGGGUCCCACGUCCAUAACGCACUUCAAAUUUAACCCGAACUAACUUAUUAUACUAGAAAAAUGGUUGGAAAAACUAUAUUCACUUAUAAAGUGCCCAGAAAAUUAAUGUAGUAAAAUAAAAUAGGGAAAAUGCAUGAAAAGGAAUAGAAUUAAAUGGUAUAAAUUAAGAAACAUUUUACGGGCUCUCACAGGCCAAGUUCUAACUUAUAUACCUCGAUAAAAGAAGAUGCAAUAGCCUAGAUGGUUCAAGUGGUAUUCGCUCUCAAGCCUUGCUCAAGUCGCAAGUAUAUCUACCUAGCCCCCGAGCGUAAAUUUGGGCAGCACGCCCUUUGUAUUUACCUAAUUUCCAGCCAUUUAUGGCUUCAUUCUUUUUCUCAAUCAGUCCUAAAGUCACACACAAAUAGUCUCAUUACAAUAGCCGUUCAAUAGGUUCAACGUCAUACAAUUACAAAACCAUGCUACAGAAAUGACCGGAAACAAGGGUUAAAGCAAAACGUAAAAAGACAGGUUCGACGUCUCUUAGCGUAACGGUCACAACCAAAGGUACGCUUAUCAUAUUGGGGUGAAAUUUAUACCAUUUUGAAGCUAAGAUAAGGGGUUACAACUUUGAUGAAGACCACUUAACCCAGUUCAUAGUGUAUCCGGGUCAAAUUUUCAAAUUACAGAACCAGAAUCUCACCAACAGGCUAGUUAACCGCACUAUGUUCAAAUGACACUAACUCAGGUUACUGAAGUCCGAUUGAGGAGUUUUCUAGGGCGUUGGAAAUCUAAAACAUAGUAUUACAACUUCCAUGUUUUGGUCAAAUGCUAAAUCAGUACGGAUCAGGGUGAAAAAAAUGCGGUCAGAUUGGUAAAAUGUCAAAACUGGCCACAGAACUCUACCUAUGGCAGUCAGGGGUAUUUUUGUCUUUUCACAUGUUACAGUGCUCAUAUUGAGAUGAAAAUUUACAGGCAGCUAUAAAAAAUCAUUCCUUACAACUUUUAUGUUUUGUACUAAGCCUAAUUCGGCUCCCAUCAUGGUCAAUCAGAACCGGUCAGAACAGGGUCACAUGAAUACUCCAAUCUGGAAUUUGGUGAAUUCAAAGGGUAACUUCACAUUUCUAGCUUAAACCACUACCACAACCUCCUAUACAAGAUUAUAUACACCAUAUACCAUCCAAACAACAAGAAUUAUAAGUGAACCAUUCAAAACCCUAACUCAAAAUUCACCACUACAAUCAUCAAAAUCAUUUAGAUUAGGCAUCACAAAGCAAGAAUACAAGUUACUACAUAACUCAAACAAGACUAAGGGAAAGGGAGAGGAUGGUCAGCCAUAAUACCUCAAUAAAAGGGCUUGCAAGAGAUAUCCUUCACCUCUCCUUGUGAAAUUUAGCUCCCCAAGCUUCCUAAGCUCUCAAUUUAUGAGUUAAUCAGUUUAGCUUUCUUGUUUUCUCACUCAAUCAAGCUCAACCCAAGAUGGAAUUGAAGUUCUUUUCUCCCUUUUCUCUCUCUCAAUUUUCGGCCUCCAUAGCUGCAAAAUGAAGAAGAAUAAAGGCCAAGAAAGGUUAAGAAGCUUAGUCUUGCAUUUGGUCAAAGAUGGUUGGAUUGCUUCCACUUGUCACCACAAGGUUUCAUCUUGAAUUUUUCUUCUUUUCCUUGGUUUUAUUGGUAAAAAAUUUCGGUCAUAGUGACCUGAUAAGGGGCUGAUAUUAUGCACUAAUAACAAUGAGAUGAAGUUAAGAAAGUGGUGGUCAAGUGGUGAAAUGAAGAAGAAUAAAGGCCAAGAAAGGUUAAGAAGCUUAGUCUUGCAUUUGGUCAAAGAUGGUUGGAUUGCUUCCACUUGUCACCACAAGGUUUCAUCUUGAAUUUUUCUUCUUUUCCUUGGUUUUAUUGGUAAAAAAUUUCGGUCAUAGUGACCUGAUAAGGGGCUGAUAUUAUGCACUAAUAACAAUGAGAUGAAGUUAAGAAAGUGGUGGUCAAGUGGUGAACGAUACCCGUCGGUUCGAGCCGAUUUUCCUUAAAUCGCGUAUACUAGGGUUUUAUCUUACAAUUCACUAACUUAUUAUUAUCACACACUUAAUAUCAUCUAAAACUCACUCUUAAUCACCAAAUUUGAUACACACUCCGUACCGAAUAGUCACACUACGAAAAGGCGUAAAAACCCUAAUUUAAUGUAACAAUGAAAGUAAAAAGGAAACCCUUGUUUCUAUGAUUAUUUGUAGCUAUUGGGGAAGUGGAUAUGUAUUAAAAUUAUUGUAAAGUAAUAAAUUCCAAAUUAAAGGGAAUUUUAAGAAAAAUAUAAGGAAUUUUACGAGUCGUCACAAGCAUAAUCCCAUAUUGCUUAACAAUGUUGUGGAAAUCUUUAAGCAAUCUGAGAUGUUCUUCAAAAGUAUUGCUGAAAAGAAGUAUGUCAUCAAUAUAAACUAAAGCAGAAUGUAAGAUAGGCUGAAAAAUCUUUAUCAUGGCUUUUUGGAAAAGAGAAGGUGCCGUUUUAAGACCAAAAGGCAUAACCUUCCAUUGAAAAUGAUGAUUUGGGAUACAAAAACCAGUUUUGUGUCUAUCUUGAUGUGUGCACGGAUGGCGGCCUUGACUCCAGGCUUUCAGAGAGACAUUGAAGGCUUGAAGGGGUCAAGCAAGUUGGCUACACAUGGGGCCAAGCCCAUGAAGCACCAAAGGCGGAGGCGUGAAGGUCCCUCGCUGAGCUGUUCGGGGGCGAAGCUUAUGAGUUGUUAGUCUUAAGUUAUUAGUUAGUAUUGAGUCAUGGGAUCGGCCCACCUAGUCCAAGGCCUGGCCGAACUCUUAUUUCCUUUUCACUAGCAUUAGGGUUUUGUUAGUUUGCCUAUAUAAAGGCUUGCUUUGUAAGCAUGAAGGGGAGACGUUUUAUCAAUAAAGUUUUGCAUAUUUUCGAUUCUUCUUAUUAAGAGAGAUUCGAGCCUUAACUUGCUUUGACAAGGGUGUUGAGCAAUAUCGUGCUUGUCCAAGAUUGUUUUACCGACCUAUCCACUAGAGUAACCACCUCUGUUGGAGUCGUCGUUCUACCACCUUCUACCAAUUCGUGUCGUCCGUGUUGGUUUUGGGUUCCGCAAUCCAAGCAUUGGACAACCUCGCUAGAUCGGCAAACGUGCUACGUGUCUCGAAACGAGUUGAUCGAGGACCGUAUCAUAUCUUCAGGAUGAAUUCCCAACUGCCAAAAUCCAGAUUUCAAAUCAAAUUUAGAAAACCAUUUUGCUUUGGAUAUCUGGGUAAAGAGUGUAAAUCUGUUGGGAAUUGGAAAUUUAUCAUCAAGUAGGAAAAUAUUGAGAGGUUGAUAAUUAAUUACCAAUCUCAUUUUCCCUCUUACCUGCUCAGAUCUCUUAUUCACACAAAAUGCUUGACAUGCCCAUUGAGAAUGAGAAAUCUCAAUAAGACCAAACUUCAGGAGUUCUUGACAUUCCUGAUCUGCAAGUUCGGUAUCAUCAAGAUUCAUUCCUGAAUGACUAGCCUUUGUAGGAUUUAUAUCCUCAUUCUUUUUGAAAAGAAGUUGGAUAUAAAAAUCAGGGCUUUCCCACAAGGAUGAUCACACUUUUGUAAACACUCUUGAUGAUUUGAUGAGCAUGAUUCUUGAAUAAUCUGAGUAUGAAUUUGUUGGAGUUGAUCUUUCUGUAGAAAAAUUUCUUCUCCUUGAAUCAGGUAUAAUUUAGGGAUAUCAAUAUAGGGUUUGAAAAACUUUUUUGAUUUUAUCCCUUGACCUGUAACAAGAUAUUUGUUAUGCUUAUAAAGAUCAAAUCCAAGUAAAAGAUCUUUACCAGUAAAAUUUGUCCCAAGAAUUUUGAAGUAAUAAUACAAUCCGGGAGUAGUUUUAGGGUAAUGGGAUUUUUUGUAAUAAAUUUUGUUUCAAACAUUUUCCCAUCAGCUCCCCGAAACUUAUUGACCUGUGAAAUUCAAUACGAGUCUGGUAAAAUAUCUUUCCUCAUAAUGGAUGUGUGUGCCCCUGUAUCAAAAAAUGCAAUUAGAGGAAUAGGCUUAGAAUAUUUAUCCAAUAAGAUAUGGAUAAGAGUUUGUGGAUAAAUAUGACCCCACCUUUCCUUAAGGGUCGGCGGACCGCCUGCCUAGCUCUCGCCAGGACUACGAAUCAAAUCAUUCAUAAACCUUACCAAACAGUCCAAAGAACUUUGGGAAAAUGAAUCAUCGGAAAGCGCGAAGGACCGCAGCCACGUCAAAAUCCAACCAAAUUUUUUUCUUCCUCGUUCAAGCUUCACACUCGCUCGAUUUCCCCAAUGGAUACAAGAAAGUUCACAUAACCAUAAAAACGUACAAUCUCAAAUGAAUAUGGUUCAAAUACUUGAUUACACACUUAUACACAUAUAUACAUCAGAGUCUUCAACAAGUUAACUUGAAAUACAAGCCAUAGUAACCAUACGUAUACAAAAUACAAUUAGGGUUUCGGUUACAGAGGAGCAUGAUCAAAAGAAUACCUACACUAGCUCGACUCUUUCUUCAAAAAUCAUAGCUCUCAAAAUAUUGAACCCUGUAAGGCAAACAAAGAUAAUAGGAACGGGGUGAGCUUACGUUCAAUGAGAUACCACAAGUACAAGUAGUCAAAAAUCAUGGCAUUGCACUUUUAAGGCACAUAUACACAUCAUAUAAGGAAAUGAACAAACACCUCAGAUAGAAAGGAUACAAGUGGCUCUCAAGAGCCAAAUUCCCAUUGCAGUACUUGAUCCCAACUUGUUGACGCUCCGUCAACGUUCGAGGAAACAAACAUGACCGUAGACCCCACUUAACAUCAAAUUCCGUCCACCAAACAUACUCCUUGUCGGGCCCGAACACCACACACAGAACAGAGGUGGUAAUACUCGAGUAUACCGGAAAUCCAGAGUCUCCAAUACCCAAAGAUUUCCCAGAAACAGACUACCGUGACUCGUUAUCUAAUCGACCAGGCCCUUGCCGGCUCGACUCGAGUAACUAGCCACAGGUUUUGAACUCAGAGGUCAUAGAAGGGUCGUUGGAUACAAGCCUCCAAACGACGUCAGAACAGACACAGAUAACAGAUUCAAAUUCACACAGUAAACGAUCACACAGGCAAGCGAACGAGUGUGAUAAAGUACACCCUUGUCUCAUUCAGAAUAAACAGAGUUCAUAGUCAUUCAAGUCACAGAUUUCAAGUACAAAUAAACCAGUUAAGCAACAAAUCAGGGGAGUGGUACACUCACCAGUUCAAGCAAAAAUAACUUCAAAAGUUUCCUCCCAAAGGAUGGUUUUGGUCACCGUCACGUCCUAAUAACAACCAAGGUAAAACAAUUAUGGUUUCCCCGUCCACGAACCUAGGAAACGGAAUGCACAAAUGAGGUUCGACUACAAGUCGUAAGCCGAGUCAAGUUAACUACUAGGGCAAAGAAAUAACAAUGUGGUUUUGGAGUGAAAAGGUAGCGGUUGGUCUUAAAAACAUGAACAACCCUAAAACCUUUCGCUCAAGUCGCGAGUACAUCCAACUAGCCCUCAAGUGAAAAUUUGGGUAGUACGUCCUUUGUAUUUACCUAUACCACAUACCAGAGUGCCUGCUUAGAACCCAUAUCAAAGAAAUAACUGGCUCUUUGAAAGUAUUCCCGAACAUACAACAGCCUCUCUCCUCUGGGCUUUCAAAAGUUCAAGGGACUGUUAUCACAAGAGCAAAUUAUAACAAGGCUAUGAUGUUCUAAGCAACACGCAGCUAUAAGGAUCUCGCGGCCUACCUUUGGGAGAAAACCUAAAACUUUAGCCUGUCAUAUGGAUAACCACACUGAAAAUUUAUUGAUAGAUUUUUAUACAAGACUCGAUAAAAGCUAGAUAAAUCCUCGAUGAUCCUCUCCGACUGAUGAGGCUCAUCUUUAUAUAGAUGACAAAGUGACUCGAAGAUGUGUGAAAGGGCAAACAGCCUUUCGAAACAUCAAAAGACAACUUGACUUUUCAAAGCGUUUAAAAGACAACUUUACAAGACUUCAAAGGGUAAGUGACCCUUGAUUAUUUGAACAGCUAAUUGACCUUUGAAAUAGGAACUUGGCCUUUCAUAAAGGAUAGGGCCCAUGUUUGAGUAGUGGCAAACAUGUGGAACUUUGUGGGUCCUUGUGUUUUCAAAUUGUCCAGUCUUCAUCAGGGGUAUCAGAAGGAGGGGAAUCUGGAUCAGUGAUAUUCAUUUGUUCAAUCCAAUCUUCAUGUCUCCUUUGAUUUUUCUUUUUUUUUUCAAUGCUCUUCCAUUCUGGACGGUAUUUGUGGAUUGAUCUUUGUGUUCUGGAAGAUCCUGGGUCCUGAGUGAAAUCUUCAGGUAUCUGGGAAUCUUGAAAUUCUGAUGAGUUCAUUUUAUCAGUCCACUCUUUUUUAGCCUUGCGAAUCUGGGUCCAAUAAGGAUGAGAACUUUGAUAAUUCCAUGAUCCAUAAGAUCCUGGCCAGAUUUCAGGAGGAAUGCAUCUGUUUUCCUGAAAGAUGUAUCUCUGAGCUUCUCCAUACUCAACUUCUUGGUCUAAAAUAGUAUGACGCAAUUCCCUAUAAAUAACUGCAUUGGAUAAGGCUUGGACUUGGUUAUUUAGGAAGUGACAAGGGCGAUGAAAAUGGAGGAGUAGAUGAUUUGGAUUUGUGGCAAACAGAUCUUUCCAAUAAGAUAAGGGCUUGAACCAUUGAAGAAAUUGUUUAAGAUUCUGAACCAAUGGUCUAUUGAAGAAUGGACUCUGAAAUUCCAUCAAAAUAUGAUAUUGGUGACACAAGCACCAAAAAUACCAUAAUAACUCUUUUGGGAAUUCAGUAGGAUUGGCAAUGAAGAUCUGACAAAAAGGAUAUUCAGGAUUUGUACCAAAGUGACUAAGUAUUGAACCACCAUAUGAGCGGAAAAGUUCAAGCUCAUAUUGGUUUCUAAUUCUUUCAAUAUUUUCUUUUUCCCAUGGGUACGGUAUUUCAUAGAUAUCUGGUGGAUGAUCUUGGACAGGGGUAAACAUGAAACAAGGUAAAGCUUUUGGUGGCAAGACUUGUUGAGGCAAAGGUUCUUUUCUGGAAAAGAAAUCAACAACAAGAUUAGUUUUUCCUUUAAUGUGUUUAACAUCAAAAGAAUAUUGGGAAAACCAUGCUGCCCAUCGGAGAAGUUGUGGAUGUGGUAUGGUCUUUUGUUUGAAAUGCAGCAUUUUAGGAAAUGAUCCCAUAUCCAUUUAAACCAAAAAAUGUUGAGAAAUGAGGAAAAAAGAGAAUUUCUUUAUUCCAUUUCUUACCGCAAGUAUUUCCUUGAAAGUGGAAUGAUAAUGUUGUUCAGAUACCUUAAAUCUUCCACUAGCAAAACCACAACAAUGCCUUUGUCCAUUGAGAUCUUCUUCAAGUAAAAUGGCUCCCCAAUAUUUGUCACUGGCAUCUGUUUGGAGAAUCUUUGUCCCAGUGGAGGGAAUGAACAGAGUAGGAAGACCCAGGAGGGUUUCCUUCAAUUUCUGGACUGCUUUGCUUUGGGACAAUCCCCAAUGAGGAGGAUCUUUCUUGAGCAUCUUAGUCAAGGGACUAAUAUGCUUUGAAGCUUUGCGAAACAAUUCCCUCACAUAGUUGACAACACCAAGGAAUUGUUGUACCUGUUGUUUUGACAAAUUUUCUUCUGGAAAAUCUUUAACAGAUUGUCCAACAUGUUGUUCAGGUGUACAAGUUCCAUUGGAAAUUUUCAUUCCCAGAAAUGAAAUUUCUUUUGUUGCCAAAAUCAUUUUCUUUUCAGAAAUCAUUAUACCAUAUUGCUUCACCAAAUCAUGAAACUGAUUAAGCAAUCUGAUAUGUUCAUCCAAAGAAUGGCUGAAAAGAAGAAUACCAUCAAUAUAGAUGAGUGCAGUAUGUAAGAUAGGUUGGAAGAUUUUAAUCAUGGCUUUUUGAAAAAGUGAUGGUGCUGUUUUGAGACCAAAAGGCAUCACCUUCCAUUGGUAAUGAUGAUUUGGAAUACAAAAGCCAGUUUUAUGCCGAUCUUCGGGAUAAAUUCCUAAUUGCCAAAAUCCAGAUUUUAGAUCAAACUUUGAAAACCAAUUUGCUUUCGCAAUCUGAGAGAAAAGUGUAAAUCUGUUUGGAAUUGGAAAUUUAUCAUCAAGUAGGAAAAUAUUCAGGGGUUGAUAAUUGAUUACCAACCUCAUUUUCCCUCUUACCUGUUCUGAUCUCUUGUUGACAUAAAAAGCUUGACAUGCCCAUUGAGAAUCAGAGACUUCAAUCAAACCAUAUUUCAAGAGUUCUUGGCAUUCUUGAUCAGCAAGUUGAGUAUCCUCAGGAUUCAUUCCAGAAUGACUUGCUUUUGUGGGAUUUAUAUCCUCAUUCUUUUUGAAAGGAAGAUGGAUAUAAAAAUCAGAAUUUUCCCACGAUGGAUGAUCACAUUUUUGUAAAAACUCUUGAUGGUUAGAAGCACAAGACUCCUUGAUAAUUUUCUGUUGAAAUUUCUUGAGUCUUUCUUCUAAGGAAAUAGAGGUUUCAUCCUCUAUAAGAUAAAGAUUAGGGAUUUCUAUAAAAGAUUUGAAAAACUUUCUUGAUCUGAUCCCUCUGGCUGUAAUAAAAAAUUUGUCUUCUCUGUAAAUAUCAAAGCUAAGUAAAAGAUCUUUUCCAGAAUCAAGAUUAGCUCCUAGGAAUUGGGUAGUAAUGGUACAGUCUGGAAGAAGUUUUAGAGUAAUGGGAUUUUUAGUAAUGAAGUUUGUGUAAAAAGAUUUCCCAUCAGCUCCAGUAAAUUCCUUUUCAUAGGAGGUCCAAAAAUAGUCUGGUAAAACAUCUUUUUUCAUGAUAGAUAGAGUAGCACCAGUAUCAAAGAAGGCAAUUAAUGGGAUAGGCGUAGAAUAUUUGCCCAAUAGAAGAUGAACAAGUGCUUGAGGAUAUAUGGGCCUUUUCCCAUGUUCCUUUGUUUUUGCCAUUAGAAUUUCUGGUAAAGCCAAAAGAGUAGAAUCAUUUUGUUCUUCUUGUUCAGAAAAUUCAGAUUCUAAAUCAGAAAACUAUAAAUCAAACUCAUUCUGAAUUUCUAAAAUGAGAUGUACUCCCUUUUGGUUUUGAGGACAAUUUUUCGCAAAAUGUCCAGGCUUUCCGCAAACAAAACAUUUGGAUCCUUUCUUCCCCCGGAACUAUUUACUUCUUCUCUUGAAAAAUCUCCAUCUUUUCCUGAAAGGUCGUUUUGAAAAUUGUUUAUAGCUUUUGCUAAAUGUCUUGAAUCUUUUAAACUUUUUCCUUUUCUUAAAUGGUCCACAAGCUUUGCAUUUUCCUUUGAUAAUAAGCUCGGGCUUCUUGCAAGCUUGAUCAAGACAAACAUCUCCUUUGAGAUAUUCUCGGAUAACCUUUCUGUUGUGACAUAGAUCGUCAAGAGCCAACAAAACUGCUUGUCUCAUCUGGCCGGUCGUAAGAUUAAGGAUUGAUCCAUAUUUAUUAUGGAUAUAUAUCCCAGCUCCUUCUACAAGUGAUUUGGGUAGUGAACUGAUAAAUGCUUGUUUCAAAUUAAUAUCUGCACCAAGAGUAUAAAAAAGUUUAGUCAUUCUUUUGAAAUGCUUAUUUAUAUCUUUCCGAUCAUAAGAUAAACAUUUCAUCUGAAAAAACUCUUUUCUCUUAGUUUCCCGGCUUUCUUUGACAUCUCCUAUAAACAUCAGAUGAAGGAUGUUUAUAUUUUCUGAAAAAUCUUGUCUGGUCAAGAAAGUAAUUUUGUCAGCAUCACCAAGACUUGUCCACCAAUCUUUUAAGAUUCCUGAAAAAUGAGCAGUGAAAGUUGGGAGAAUUUCAAAAUGAGAUUCUUCAUGAAGAUUUUGAGCCGUCAUCCAGGCAUGAAAUUCUUGGAAUUUUGCUUCCCAUUUUCCAGCAGGAAUAUCAUCUAUGGAAAAUAAUUGUACUCCCUUUGUUUUAGGAAAAUCUUGUCUUGGAGGCCUGUUUGCCGAUGUUUCUUCCUCUGCCUCAGAUUCUGGUUCUUCAACAACUUCAGAAUUCAUAAGAAUAAGGGGAAUCUCCUCCUUGUCUUCUUUGUCGUCUUCAGAGAAUUCAGUUGAAUCUGGGGAUUCAUAUUCUGAUUCUGAUUCAGAAGAUGGUGAAGUAUCCUUAGAGCUUUUGUCCUCGUCAUCUGAGCUUUGAGACUGAUCUGACUGAGAGUCAGCUUUAGAAGUAGUGAGACAGUGAAUUGAAUCGUGAUGAAGAUCCUCUAACAUAGAAGAUAAAGGAUUUUCAUAAACUUUGGUAGAUUCAAUCGCUUUUUGUUCCUGUUGAAUAGAAAAGGAAGGAUUAGAUUGUACAGUGUACAUUAAAGAAGUUUCUGUUGCAACCUGUUUUGCCUUUCUUUGUCUUUCUUCUUCUUGCUUCUUUUGUUCAGCUUCAACCUUUUGUUUUUGCCUUACUUCAAGUUGUUGAGCUUUUUUAUUCCUUCGAUAUUCUCGAAGUACUUGGGCAAUAUCCCAAGGUUGUUUUGCAGCUGGUUGUGGCUGGUCUGGGAAAAAGACUGAAGGAUUAGGAGUGGUUACAUUUCCAAAAUAAAAUGGAGUAGGCCAAUUCCUUAAAGGGAUGGCUCCAAACCCUGAGCUUACCUGUGAAGGAGGUUCUGAUGGUCCAACAUCAUAUUUUGGGAUUUCACCUGUAGUUUUUAAAGUAGCAAUUUGUUUUUGAAGAAACGCAGUUUCUUUUUCUUGGUUUAAAACAAAAUUUACUAAAUCGGAUGCAUUCAGUGGUGAAUCAUAUUUGAUGCUGGCAAGCCUUUUUUCAAGAACACUAAUCAUUUUUUAUACUUUCUCUUUUUGAGAUUUGACUGUAGUAUCCAAAUGAUUAACUGAAGUACCAAGGGUACUUACCUGUUGAGAUACCUCUGAGACAUUGUGAUGAAUUGAGGUAAGAGCUGAAUUUUGUACCAAGGAGUUUUCUGUCUGCCAGUUAAGGAUUUCAUAAGAAAUAUCUGUAGUAGCAGAUUCUCCGGUUGGUAAGACAAUAGGAGCUGCAUUUUGGAUCUUUGGGGUAUGUUUAGAACCAUUUUUUACAAAUGAUUCCAAAGGUGGGAAAUCAGCAUCCUGAAACAUGAAACAUGGAAUAGGUUGAGAACUGAUUUCUGGUGACUUAGGUACUGGUUUGUAUUCCUUCUAGAUUUUCUUGGUUUGAUGUCUUGCUUCCUUUUCUAGUAUAUCUAAGCACUUUUGGUAAUAGGGAUGCAAGAUCUUUUCUGGUUUAGGUUUCUGAUAAACCCAUGAAGAAGGAAUUUGAUAACCAUAAAAAGUACUACGUGCUGCUUGGAAACUGUCUGCAUCAGGAUCUUGUGGCUUUGGAUUAGGCUUGCAAGGUCGAGGUUCACAAGGUUGUGGAUCAACUGGUUUGGAUUUCUUUUUAAAAGAAAUUUCAGAAGCAUCUAGCUCCAGUUGUUUUGCCCAAUAACAUUCUUCACACCUCGUACAAGUAUCAAAAUAGAUAUGACCUGAUAUAGGAUCAUUUUAAUAAUAAGGGAGAAGCAGUUUAAAUCACACAUAAAUAAUCUUGCCACAAUAGCCUUUCACUAGGCUCAAUGUCAUUCAAUUACAAAAUAAUGCUAGCAAUGUGACCGGAACUAAUGUUGAAGACAAAUAACAAAAUAACAGGUUUGACAUCUCUUCGCGUUUCGGUCACAACCGAAGCUACACUUAUCGGAUUCGGGUACACUUUACACCAUUUCGAAGCUAAGACAGAGAACUACAUUUCCUAUGAAGACAUCAACACCCAAUUUAUUCAUUUUCAAGGUCAAAAUAUGCAAUCUCAUAGAAAACAGAACACUGUCCACAAAACAGUACAUUUGGCAGUCAAGGGUAUUUUUAUCAUUUCACAUGCUACUAUCCUCCAAUUGAGCUGAAAUUUUGCAGGAAGCUAGUUAACACCAUUUCCUACAACUUUCAUGUUUUGACCUAAGCCUGAUUCAGCCUCUAACAUGGACGAAUUAAACAGGACAGAACAUGGCAGUUUCAAUCUUAAAGCUAGAAAUUUUCUUUAGGCAAGUUCAUCUAGCACAUAAUACACUAAUUUAUCACAUAACAAAACUAUCAAACCAUGGCCAAUCAUUAAUCAUCACAUGAGAGCAGAAAAUUCACCAUAAAAACUGAAAUUUAUCAUAACACUACUUCAACCCAUGAAAUUUCUCACAAAACUACAUAUUUAACAACUCUAAUCCACCAAUUUACAACUAUUAAGAGCAAAGAGGGAUUUCUAGACAAGUUACCUUGGAACCUUAAGAAAGAUGGUAGCUUAGGGUUUCUUCUUCCAAAAUCACUCCACCAAAAGCUCUAAACCUUCUUAGUGAGUAACUUUUAUGGAGUAGUUUGCAAUUUUAACGGUUGGAACUCAAGAUUUGAGGAAGAAAUUGAAGAUGCAAGAUGAAGUUUUCCCUCUUUUUCCUCUCCCUAUUUUCGGUCAAGAAGACAAGAAAGUGAAGGAAAUUUUGGUCAAAUUUUGAGUUUUAGUAAAGGUAAGAAACUUGGGUCAAAGUUGGGUAGAUUUCCGACAAGUGUCGCCGUAGGAUCAAAGCUCAAUUUUUUCUUUUUUUUCUUUGGUCAAAUAUUGUGGCUGGUUUAAGAGAUAUUUUAGGGUUAAUUAGCUGAAAUAAAAGCAAGGAUAUUAAGGUAAUAAAGUAGUGUUCAAGUGGUGUACUCACUCGGUAACAAACGGUACACGUCGGUUCAUACAGUUUUUCCUUAACUCGCACGUACUAGGGUUUUAACUUAUGAUUCACUAAUUUAUUAUUAUUACUUCUAAUCACACACUUUCUCUUAUCUAAAACUCACUCUUAAUCACUAAAUUGAGUACACACUCCUCACCGAUUAUUCACUCUACCAAAAGACGCAACAAACCCUAAUUUACGAUAACAAGAAAACGAAAGGAAAAACCCUUGAUUCUAUGUUUAAUUGCAAUUAUUGAGGGGGUGAAUGAGUAUUAAAACUAUUGUAAAAUAAUGGAUUCCAAAUAAAGCUAUUGUAAAAUAAUGGAUUCCAAAUAAAGCUAUUGUAAAAUAAUGGAUUCCAAAUAAAAGGGAAUUUUUAAGAAAAUAUGAGGGAUUUUACAAGUCCUCACAAUCACACUACCAAAAUGCAUAAAAAAACACACCAAAAACCCUAGUAUGCACAAAAAUCCUAACUUAUGCCCUUCCUUUAGAAAAAUCAUAACUUGAGUGAGUUAUAAAUAUAAAAAAUUCAUACAACUUGACUUGUUAAAAACUAGAUUUCAAAUACUAAUAAUCUUUAGAAGACACCUCAAAGAGAUUUUGAUGUGUGCAUGGAUCAGGGCCCACACAAAGAUGACCCGGUCCGAGUUCCAUUGGGUCCAGUCACACGCGCACAGGCCAAGCUCUUCAAGGAAUCCCUCCAAGCCCUUGUUCGAGUUGUCCAAGACCAACAUGGAGUCCAUAGAGAUAUUGAAGGCUUGGAAAGAGACAAUCAAGUAGUCUACACCUUGAUCCUAGCCCAUGAAGAAUCAAGUGGGCCUCCACGUGAGUUGGCCGAGUAGGGCCUUAGUCUUUGAUAUUUAUUAGAUUGGAUUAGUUUGCUUAGUAGAAUGGGCCGGCCCAUCUUUACACCAAGAUGGCCGACCACUUCUUUAGGGUUUUCUUAGGGUUUCUUUUAUUGUUAUCUAGCCUAUAAAUAGGCUUGCUUUGUAAGGUUCCAAGUACAAGUUUUAUGAAUAAAGUUCUUAGUAUUUUCGUUUUCUUCUUAAGAGAGAAUUCGAGCCUUUAACUUGCUUCGGCAAGGGUUAUUGAGCAAUCUUGCGUCUUGUCCAUGAUUGUUCGUCCGACCUAUCUCUUGGAGUAAUCACCUUUAUUGGAGUCAUCGUUCCACCGCUUUAAAACCAACUCGUGUCGACCGUGUUGAUUUAAAGUCCCGCAAACCAAGCGUAGGACAACCUCGCUAGAUCCUUGGGCAAACAUGCUACGUGUCUCGAAACAAGUUGAUUGAGGAACGUAUCAGUUGGCUUCAGAGCUUUGGUUGAGGUAUCUUUCGUUAUAUCCAUUGUUUUUUUUUUGGUUAGUUUUCGUGUUUUCCGCUGCCUUGUCUUACAUAAAAAAAAAAAAAAAAUUCUGUCCGUUCUAGUGUUAUUCUUGUUGCGUCAUUUGUCAAAAAAAAAAAAAGAAGAUCCUGCUCGAUAGUUUUCUUGUCCUUGUCGCGUUAAUUUCUGUCCUUGUUGCGUCGUUUCAUUGAAAAAAAUUCUGUCCGCUACUUGUGUGUCGUAUUGCUUCUAAAUUCUGGUCGUAGAUUGUCAUCAAUCUGACCUUGAUUUGUGCGAUAACGUGGUGGGAAAAUUUCUGCCCAAGUAGUGCUACAAAUCUGGCCGUCACUUGGUUAACGUUGUGGAGUCGCGAACUUGUUCGUCGUACGCCCCAAAUCUAUCCAAAUUUUGUGUUCUAAUCUGACCAGAUUUUGUCCCCUGCUGUUGCACCGAAUUCUGCUAGCAUCUUGUCAUAGCCGAACUACAAAAGAAAAAAAAAAAGAGCGGCUAGGGUUUUCCUUGGUUGUCAAAUCUGUCCAAGUGUCAAUUGUUUAUCUAAGUUGUUUUAGUUAGUUUUCUAAACUGAUUUGUGGUUCAAACUUGUUGGAGUUGAGCAUCUUGAAGGAAACUACAAACAUCUUGAGGUUUCUUGAAGUUCUUGAUUACUCUCUUGAAAUUCUUGAAAGUCUUGGAGAAAUCUUGCUAGUUUGAGGAAGUUGGGUUGUGUGUUUUUGCGAGUUGAGGGCUGACCUUAAUUCUGGAAUUUUAUUCCAGUUCGGCCAAGUCAUGAUAUUUGUUUGAUAUAAAAAAAAAAAGAGAAAACAGAAAUGAAAACAAGAAGAAAGCCAUUCGGGUGGGACAAACCAAACAAAGAAGAGCCGAACAAGAAAGAGGAAAACUUGGUUCGUUUAUUGCCAACUCAGAUUUGUUACAUCUUGGGGUACCAAAACCAGAAAAUUACACCAAGGAAAGGGAAAGAAACUCAAAAGUUUUGGCCUACCUCUUCUUGAAAAUCUUGAUCACCUUGAGCCUUGAUCACUUGUACCACUCUUUGAGGUUCUUGAUUAUCUUGAGCCUUGAAAACUUGCACCUCCCUCCGAAUAAAAAGUUUCUUGUACGUUCUUGCAUCCAUACGGAGCUUUCUUGGUUUAGGACUAAACUUCUUGGGAGUUUCUUGAGCUAGUCGCUUGGGGGAUUCUUGAGUGACAUUGCUCGCAUUGUCUUGGGAAGCCAUUGUCUUGAACAAGACCAAACUGCCUUGGAAGUGGAGGGGCCGAAUUGAAAUCUGGUUUGGAGUAGAGAGGGCCGAACUGCUUGGAGCAAGGUGCGUGGCUGCCUACGAGGGUUUUUGUAGGAAGGUUAGCCGACUUUGGGAAGGGUUUAAAGGGGAAGAAUCUGGAAAUUUCAGAGGUCUAAUUCGGUUGAAAUAGGAGCUACCAAAUCUGGUUUGUGUUGGGUGUGAAGUGUGUGGCUGUGAGAGGAGGUUUGUAGGGAAUUGGCCGACCUUGGGGAAGGUUUUAAGAAGCAAAAUUCUGGAAAAUUUUCAGUCAACUAAAGGGGGGGGCCGAAUCUAUUUGGAGAGGUCUUCAAAGGGAGUUUCCAACUCAAACUUGUUUUCCAAAUUGGUUUAGAAGACUAAGUAAAUACUUGGAUAACUCUCGGUUCACUUGGACACUUCCCUAUUUUCUCUCCUUGCUUUAGGGAACCACUCCUACUUUCACUCCUACAUUUUAGGAACCGCUCCUACAUCUUAGGAAAUCUAGGGUUUCCUUCUUAGCAUUAAUUCCAAAUCUGCCCGCCAACAAUAACCCUUCACAAUUCGUUCACUCCAUCCCAAAGUGUCACCCAAUUGUGUCCUUCAUUCUUGAAUACUCUUGUGGGAUAAGUUGGUGACAAAUCAUUGGACUCGAGCAGCAUUUCUCAACUACCUAUUCCAACAGGUAAAGGUACUUGGUAAGUCUAAUUGAGUGUUUUGAGGGCUAUACACGAGCGUGAGUGAUACACUAAGGGAGUGAAGUGAGGCUAUACUUGCAUUUUCUUUGCUUGUAUUAACCUUUUGCAGGGCAUCACGUGAGACAUGGAGCCACAACCAGCAUCCACCGACCACUCCUUAUUGUUCGCCGCAAUGAAGAAUGAGCUUAGGCGCUUCAGUGAGCAACAAAUGGAAGAACUGUACACUCAUUUCGACGAGUUAUCGAAGAGUCUCACACCAGGCUCUCGUUCGAGAUCCCACAACCGGAGUAACCAUGGCCCCAAGGAGGCAAAUAGCGAAGACUACUUCGCUAGUGAGGACGAGGAGAGACCCAAGAAGCCUCGAAGGGACACGCCCAAGAACGAACUGAAGGGGCUUAAGAUUCAAGUACCCGCGUUCAAGGGCAAGAGCGACCCUGAGGCGUACUUGGAGUGGGAAGGUCGCAUCGAAAUGGUCUUCGACUGCUACGAUUAUAGCGAGGAACAAAAGGUCAAGGUUACCACCGUUGAGUUCACCGACUACGCCCUAGUUUGGUGGGACCAAGUGAGGACCUAUCGGAGAAGAAUGGGGGAACCGCGAGUCUGAACUUGGAGAGAGCUCAAGGCAUUGAUGCGAAAGCGAUUCGUUCCAAGCUACUACAACCGAGACCUCCACUCGAAAUUGCAAACCCUCACUCAAGGCAACAUAAGUGUGGAGGACUACUACAAAGAGAUCGAGAUGGCCAUGAUGAGGGCGAACCUUCAAGAAGAUAGCGAAGCAACCAUGGCUAGAUUCCUUCGAGGUCUCAACCUAGACCUUCAGGAAGCCUUAGAGCUCCAACACUAUGUGGACAUGCAUGACCUUCUUGAACUCGCUAUCAAGGCCGAGAGGGGAAAGAGACUGAGGCGAGGAGGCCGUACCUUCCAGUCUUCACACUCCACCUCAUGGAAGGGCAACCAACCACGGAGGGCGAUCCACGAAGCUGGAUAUUCGGCCACACCAACUUCUUCAAGCCGACUUCAAGGUAAUGCUCCUAGCCGAAAUUCUAAUUCUACCCCUAACAAAGUUACCGAUACAUCCAGGUCUACUUCGAAGGCACCACAUGAGACUCCUAAGACUAGGAGUAGGGACAUCAAAUGCUUUAAGUGCCAAGGGUUUGGGCAUGUUCAAUCUCAAUGUCCAAACCAACGGGUCAUGCUAAUCACUCACAAUGGCGAGAUCGUGUCCGAUGAUGACGACUGUGAGGAGAUACCCGAAUUGACCAAAGGCGACUGCCUGGAUGAAGACUCUGUUGAGGAAGAUUGCUCGCCUACACAAGGGGAAGUAUGGUGCUUGGUGGCACGAUGAGUGCUAACCGCCCGAGUUAAGGAGGACGAGCAACUACAACGGGAGAACCUGUUUUACACCCGUUGUAAAGUAGGUGACAAGGUGUGUAGCCUCAUCAUCGACGGUGGGAGUUGCACAAAUGUGGCAAGCUUACUCAUGGUUGAGAGCUUAGGGCUUCCAACUACUAGACAUCCACACCCUUAUCGCCUCCAAUGGUUGAGUGAGGAUGGAGAGGUACGUGUCUUCAAACAGGUACGCGUUCCCUUUACCAUUGGAACUUACACUGAUGAAGUUGUUUGUGACGUUGUGCCUAUGCAUGCUACCCAUGUUAUCUUGGGGAGACCUUGGCAAUUUGACAAACACGUCACAUUCGACGGAAGGGCCAACAAGUACACACUCUUGCAUGAUGGCAAACGCAAGGUCCUCACCCCACUCACACCUGCACAAGUGUAUGAGGACCAACUUAAGCUACAACGAGAGUGUGAACAAGACCGUCAAAGGAGGAAACAAAAGGCGGUCGACCCUGGCAAGGGCCCACUUCUGCAAGUGAGCCAUCAACCAAGGGUCAAGUGAGCACACCUAGUGUUAGGCAUGACAAAGCACCCACUACACCUACCACUAGGAAGCAAAACAUGAUUAUUAAGGCUAAGGACGUUAGAAAAGUUGUCAAUUCUGACCAGCCUGUACUUCUCAUGAUUUGCGAGCAUGUGCUUUUGGAUGUAGCUGAACUCGAUAAGGCAUUGCCUGUGGCGACCCCACUUCCCCCUAAGGCGAACCGAAGGGUUGGCGGGCCGUCUGCCCAGCUCUCGCCAGGACUCACGCAAGCAAACUAACCUGAAAUCUUCCGACGAUAAACUUAACUAUUACAAUAAGGAUUCUUCCGAAAUAAGUCGAUUUACAAACCACAUUAACUUCAGAGGUAACAGUAUAAAACUUAGCCAAUCGACAGUUCCUAAACACUUCUAGCGACGCUCGCGAUAGCUAAUGAUAUACUAUACUAAUACAAACACACAAGUUGAGUACUAGAAAUAGAGAUUACACUUUUCCAGCUUCAAGUGGCAAUCCAAAAUAAAAAGUACAUUAUCCGAAUCAAACACAAUACAGCCCACAACAUAAGUCAUAGUAUUCAGUACAUUCAAGAAGGGAAACAUAAGCAAGUAUUCCAGCUUUCAACUUCCAGAACCUGUUAAGGAAAACAAUAAACGUGGGGUGAACUAAAGCUCAGUGGUGCCCCAAAACAUGCACUCACAUAAAUCAAACAACAGAUAACAAUUUAAACAAAUUUAAUCAAUUAAGAAAGCGUAUAACAGCACAAGGUAGGAUACAUGGGCUCUCGGGAGCCAUUCUCCUCGCUUGAUCAGAUACCCUCGUAGUUGACCCUCCGUCAACUUUCACUACCUAUAGUCCAUGUAGAUCCACUUAUUUUAAUCCUAACCCGUCACCGUUCAUACCUCCGCUUCGGGCCCGAACUUCGUCUACCGACGCAGUAUACUCGAGAUAUACCCGUAAUAGAAUUAGUCGAGAGAUUCACGAAUCGACGUUUUUGUAGUUGAUUCAAGUGUCGAGGGAUUCACCCAACGACGUAACUACUUUUAGAUUCAAGGAUUAUUGUAGUUGAUUCAAGUGUCGAGGGAUUCACCCAACGACGUAACUACAUUUAGAUCCAAGGAUUUUUGUAGUUGAUUCAAGUGCCGAGGGAUUCACCCAACGACGUAACUACUCUUAGAUUAAGGAUUCACGGGAAAAAUGAUUCACGCAAGUAACCACUCGAACGGCUAGUGCGAUAAAGUACACACUGCUCACUUCGAUGGAUCAAAAACUCAUUUUACAAUUCAUCACAUAUCGAGUCAAGAAAGCACUUAAUUCAAGUAGGAAAAGAACAGGCAGGGACACUCACCAAGAGUGAAGUUCAGAUAUCAGGUUGGGAAUCGAAUUCCGCGUCCUCGCGAUAUCCUAAAACCAAAUUUUGAAACUAUAAGUUUCUAUUCAGUUUUUAAACUUAUUCGUAUAAGAAUUUAUUUAAUAUAAUACUAGUUUACUUUCUCAAGAGAUUUCAAAAAUCUAUUUAGAUUGAAGCUUGACAAAAGUCAUAGAAAUGUUCUUUAUUUUCCUUAGAAGAGGGUAACUAGUGUUAUUUACUAGCAACAAGUCGACAAACUUCUCAAAAUCAUGGUUAGAAAGUUACUUUGAACAUUUCUCUAAAGUUACGGCUUUUGCAAAAUUAUCCUUAAAAACUAUUUUUCCUAAAAUAGGGUUUCUUGCCGAGCAAGUCUCCCAAGCUUUUCACUAGGAUUAGUAGAACUAGUAUUUUAAAACUUUUCCUAUAGUUAACUAUACAAGUGCAAGGCUUAUAGGAAGGAAAAGAAUUGAAAUAAGAUUUGUAGUUUCCAAAAGUUAUAGAACUUAUGUACCAUAGCUAUCGGAGCUGGUUUGAGCUGAAGGAAAUUAUUAAAUUGGAAAGUUUUAGGCAAAACGCUAGAUAUAGAGUUUUAUAAUAUAAUCCUAAUUGGAAAAUAUUCUUGGUUAAUUUUGAACGCGGCUACUCGAGUUCGCAAGGUCUAUACAAUUUCCCCGCUCCGAUUCCGUUUCGAAAUCACAAUAUAGAUCAAAAUAUAGCAAAAAUCACAUAGCACGUUACUAGGGCUUCGUCAAUCAUUAGCCCUAGCUUUCAACAAUUGCAUUCUCGAAUAAAAUAAAAUAGUCAACCAAGGCUUCAUCAAUCAUUAGAACUUGGUUUCAGCAACCCAAUAUAAGCAAAUAAAAUAAAAGUGAAGUCCCAAGACAUUCUAGCAAUUAUUUUCUGUCAUCCAGUAACACUUUAUAAAAAGAAAUCAUUUCAAUGGCUAAGGGUUCAUCAAUCAUUAGCCCUUAGCACUCACCCAGUAAUUCUUAUGACAACCAAGCUUAACUUAUCAAAUAUUUAAAUCUGCUAACAGUUAUUUAGAACCAAAGAUCACAUUUGCAGCAGCCUCCUAUUCAAGUAUUUGAUCCAAAGCCAAGAAAUACUAUCCACAAUAUCACAUUGUCACCCCCAAAUUCCAAGGCAUGACCAUCUCAAGGUAUUAUAAAGCAAAUUCAAAGGUAGUACAAUUUUUCCACAACUCCAAGAUAUAUAAAGUAAUCCAUACGUACUACUUUAUCAAUCAUGACCAAGGCUGGAAAAAUUUCCAGCUUAUCUCCAUAACUGCACUUUACUUAUUUCGAAAACGAAGUCCCAAGAUAUCAAAUGGUUUAUUGCCAAACAGAUUCCACAGGCUACUUGUGCAUGUAAUCAUGCAUUUCGAGUUCCUAACAACUUAGGGAAAUAAAUUCUAAAGUCAAGCUGAAGAUUCUGGUUCAUAAUCAAAUUCGAGCAGUAGAGUUAAACCUCCCAAAAUUUUCAAAAGUCUGUUUAGUAAACCACGGAUGAAUCAUGCAUGAAGGAAAUUUCUGUUUUUACUUCAUUUACUCGGGUGAGGUAGGCUUUUAAACUCUCACAUUCUCAUGCAAUGACUUAGCUAAACAAUGCACAAUUUCCAUUCAGGAGUUGAAACUAAACCACCGUUAUAAUCUUCAAAAUUUCCAGGUUCAAGUUAACGGUAAUUCACAAAGGAAUUCCAGCAAUAGCAGUGAUUUCAAAACAGAAUUUUUCUUUGGUUAAAACAGGAUUUUUGGUACUCUAUUAGUUCUUGAAAACAUAGCUAGCUAGUACAGAUUUUCAAAACAAAUCCAGGUUCAUGCUAUAACUGUAUUCAUCAAACACAAAUCCAGAAUUUAUUUCUACUAAGUUCGGAUGAUGGUUCCUGAAAUAAUUUUCUGUUUUCAUUUUUAUUUUCCUGGAUAGCCAAGCUACAAAAACCUUAUGCAAACUUCAAUUAACAUGUUGUUAACUAGUUAAUCAUAUACAUUAACUCAUAAAAGCCCCAUAAUCAUAGAUUGAGAACUAAAAUUCAAUUCCAGGUCUCGGAAAUUUCAGGUCAUACAAAUUCCCAAUUCACUUAAACCAGAAUUUUUUUUUAGGUUCUUUAAUUCAUCAAUUUACUUCGUAGAAUUAACAUGCAUGGUCUUAGACCUCAUGAACAUUGAGAUUCACACAGCUAAUUACUCUUGUGUGAUCACAUUAUCACAGAAAGACAAAAUUAUAGAUGCACUUCCAAGUCAUUUCCACGGCAAAAAUCAUUUUUCCUCAAAACAGAAUUUCUUUCUUCCUAAAUUCAUUAUCCGAGGAUAUAGCAUGGACUUGCAAAGUAGUAAACAGAUUCACUGGUCAGUAAUUAGAUCAUUAAUUCCCUGCACAAGCUCGGUUUAAGACAGUUUAGCUGAUUAGAGUUGCAUUAUCAAAUUCAGCCCACGAUCAUUCUGUUUUCCUUAAACCAGAAAUUUCCCAAAUUUUGUUUCAUCAUCUAAUCGCACCUAGCCAACAUGCAGAUCGAUAACUAACUUCAUCCCCUAUUAGAUAAACAUAACUAUAAGUUCCAGAACAACAAACUGGAGCCAAGUGAAGCUGCAAUGCCCAAAUCAAUCCUCGGCAGGGACAUCUAACCGAAACAGAAAAUUUUUCUAAUAUCUUAAGUUCAUCAUCCGAACACUUAGAUUGACAUGCAUGACCUUGAGCAUCAUGUUUAGUGUUAAGUAACCGUAUAUAUGAGCUCAGAUUACCUCAAAGAAAUAAAAUUAAAGUUGCAUUUCUAAUUCAGCUACUCGGCAGUCCGAAAUCAAGAUUUCCAGAAUUUUAAUCAAUCAUCCUUGGUGGUCAGAAUGUGGCCAGAUUUUAAGUCCAUUAAAUCUUUUCUAACUUAUCCUUGUUCACUCGACAAAUGCAAGGCUUAAACAACCUUUAGUCAGUUUAAAUGGAGCUCAGGAAUCACCUCACAGCAAGCUAAGUUCUCGGACAGAAUGUUUGAAAGGUUCUCCUUCCUCACGGCCCUCACGCACGAAGCAGGUUCUGGUUGUAGCUGGUGAUUGUUGGUCGAGGAUGGUGAUGGCCAGCAACUCCUACAACUUCCACUAGCUCCCCCCUUCCUCUCCUCUAGCUCACGAACAGAAUUGGUAGAUGUGUGGCUCGGUUUCUUCCUCUCUACUCUGGCGAUGAUAACAAGGAAAUGGUGGGAUGUUAUCUGUUGUAGGGAGUGUGCAGAGGGUAUGGGGUGAGAUUGUGAAGUGGUGCUGCGGAUUUGAGGGAGGUUGAGUGUCGACAGAGGUGGUGUGCUGCAGUGGUGAAAUGUGUGAUUGGCCGGCUGAGGUGGUGGAGCUGCGGUUGGCCGAGCUGGGUGGCUUGUGAUCAUGAUGUCCGGGAGUUGUUUGGGUUGCAGAAAUUGGUUAUGGUCGUGGGUGGUGUUGUGAGGUUGUGAGGGUAUUGUAGACAUUUCACUAAUUCUCCAAUUAGCCACUCAAGUCCUUGGUCCUAAUUAAGCUCCAAAAAUUGUCCCCAAAAUUGCUUUGAACGUCUAAUUAAAAUGCUAAUCUUGCAAGACUUUGAUUAUCACCAAUUUAGGUCCUCAAUAUGGUUAGGGUGCUUGUAUUAUCUUGAUCUGGAAUUAAUUGAUUACGAAUUAGUAUUAAGCUUUCUUUAACAUUCUUGUUUGGUUAAUUAACCUAUUAAAAUCAAGUUUGACCAAUAUAUAAAAAUCCAACAUUUAUGUUAACACGAAAGGUUUAGUCUAGCUCCAAAAAUCUUAAUUUAGUUUAGCGGAACCAAGGAAUUCAUAACUCAGAAAAAUUAUAUAAAUUUCCACAUAAGCGUGUUUUACGUACUUAAUUGCAAACAAGUAAAAGUAGUACUAGGAAUUAUUAACGAAUAAAAGAGGUGUGAAAGACAUACGUAAUAUUAUUUAUAUAAGCAUUUUCAGGGUUCUCACAUCCUCCCCUCCUUACAGAGAAUUUUGUCCUCAAAAUUCACACAUUCUGAAUAAAUAAAUCAGGAUACUUUUUCUGCAUUUCUUCUUCUAACUCCCAAGUUGCUUCUUCGAGUCCAUGAUUUUUCCACAAAAUCUUCACCAGGGGAAUUUUCUUAUUUCUCAGCUCCUUCAUUUCUCUUUCCAGAAUCCUGACCGGUCCUUCUUCAUAAGUUAACUUCUCAUCCACCUCAAUUCCUUCUAGUGGCAACACGUGACUUGGAUCGGAAUAAUAUUUCCUAAGCAUGGAAACGUGGAAUAUAUCAUGAAUCUUGGCCAUGCUUGCAGGCAACUUCAAUUGAUACGCUACCAGCCCGACUUUCUUCAAAAUUUCAAAAGGUCCAAUGUACCUUGGCUUCAGCUUCUUACCUUUCUUAGACACUACCCCACCCUUUAAGGGUUUAACUCUGAGGAAAACCUUGUCACCUACUUCAAAUUCCAAAUCCUUCCUCCUUGUGUCGGCGUAGCUCUUUUGUCUAUUCUGAGCAACUUGAAGCCAUUCUCUGAUCAAUUUUACUUUUUCCUGGGCUUCUUCUAUCCAAGGUAUAGCUGUGGGGUCUACGACCUUCUUUUCUCCAACUUCAUCCCAAUGAAUCGGAGAUCGACACCUUCUUCCAUACAAAGCCUCAUAAGGUGCCAUCUGGAUUGAAGCCUGAUAGCUAUUAUUAUAAGCAAAUUCCACUAAGGUCAUAUAUUGGCUCCACUUACCUCCAAAAUCCAGUAUACACGACCUCAGUAGAUCCUCCAAAGUCUGAAUUGUCCUUUCCGACUGCCCGUCGGUUUGGGGAUGGUACGCAGUACUAAACUUCAACUUGGUCCCCAAAGAAUCCUGAAAUUUCUGCCAGAAGCGCGAGACAAACCUUGGGUCUCGAUCAGACACGAUACUCACUGGAAUACCAUGUAACCUUAGGAUCUCUUCUGUGUACAACUUGACCAAUUUUUCCAAUGAGAAACUCAUGCUUACAGGUAAGAAGUGUGCAGACUUGGUGAGUCGAUCGACUAUGACCCAAAUUGCAUCAAAACCUUUUUGACUUUUAGGUAAGCCCGUUACAAAAUCCAUUGUUAUGUGUUCCCAUUUACAUUCAGGGAUUUCUAACGGCUGCAAUAAACCAGAAGGUUUUUGAUGUUCAGCUUUUACUUGUUGGCAGAUUAAGCAUUUUUGUACAAAUGCGGCCACGUCCUUUUUCAAACCUUCCCACCAGUAUAAUUCCUUUACAUCAUGAUACAUCUUGGUCACACCUGGGUGUAUGAUAUACUUUGAUCGAUGUGAUUCUUCCAAAAUUUCUUUUCUUAACUCUUCGUCUGACGGAACCACAAUUCGAUCUUGAAACCUCAAUACCCCUUCAGAUCCUAACUUGAAGUCUAGGGUUUCCCCUUUUUGCACUUUCUCCAAAUUCUUCCGAAUCAUAGGGUCUGUUUUCUGGGCUUCCUUAAUCCGCUCUAGUAACGGUGACUUCAAUGAUAGGUUCCCUAACAAAACUUUCAAAUUCUCCAAGCGAGGGUUCCAACCACUUAUUUCUUCUAACAUAUCCCACUCUUUUACCAUUAACCCUGCUACUUGGGCCUUCCUACUAAGAGCGUCAGCCACCACAUUGGCUUUUCCUGGGUGGUAAUUAAUCGAGCAGUCAUAAUCUUCCAGAAAUUCUACCCAUCGCCUUUGUCUCAAAUUCAGCUCCUUUUGGGAGAACAAGUACUUGAGGCUCUUAUGAUCCGUAAAAACCUCAAAAGUCACGCCGUACAAGUAGUGUCUCCAUUUCUUCAAGGCGAAAAUUACUGCGGCUAGUUCUAGAUCAUGAGUUGGGUAGUUUUGCUCGUGGGGUUUCAAUUUCCUAGAAGCGUAAGCAACUACCUUACCCAUUUGCAUUAAAAUGCAUCCCAGACCUUCUCUGGAAGCAUCGGAAUAUACAGCAUAACCUUCACCUCCAUCAGGUAGAACCAAAACGGGAGCGGAUGUUAACCGCUUCUUUAGUUCCUGAAAACUUGACUCGCACUUCGGGGUCCAGACAAACUUAGCCCCUUUCUUGGUUAGCUCAGUCAUAGGUCCUGCAAUUUUCGAGAAAUCCUGGAUAAAUCGCCUAUAAUAACCUGCUAAACCCAAGAAACUUCUAACUUCAGUUGGAGUUUCUGGUUGUUUCCAAUUCAUAACGGCUUCCACUUUUGCCGGGUCCACGGCAAUACCAUCCUCAGAAACUCUGUGACCUAGAAAAGAUAUCUCAGUCAACCAAAACUCGCACUUGCUGAAUUUGGCAUAUAGUUUAUGCUCUCUUAAUGUCUGCAAAACCACCUCUAGGUGCUUAGCAUGUUCCUCACGAGUCUUAGAGUAGAUCAAGAUAUCAUCUAUGAAAACCACUACAAACUGGUCCAGGUACUUCUUAAAAAUUCUCUGCAUCAAGUCCAUGAAAGCAGCUGGUGCAUUGGUCAAUCCAAAAGGCAUGACUGCAAACUCAAAAUGUCCAUAUCUUGUACUAAAAGCAGUCCUGGGUAUAUCUUCCUUCCUGAUCUUCAACUGAUAAUACCCUUGCCUCAAAUCCAGCUUAGAAAAGACCACUGACCCUUGCAGUUGGUCGAACAAGCUAUCAAUCAACGGUAGAGGGUAUUUAUUCUUAAUUGUAGCCUCAUUUAACCCUCGGUAAUCAAUACACAGCCUCAAGCUUCCAUCUUUUUUCUUUACAAAUAGGACGGGUGCUCCCCAAGGUGAGUCACUCUCCUUCACAAAACCUUUCUCCAACAGAUCUUGCAGUUGAAUUUUCAAUUCUUUUAGCUCGGCAGGAGCCAUUCGAUACGGGGUCUUAGAAAUCGGAGCCGUUCCAGGUACCAAGUCAAUCUUAAAUUCCACCUCCCUUUCCGGCGGUAGAGUCUUAAGCUCUUCAGGGAACACAUCCGAAAACUCUCGUACCACAGGUACAUCCUCCAGCUUCACUUGAUCGCUGGGAGCGUUUAUCAAGAAAGCUAAGAAACCUUGCGCUCCUUUAGACAACAUUUUCCUUGCUCUAAUUCCUGAGAUCAUAGCAGAAGAUGCUAACCUACCCUUAACAUCUAACCUCAGGGUUGGUUCACCAGGUAUACAAAAUUCCACUACUUUUGCUCGACAGUCAAGUUUAGCAUGAUAAUGACCUAGAAAAUCCAUUCCUAUUAUAACAUCGUAACCUUUUAUGUCUAGGCUAAUCAGGUCCACUAGCAUUUUACGCUCUCCAAUCCAGAAUUCACAAUUCCUAUAAGCCAAGCUAGUGAUUACAUUCUUAUUACCCAUGGGUGUCCUAACUUCAAGGUCAAAGGGCAAUCUAACAGGUUGCACAUCUAAUCCAGACAUAAAGGAUGGCUUAACGAAAGAAUGGGUUGCCCCAGGGUCAAUCAAUACUUUAGCUAAUCGGUGAAAGAUCGGGAGUGUACCUUCCACCACUUCCGAGGCAUUAGGUACAGGUUGAUCUCCUAAAGCAUACACUCUGGCAGGAACUGUCGGCCGGCUCCCUCCAGAAGUGUUUGGUCUAGCAUUCGAAGUAGUCCCUUCCUGCAUUUUUAAGCACCCAGAAAUUUGGUGCUCGCUGCUUCCGCAUUUCAGGCACUUUCCUUGCUUCUUCCAGCAGCUAUCCAUAGUAUGGCCAGGUUUCUUACAGUAUGCACAAGUCAUUUGGGGAAUUAUGGCUCGGCCUCCUUGCGAGGUAUUUCUAGGUUGUCCUCUUCCAAUCGGUCCCCCUCUAAAUCCAUUGUUUCUUCCCCCUGCAUUCCUUGCCCCGGUUCCCCUUGCUAGUGCACCUCGCGGUGCUCCGGGACUAGUCAUUCCGCCAGUUCCCCGGCCCACUUUAGCCGGUGGAGUAUUUCCAUACGUCGGCUCUCGACUACUGCUGGGGUUAAAUCUUUUCUUAGCUUGAAAGGAUUUCACUUGAGCUCUAGCUACUUCAACUCUCUGAGCUCUUUCGACAGCAUCUGCGAAAGUAUCUAUCCUCACCGCGGCUAAACUUUCCUGUAGUUCUACAUUCAAACCCUGCACAAACCUCCGAACACGCCUCUGCUCGGUGGCUAUCAACUCAGGUGCAAAGGGGGAUAGCUUUGUGAACUGGAUUUCAUACUCGGCGACACUCAUCGCCCCUUGCUUGCAUCGAAUGAAAUCGUCCUCUCUAUUCUCUUGAAUGAGAGGCGGCAGGAAUUUGGCAUUGAACUCCCUUGUGAAGUUCAUCCAAGUCCGUGGUGUAUGGUUAGUCUCCCAAUGGACCCUCAUUAGGUUCCACCAGGAGCGAGCAGCUCCCUCAAACUGGAAGGUGGCAAAAGCCACCUUUCGCUCCUCCGUAUAGUUUAGGGCGGCGAAGAUCUCAGUGAUCCUCUCCCACCAGCCUUCGGCCACUUCCGGCUCAGGUCCUCCAUGGAAUUUGGGAGGUCCAAACUUCAGGAACCUUUCCAAUGCCCGAUCAUCGGAAUCGACUGGGCCUCCCUGAUGGCGCCCUGGUCCAGCAGCUUGGUGUUCAGUCAAGCGCUCUAGGACGUCAGUGAUACGGUUAAUAGCGGUGGCCACUCCGUCUCCGGCCCCACCCUCUUGCCUUUGGUCUGGAUUGACCUCGGGCUCUCUAUCUCUACCCGCUUCCGGAUGUUGUCUAGUGGGUCUCCCGCGGCCCCUUCCUACCACUUGGCGAUCCAUGGUCUAAGUUAUGCCUAUUAUGGAAGGAUCAAACGAUUAAGCGUAGAAUUAUUUAUUUAGGCUUGUUAACAUUCCUUUAGUAAUUAAAGUCAAUAUGGAAUGGAAGACAAGUAAGUAAAACACUUAACAUAUAUUUCCGGAUAAAAGUCAUACAAAUAAUAGGUUGGGACAUUCCCAAAAGUAAGGCACAUAACCAGCAAAAAUACAUACGAAUAAUCCCUUAACAAAAAUUAGGGAUGUGGUGCCUCAGAAGCAAAUCAUCCGCCUAGACAAAACUUGAUGACCUAGCUAACGUCCCCCUAUUCUAACCCUAUAUAUCUAAUAUAGUCAAAUCGAUCCAAGCCUAUCCCUCCGCAGGGCUAUCGGGAGCUAUGUCCUCCUCCGGAUCCUCCUCUGGAUCCUCCUCCGGAUCCUCCUCUGGGUCCUCCUGCUCGACACUCUGAAGGAUGCUCGUGGCCUCGUCUAUCAUCAUCGCGGCAUCAGCCCUGAUACCGACGCUCCUAUCACGAAUCCUCUCAGCCAAUCGGGUCACCCUCGUCCUCUGACGUGCUAUCUCUAAGCGAGCAGCCUCCAGCAAAUGAUGCUCAGCAGUUAGCCUAACCUCCAAAUCGGCUAUACGAUCGAACUGGGUAUCUACCAUGAUACUCAGCUCCUCUACAUCCUGGGUCAUGGUGAAGUUAGCGUCCCUCAGAUGGUGGCGCUCAUCAUCCAGGGAUAGUACUAGCUCAUUGGGGUAGGCAUACAUGGCCCUACACUGGCACCGAGGAUGCCUAUCAGCUGGGGUGUAACAUAUAUGGGCUCCUCCACCUCGUGGUCUGUAAGAGAUGGACCUAAGGGGCUCUAUGUGUCCAUUAGGUACCCCAUUACCAUUAGCGUGUCCAUUACCAUUCUCCAUACCUGCAAGAGAAUUAAACUUAGAGGUUAGAACUCAAAUAGAUAAUUAGAUCAGCAUCACUUAGAAUAUAUUCAAUUCUUACUUCUAAAAGUUCGGGUUUUCUAACUCGUAUAGUAUAUCUCUCCAAUAACUUUUCUAACCUAGGCUCUGAUACCACCUGUGGCGACCCCACUUCCCCCUAAGCCAAACCGAAGGGUUGGCGGGCCGUCUGCCCAGCUCUCGCCAGGACUCACGCAAGCAAACUAACCUGAAAUCUUCCGACGAUAAACUUAACUAUUACAAUAAGGAUUCUUCCGAAAUAAGUCGAUUUACAAACCACAUUAACUUCAGAGGUAACAGUAUAAAACUUAGCCAAUCGACAGUUCCUAAACACUUCCAGCGACGCUCGCGAUAGCUAAUGAUAUACUAUACUAAUACAAACACACAAGUUGAGUACUAGAAAUAGAGAUUACACUUUUCCAGCUUCAAGUGCCAAUCCAAAAUAAAAAGUACAUUAUCCGAAUCAAACACAAUACAGCCCACAACAUAAGUGUGACAGCCCCACCUUCCCCUAAGGCGAACCAAAGAGGUUAGCGGACUGCCUGCCCAGCUCUCGCCAGGACUAACGGUGCAGUAUAAAGCGAUCUAUCACGUUUGAAACUUAUAACGCGCGCAACAAGGCAAAAGGGCAAAAUAUCCCAAAAUAAAAGAAACGAACUCCAGAGUCGGCCAUGAAUAGCAACCGACCCGUCCGAAACCCAACCAAGCAUCGAAAACCAUAUACAACAUAACAUUAGCCAUUUCAAGCCACAACGGCAAGCCAAAACCAUUCACUAAGGAAGUACACAUUCGAUUUGCCUAUCAAAAGGAAAUGAACCCGUUAUACAUUAGGGUUUCACUUCAAGAGCAAUACAAAAGACAUUUACAUGCUCAAUUCGGCAAUUGACUAUCCAAUCCAUUCUCAAAAGUAAUUAUCACCCUGUAAGGAAAACAAAUAACACGGAAUGAGCUAAAUCCCAGUGGUAUACCACCCAAUAAGCAAUCAAAGUCAUAUAAGAAUGAACCUUCAUUUAAAGUGCGCAAAUAAGCAAUGAAGCAAAACGGUAAAAGGAUAUGGUCGGCUCUCAAGAGCCCAUUUCCAUGCUUGCAAUCUUGAUCCAACCUCAUUGACUCUCCGUCAAUGUUAAAAGUACCAAACCGUAGACCACCCUUUACUUCCAAUCCUUCCACCUAACAUACCCCAACCGGGCCCGCACUUCAUUUCAGUAGUUUUUGGUAACACUCGAGUUUACCGGAACCAAGGGUCUCAGUACCACAAGGUUCCCCAGUACAGUCCCCGUGGCAAUUCAAUCUUCACGACCAAGCCCUCGCCGGCUCGAUCCAAUUGACUACCAAAUGGGGUUGAGCUCAGUAAUGCAGUAAGGCCGUUGGACAUCGUCCAAACGACAUCAAUUCAGUUUCCAUGAAAUGGAAUUCACCAACCAAUAUAUCAAGUUCAGUAAUGCAAUAAAACGGUAGCCAUUCAGUGACAAUAUCAAAAGAGGUGAGGGCGGUCAAGUACACCCUCACCUUAAUCAAUUUCAAUAUCCAAGUAAGCCAUCAAGGCAUCACAUAACAUUUAACAAAGCCACAUAGUAACAAUUUAGUGAGUGGUAUACUCACCAAGCAAGUAAGUGGUAUUUCAUGUACCACGAUCACCAUGAGACUCGAUAACGAGUCAUAUAGCAAUGCUAAACACAACCCCAAUAGGGUUUCACAUGCAUAAGUAGGCAUGAUAGCAAACCAGAAAUUAAAAUAUGGCCUUAACUUAAGCCUCGAUAGAAAAACCGUGUUUGAUCUUAUAAUGCGGUAAUGGCGUCAAAUUCACUACGGUUAUCGGUUGGGGGUGUAAGACCCACCAUUUCGAAGCUAUGAAACAGGGCUACAACAAUGUAGAAGGGCACUCAAUCCAGUUCCUAGCUUAACUAGGUCAAAAGUGCAAAAUACUAAACCAGAAUUACCAAAACAGGUUUGCAAAUCACCAAAAACUGUAAUCAGUAUAUCUCAGUCCAUACAAGUCCAAUUGCCGAAAUUCCAAAGGCAUAUGUUAGCUAAGACAUCUAGCUACAUUUAAUCAGAAGACACCAACUCGAAAAUCCAAACCAAAACCAGUCAAAAUGGCCAAUUACUAACGCAGUUUUCGCAUUCUGUCCAAAGCAGAACAGCUACAGUAAUUUCGUCAUAACUCACUCCACACUAAUCCAAAUGCCCUGAAAUUUUACAGGCAUCUCCAUCACAUCAAUACCUACAACUUUCAUGUUUUGAGAAAAGUUAAAUUCGGCCUCUAACCCUAUGAUCAAAAACCGGACAGAAUUGGGGAAUUAAGAACCCUAACUUUUCAAUUUCACACCAAAUCCAAAAUUGAUUGCAUUUAACCACAUUUCACAUCCACUAGAGCCAUUAUAGUCCAUUGCCAAUCAUCACAAACAACCACACCAUCAUAAUCCAAUUAAACCAGAAAAAUCAUCAUAAAAUGGAAAACUUCACCAAAUCAAUUCCAACCAAAAUAAAACCAGAAAUUUCAGCACUCUUAUCACUAGUAAGCACAACAUAAGCAUCAUUAGGUGUAGUAGGGUGUUUCAAGCUUCACUUACCAAGAACCAAGAGAGAGAGGGAUGUUGAACACCUUAGUCCUUCAAACAAAGUUCACCAAACAACUAACUAGCACUAGAAGGAAAGUUUUUAUGGAGUAGAACUAACUUAAGCACUUGAUUUGGUGGAUUUGGACUUGUUAGAAGCUUGAAUGUUGAAGAGUUUUGUCUUCCUUGGAGCUUGAGAGGGCCGGCUAUGGUGGAGAGAAAAUGAGGGAAUUUUAGUGAAUUUUUGAAGAUAUUUACUAGUUGGGUCAAAAGUCAGAAAUUUGUCAAAAGGUGAAUAGUGUUUCUUAAGUCAUAACCAAUGAGAAAGUGACAUGUGGCAUCUCAUUAAAUGCCUUCCUAUCUUUCUUUUCUCUCUCACAUCAAUCACUUCACACACACUACUUAUCUCUUAACACCCGAUAAAUUUUUCACAGUAUCCGAAACUUAACCUUAUUGGCCGAAUUUUUCCGAACUUUUCGCACUAGUGGGUCCCACGUCCAAUAUAGAUUCUUAAUUUUCUAAACAUUCACCAAUGCUAGAAAAAUCAUCUAAAAACUAUAAUUACUCAUAAAAUCCACUAAGAAAAUAUUUCUAAGCCAGAAAAUGCAGAAAACAUGCAAUUAAGGGGAAAAUAAACCCUAGGAUAAUAUUUAGGGUUUUACGGGUUCUCACAAUAAGUCAUAGUAUUCAGUACAUUCAAGAAGGGAAACAUAAGCAAGUAUUCCAGCUAUCAACUUCCAGAACCUGUUAAGGAAAACAAUAAACGUGGGGUGAGCUAAAGCUCAGUGGUGCCCCAAAACAUGCACUCACAUAAAUCAAACAACAGAUAACAAUUUAAACAAAUUUAAUCAAUUAAGAAAGCGUAUAACAGCACAAGGUAGGAUACAGGGGCUCUCGGGAGUCAUUCUCCUCGCUUGAUCAGAUACCCUCGUAGUUGACCCUCCGUCAACUUUCACUACCUAUAGUCCAUGUAGAUCCACUUAUUUUAAUCCUAACCCGUCACCGUUCAUACCUCCGCUUCGGGCCCGAACUUCAUCUACCGACGCAGUAUACUCGAGAUAUACCCGUAAUAGAAUUAGUCGAGAGAUUCACGAAUCGACGUUUUUGUAGUUGAUUCAAGUGUCGAGGGAUUCACCCAACGACGUAACUACUUUUAGAUUCAAGGAUUAUUGUAGUUGAUUCAAGUGUCGAGGGAUUCACCCAACGACGUAACUGCAUUUAGAUCCAAGGAUUUUUGUAGUUGAUUCAAGUGCCGAGGGAUUCACCCAACGACGUAACUACUCUUAGAUUAAGGAUUCACGAGAAAAAUGAUUCACGCAAGUCACCACUCGAACGGCUAGUGCGAUAAAGUACACACUGCUCACUUCGAUGGAUCAAAAACUCAUUUUACAAUUCAUCACAUAUCGAGUCAAGAAAGCACUUAAUUCAAGUAGGAAAAGAACAGGCAGGGACACUCACCAAGAGUGAAGUUCAGAUAUCAGGUUGGGAAUCGAAUUCCGCGUCCUCGCGAUAUCCUAAAACCAAAUUUUGAAACUAUAAGUUUCUAUUCAGUUUUUAAACUUAUUCGUAUAAGAAUUUAUUUAAUAUAAUACUAGUUUACUUUCUCAAGAGAUUUCAAAAAUCUAUUUAGAUUGAAGCUUGACAAAAGUCAUAGAAAUGUUCUUUAUUUUCCUUAGAAGAGGGUAACUAGUGUUAUUUACUAGCAACAAGUCGACAAACUUCUCAAAAUCAUGGUUAGAAAGUUACUUUGAACAUUUCUCUAAAGUUACGGCUUUUGCAAAAUUAUCCUUAAAAACUAUUUUUCCUAAAAUAGGGUUUCUUGCCGAGCAAGUCUCCCAAGCUUUUCACUAGGAUUAGUAGAACUAGUAUUUUAAAACUUUUCCUAUAGUUAACUAUACAAGUGCAAGGCUUAUAGGAAGGAAAAGAAUUGAAAUAAGAUUUGUAGUUUCCAAAAGUUAUAGAACUUAUGUACCAUAGCUAUCGGAGCUGGUUUGAGCUGAAGGAAAUUAUUAAAUUGGAAAGUUUUAGGCAAAACGCUAGAUAUAGAGUUUUAUAAUAUAAUCCUAAUUGGAAAAUAUUCUUGGUUAAUUUUGAACGCGGCUACUCGAGUUCGCAAGGUCUAUACAAUUUCCCCGCUCCGAUUCCGUUUCGAAAUCACAAUAUAGAUCAAAAUAUAGCAAAAAUCACAUAGCACGUUACUAGGGCUUCGUCAAUCAUUAGCCCUAGCUUUCAACAAUUGCAUUCUCGAAUAAAAUAAAAUAGUCAACCAAGGCUUCAUCAAUCAUUAGCACUUGGUUUCAGCAACCCAAUAUAAGCAAAUAAAAUAAAAGUGAAGUCCCAAGACAUUCUAGCAAUUAUUUUCUGUCAUCCAGUAACACUUUAUAAAAAGAAAUCAUUUCAAUGGCUAAGGGUUCAUCAAUCAUUAGCCCUUAGCACUCACCCAGUAAUUCUUAUGACAACCAAGCUUAACAUAUCAAAUAUUUAAAUCUGCUAACAGUUAUUUAGAACCAAAGAUCACAUUUGCAGCAGCCUCCUAUUCAAGUAUUUGAUCCAAAGCCAAGAAAUACUAUCCACAAUAUCACAUUGUCACCCCCAAAUUCCAAGGCAUGACCAUCUCAAGGUAUUAUAAAGCAAAUUCAAAGGUAGUACAAUUUUUCCACAGCUCCAAGAUAUAUAAAGUAAUCCAUACGUACUACUUUAUCAAUCAUGACCAAGGCUGGAAAAAUUUCCAGCUUAUCUCCAUAACUGCACUUUACUUAUUUCGAAAACGAAGUCCCAAGAUAUCAAAUGGUUUAUUGCCAAACAGAUUCCACAGGCUACUUGUGCAUUUAAUCAUGCAUUUCGAGUUCCUAACAACUUAGGGAAAUAAAUUCUAAAGUCAAGCUGAAGAUUCUGGUUCAUAAUCAAAUUCGAGCAGUAGAGUUCAACCUCCCAAAAUUUUCAAAAGUCUGUUUAGUAAACCACGGAUGAAUCAUGCAUGAAGGAAAUUUCUGUUUUUACUUCAUUUACUCGGGUGAGGUAGGCUUUUAAACUCUCACAUUCUCAUGCAAUGACUUAGCUAAACAAUGCACAAUUUCCAUUCAGGAGUUGAAACUAAACCACCGUUAUAAUCUUCAAAAUUUCCAGGUUCAAGUUAACGGUAAUUCACAAAGGAAUUCCAGCAAUAGCAGUGAUUUCAAAACAGAAUUUUUCUUUGGUUAAAACAGGAUUUUUGGUACUCUAUUAGUUCUUGAAAACAUAGCUAGCUAGUACAGAUUUUCAAAACAAAUCCAGGUUCAUGCUAUAACUGUAUUCAUCAAACACAAAUCCAGAAUUUAUUUCUACUAAGUUCGGAUGAUGGUUCCUGAAAUAAUUUUCUGUUUUCAUUUUUAUUUUCCUGGAUAGCCAAGCUACAAAAACCUUAUGCAAACUUCAAUUAACAUGUUGUUAACUAGUUAAUCAUAUACAUUAACUCAUAAAAGCCCCAUAAUCAUAGAUUGAGAACUAAAAUUCAAUUCCAGGUCUCGGAAAUUUCAGGUCAUACAAAUUCCCAAUUCACUUAAACCAGAAUUUUUUUUUAGGUUCUUUAAUUCAUCAAUUUACUUCGUAGAAUUAACAUGCAGGGUCUUAGACCUCAUGAACAUUGAGAUUCACACAGCUAAUUACUCUUGUGUGAUCACAUUAUCACAGAAAGACAAAAUUAUAGAUGCACUUCCAAGUCAUUUCCACGGUAAAAAUCAUUUUUCCUCAAAACAGAAUUUCUUUCUUCCUAAAUUCAUUAUCCGAGGAUAUAGCAUGGACUUGCAAAGUAGUAAACAGAUUCACUGGUCAGUAAUUAGAUCAUUAAUUCCCUGCACAAGCUCGGUUUAAGACAGUUUAGCGGAUUAGAGUUGCAUUAUCAAAUUCAGCCCACGAUCAUUCUGUUUUCCUUAAACCAGAAAUUUCCCAAAUUUUGUUUCAUCAUCUAAUCGCACCUAGCCAACAUGCAGAUCGAUAACUAACUUCAUCCCCUAUUAGAUAAACAUAACUAUAAGUUCCAGAACAACAAACUGGAGCCAAGUGAAGCUGCAAUGCCCAAAUCAAUCCUCGGCAGGGACAUCUAACCGAAACAGAAAAUUUUUCUAAUUUCUUAAGUUCAUCAUCCGAACACUUAGAUUGACAUGCAUGACCUUGAGCAUCAUGUUUAGUGUUAAGUAACCGUAUAUAUGAGCUCAGAUUACCUCAAAGAAAUAAAAUUAAAGUUGCAUUUCUAAUUCAGCUACUCGGCAGUCCGAAAUCAAGAUUUCCAGAAUUUUAAUCAAUCAUCCUUGGUGGUCAGAAUGUGGCCAGAUUUUAAGUCCAUUAAAUCUUUUCUAACUUAUCCUUGUUCACUCGACAAAUGCAAGGCUUAAACAACCUUUAGUCAGUUUAAAUGGAGCUCAGGAAUCACCUCACAGCAAGCUAAGUUCUCGGACAGAAUGUUUGAAAGGUUCUCCUUCCUCACGGCCCUCACGCACGAAGCAGGUUCUGGUUGUAGCUGGUGAUUGUUGGUCGAGGAUGGUGAUGGCCAGCAACUCCUACAACUUCCACUAGCUCCCCCCUUCCUCUCCUCUAGCUCACGAACAGAAUUGGUAGAUGUGUGGCUCGGUUUCUUCCUCUCUACUCUGGCGAUGAUAACAAGGAAAUGGUGGGAUGUUAUCUGUUGUAGGGAGUGUGCAGAGGGUAUGGGGUGAGAUUGUGAAGUGGUGCUGCGGAUUUGAGGGAGGUUGAGUGUCGACAGAGGUGGUGUGCUGCAGUGGUGAAAUGUGUGAUUGGCCGGCUGAGGUGGUGGAGCUGCGGUUGGCCGAGCUGGGUGGCUUGUGAUCAUGAUGUCCGGGAGUUGUUUGGGUUGCAGAAAUUGGUUAUGGUCGUGGGUGGUGUUGUGAGGUUGUGAGGGUAUUGUAGACAUUUCACUAAUUCUCCAAUUAGCCACUCAAGUCCUUGGUCCUAAUUAAGCUCCAAAAAUUGUCCCCAAAAUUGCUUUGAACGUCUAAUUAAAAUGCUAAUCUUGCAAGACUUUGAUUAUCACCAAUUUAGGUCCUCAAUAUGGUUAGGGUGCUUGUAUUAUCUUGAUCUGGAAUUAAUUGAUUACGAAUUAGUAUUAAGCUUUCUUUAACAUUCUUGUUUGGUUAAUUAACCUAUUAAAAUCAAGUUUGACCAAUAUAUAAAAAUCCAACAUUUAUGUUAACACGAAAGGUUUAGUCUAGCUCCAAAAAUCUUAAUUUAGUUUAGCGGAACCAAGGAAUUCAUAACUCAGAAAAAUUAUAUAAAUUUCCACAUAAGCGUGUUUUACGUACUUAAUUGCAAACAAGUAAAAGUAGUACUAGGAAUUAUUAACGAAUAAAAGAGGUGUGAAAGACAUACGUAAUAUUAUUUAUAUAAGCAUUUUCAGGGUUCUCACAUCCUCCCCUCCUUACAGAGAAUUUUGUCCUCAAAAUUCACACAUUCUGAAUAAAUAAAUCAGGAUACUUUUUCUGCAUUUCUUCUUCUAACUCCCAAGUUGCUUCUUCGAGUCCAUGAUUUUUCCACAAAAUCUUCACCAGGGGAAUUUUCUUAUUUCUCAGCUCCUUCAUUUCUCUUUCCAGAAUCCUGACCGGUCCUUCUUCAUAAGUUAACUUCUCAUCCACCUCAAUUCCUUCUAGUGGCAACACGUGACUUGGAUCGGAAUAAUAUUUCCUAAGCAUGGAAACGUGGAAUAUAUCAUGAAUCUUGGCCAUGCUUGCAGGCAACUUCAAUUGAUACGCUACCAGCCCGACUUUCUUCAAAAUUUCAAAAGGUCCAAUGUACCUUGGCUUCAGCUUCUUACCUUUCUUAGACACUACCCCACCCUUUAAGGGUUUAACUCUGAGGAAAACCUUGUCACCUACUUCAAAUUCCAAAUCCUUCCUCCUUGUGUCGGCGUAGCUCUUUUGUCUAUUCUGAGCAACUUGAAGCCGUUCUCUGAUCAAUUUUACUUUUUCCUGGGCUUCUUCUAUCCAAGGUAUAGCUGUGGGGUCUACGACCUUCUUUUCUCCAACUUCAUCCCAAUGAAUCGGAGAUCGACACCUUCUUCCAUACAAAGCCUCAUAAGGUGCCAUCUGGAUUGAAGCCUGAUAGCUAUUAUUAUAAGCAAAUUCCACUAAGGUCAUAUAUUGGCUCCACUUACCUCCAAAAUCCAGUAUACACGACCUCAGUAGAUCCUCCAAAGUCUGAAUUGUCCUUUCCGACUGCCCGUCUGUUUGGGGAUGGUACGCAGUACUAAACUUCAACUUGGUCCCCAAAGAAUCCUGAAAUUUCUGCCAGAAGCGCGAGACAAACCUUGGGUCUCGAUCAGACACGAUGCUCACUGGAAUACCAUGUAACCUUAGGAUCUCUUCUAUGUACAACUUGACCAAUUUUUCCAAUGAGAAACUCAUGCUUACAGGUAAGAAGUGUGCAGACUUGGUGAGUCGAUCGACUAUGACCCAAAUUGCAUCAAAACCUUUUUGACUUUUAGGUAAGCCCGUUACAAAAUCCAUUGUUAUGUGUUCCCAUUUACAUUCAGGGAUUUCUAACGGCUGCAAUAAACCAGAAGGUUUUUGAUGUUCAGCUUUUACUUGUUGGCAGAUUAAGCAUUUUUGUACAAAUGCGGCCACGUCCUUUUUCAAACCUUCCCACCAGUAUAAUUCCUUUACAUCAUGAUACAUCUUGGUCACACCUGGGUGUAUGAUAUACUUUGAUCGAUGUGAUUCUUCCAAAAUUUCUUUUCUUAACUCUUCGUCUGACGGAACCACAAUUCGAUCUUGAAACCUCAAUACCCCUUCAGAUCCUAACUUGAAGUCUAGGGUUUCCCCUUUUUGCACUUUCUCCAAAUUCUUCCGAAUCAUAGGGUCUGUUUUCUGGGCUUCCUUAAUCCGCUCUAGUAACGGUGACUUCAAUGAUAGGUUCCCUAACAAAACUUUCAAAUUCUCCAAGCGAGGGUUCCAACCACUUAUUUCUUCUAACAUAUCCCACUCUUUUACCAUUAACCCUGCUACUUGGGCCUUCCUACUAAGAGCGUCAGCCACCACAUUGGCUUUUCCUGGGUGGUAAUUAAUCGAGCAGUCAUAAUCUUCCAGAAAUUCUACCCAUCGCCUUUGUCUCAAAUUCAGCUCCUUUUGGGAGAACAAGUACUUGAGGCUCUUAUGAUCCGUAAAAACCUCAAAAGUCACGCCGUACAAGUAGUGUCUCCAUUUCUUCAAGGCGAAAAUUACUGCGGCUAGUUCUAGAUCAUGAGUUGGGUAGUUUUGCUCGUGGGGUUUCAAUUUCCUAGAAGCGUAAGCAACUACCUUACCCAUUUGCAUUAAAACGCAUCCCAGACCUUCUCUGGAAGCAUCGGAAUAUACAGCAUAACCUUCACCUCCAUCAGGUAGAACCAAAACGGGAGCGGAUGUUAACCGCUUCUUUAGUUCCUGAAAACUUGACUCGCACUUCGGGGUCCAGACAAACUUAGCCCCUUUCUUGGUUAGCUCAGUCAUAGGUCCUGCAAUUUUCGAGAAAUCCUGGAUAAAUCGCCUAUAAUAACCUGCUAAACCCAAGAAACUUCUAACUUCAGUUGGAGUUUCUGGUUGUUUCCAAUUCAUAACGGCUUCCACUUUUGCCGGGUCCACGGCAAUACCAUCCUCAGAAACUCUGUGACCUAGAAAAGAUAUCUCAGUCAACCAAAACUCGCACUUGCUGAAUUUGGCAUAUAGUUUAUGCUCUCUUAAUGUCUGCAAAACCACCUCUAGGUGCUUAGCAUGUUCCUCACGAGUCUUAGAGUAGAUCAAGAUAUCAUCUAUGAAAACCACUACAAACUGGUCCAGGUACUUCUUAAAAAUUCUCUGCAUCAAGUCCAUGAAAGCAGCUGGUGCAUUGGUCAAUCCAAAAGGCAUGACUGCAAACUCAAAAUGUCCAUAUCUUGUACUAAAAGCAGUCUUGGGUAUAUCUUCCUUCCUGAUCUUCAACUGAUAAUACCCUUGCCUCAAAUCCAGCUUAGAAAAGACCACUGACCCUUGCAGUUGGUCGAACAAGCUAUCAAUCAACGGUAGAGGGUAUUUAUUCUUAAUUGUAGCCUCAUUUAACCCUCGGUAAUCAAUACACAGCCUCAAGCUUCCAUCUUUUUUCUUUACAAAUAGGACGGGUGCUCCCCAAGGUGAGUCACUCUCCUUCACAAAACCUUUCUCCAACAGAUCUUGCAGUUGAAUUUUCAAUUCUUUUAGCUCGGCAGGAGCCAUUCGAUACGGGGUCUUAGAAAUCGGAGCCGUUCCAGGUACCAAGUCAAUCUUAAAUUCCACCUCCCUUUCCGGCGGUAGAGUCUUAAGCUCUUCAGGGAACACAUCCGAAAACUCUCGUACCACAGGUACAUCCUCCAGCUUCACUUGAUCGCUGGGAGCGUUUAUCAAGAAAGCUAAGAAACCUUGCGCUCCUUUAGACAACAUUUUCCUUGCUCUAAUUCCUGAGAUCAUAGCAGAAGAUGCUAACCUACCCUUAACAUCUAACCUCAGGGUUGCUUCACCAGGUAUACAAAAUUCCACUACUUUUGCUCGACAGUCAAGUUUAGCAUGAUAAUGACCUAGAAAAUCCAUUCCUAUUAUAACAUCGUAACCUUUUAUGUCUAGGCUAAUCAGGUCCACUAGCAUUUUACGCUCUCCAAUCCAGAAUUCACAAUUCCUAUAAGCCAAGCUAGUGAUUACAUUCUUAUUACCCAUGGGUGUCCUAACUUCAAGGUCAAAGGGCAAUCUAACAGGUUGCACAUCUAAUCCAGACAUAAAGGAUGGCUUAACGAAAGAAUGGGUUGCCCCAGGGUCAAUCAAUACUUUAGCUAAUCGGUGAAAGAUCGGGAGUGUACCUUCCACCACUUCCGAGGCAUUAGGUACAGGUUGAUCUCCUAAAGCAUACACUCUGGCAGGAACUGUCGGCCGGCUCCCUCCAGAAGUGUUUGGUCUAGCAUUCGAAGUAGUCCCUUCCUGCAUUUUUGAGCACCCAGAAAUUUGGUGCUCGCUGCUUCCGCAUUUCAGGCACUUUCCUUGCUUCUUCCAGCAGCUAUCCAUAGUAUGGCCAGGUUUCUUACAGUAUGCACAAGUCAUUUGGGGAAUUAUGGCUCGGCCUCCUUGCGAGGUAUUUCUAGGUUGUCCUCUUCCAAUCGGUCCCCCUCUAAAUCCAUUGUUUCUUCCCCCUGCAUUCCUUGCCCCGGUUCCCCUUGCUAGUGCACCUCGCGGUGCUCCGGGACUAGUCAUUCCGCCAGUUCCCCGGCCCACUUUAGCCGGUGGAGUAUUUCCAUACGUCGGCUCUCGACUACUGCUGGGGUUAAAUCUUUUCUUAGCUUGAAAGGAUUUCACUUGAGCUCUAGCUACUUCAACUCUCUGAGCUCUUUCGACAGCAUCUGCGAAAGUAUCUAUCCUCACCGCGGCUAAACUUUCCUGUAGUUCUACAUUCAAACCCUGCACAAACCUCCGAACACGCCUCUGCUCGGUGGCUAUCAACUCAGGUGCAAAGCGGGAUAGCUUUGUGAACUGGAUUUCAUACUCGGCGACACUCAUCGCCCCUUGCUUGCAUCGAAUGAAAUCGUCCUCUCUCUUCUCUUGAAUGAGAGGCGGCAGGAAUUUGGCAUUGAACUCCCUUGUGAAGUUCAUCCAAGUCCGUGGUGUAUGGUUAGUCUCCCAAUGGACCCUCAUUAGGUUCCACCAGGAGCGAGCAGCUCCCUCAAACUGGAAGGUGGCAAAAGCCACCUUUCGCUCCUCCGUAUAGUUUAGGGCGGCGAAGAUCUCAGUGAUCCUCUCCCACCAGCCUUCGGCCACUUCCGGCUCAGGUCCUCCAUGGAAUUUGGGAGGUCCAAACUUCAGGAACCUUUCCAAUGCCCGAUCAUCGGAAUCGACUGGGCCUCCCUGAUGGCGCCCUGGUCCAGCAGCUUGGUGUUCAGUCAAGCGCUCUAGGACGUCAGUGAUACGGUUAAUAGCGGUGGCCACUCCGUCUCCGGCCCCACCCUCUUGCCUUUGGUCUGGAUUGACCUCGGGCUCUCUAUCUCUACCCGCUUCCGGAUGUUGUCUAGUGGGUCUCCCGCGGCCCCUUCCUACCACUUGGCGAUCCAUGGUCUAAGUUAUGCCUAUUAUGGAAGGAUCAAACGAUUAAGCGUAGAAUUAUUUAUUUAGGCUUGUUAACAUUCCUUUAGUAAUUAAAGUCAAUAUGGAAUGGAAGACAAGUAAGUAAAACACUUAACAUAUAUUUCCGGAUAAAAGUCAUACAAAUAAUAGGUUGGGACAUUCCCAAAAGUAAGGCACAUAACCAGCAAAAAUACAUACGAAUAAUCCCUUAACAAAAAUUAGGGAUGUGGUGCCUCAGAAGCAAAUCAUCCGCCUAGACAAAACUUGAUGACCUAGCUAACGUCCCCCUAUUCUAACCCUAUAUAUCUAAUAUAGUCAAAUCGAUCCAAGCCUAUCCCUCCGCAGGGCUAUCGGGAGCUAUGUCCUCCUCCGGAUCCUCCUCUGGAUCCUCCUCCGGAUCCUCCUCUGGGUCCUCCUGCUCGACACUCUGAAGGAUGCUCGUGGCCUCGUCUAUCAUCAUCGCGGCAUCAGCCCUGAUACCGACGCUCCUAUCACGAAUCCUCUCAGCCAAUCGGGUCACCCUCGUCCUCUGACGUGCUAUCUCUAAGCGAGCAGCCUCCAGCAAAUGAUGCUCAGCAGUUAGCCUAACCUCCAAAUCGGCUAUACGAUCGAACUGGGUAUCUACCAUGAUACUCAGCUCCUCUACAUCCUGGGUCAUGGUGAAGUUAGCGUCCCUCAGAUGGUGGCGCUCAUCAUCCAGGGAUAGUACUAGCUCAUUGGGGUAGGCAUACAUGGCCCUACACUGGCACCGAGGAUGCCUAUCAGCUGGGGUGUAACAUAUAUGGGCUCCUCCACCUCGUGGUCUGUAAGAGAUGGACCUAAGGGGCUCUAUGUGUCCAUUAGGUACCCCAUUACCAUUAGCGUGUCCAUUACCAUUCUCCAUACCUGCAAGAGAAUUAAACUUAGAGGUUAGAACUCAAAUAGAUAAUUAGAUCAGCAUCACUUAGAAUAUAUUCAAUUCUUACUUCUAAAAGUUCGGGUUUUCUAACUCGUAUAGUAUAUCUCUCCAAUAACUUUUCUAACCUAGGCUCUGAUACCACCUGUGGCGACCCCACUUCCCCCUAAGGCGAACCGAAGGGUUGGCGGGCCGUCUGCCCAGCUCUCGCCAGGACUCACGCAAGCAAACUAACCUGAAAUCUUCCGACGAUAAACUUAACUAUUACAAUAAGGAUUCUUCCGAAAUAAGUCGAUUUACAAACCACAUUAACUUCAGAGGUAACAGUAUAAAACUUAGCCAAUCGACAGUUCCUAAACACUUCCAGCGACGCUCGCGAUAGCUAAUGAUAUACUAUACUAAUACAAACACACAAGUUGAGUACUAGAAAUAGAGAUUACACUUUUCCAGCUUCAAGUGGCAAUCCAAAAUAAAAAGUACAUUAUCCGAAUCAAACACAAUACAGCCCACAACAUAAGUCAUAGUAUUCAGUACAUUCAAGAAGGGAAACAUAAGCAAGUAUUCCAGCUUUCAACUUCCAGAACCUGUUAAGGAAAACAAUAAACGUGGGGUGAGCUAAAGCUCAGUGGUGCCCCAAAACAUGCACUCACAUAAAUCAAACAACAGAUAACAAUUUAAACAAAUUUAAUCAAUUAAGAAAGCGUAUAACAGCACAAGGUAGGAUACAGGGGCUCUCGGGAGUCAUUCUCCUCGCUUGAUCAGAUACCCUCGUAGUUGACCCUCCGUCAACUUUCACUACCUAUAGUCCAUGUAGAUCCACUUAUUUUAAUCCUAACCCGUCACCGUUCAUACCUCCGCUUCGGGCCCGAACUUCAUCUACCGACGCAGUAUACUCGAGAUAUACCCGUAAUAGAAUUAGUCGAGAGAUUCACGAAUCGACGUUUUUGUAGUUGAUUCAAGUGUCGAGGGAUUCACCCAACGACGUAACUACUUUUAGAUUCAAGGAUUAUUGUAGUUGAUUCAAGUGUCGAGGGAUUCACCCAACGACGUAACUGCAUUUAGAUCCAAGGAUUUUUGUAGUUGAUUCAAGUGCCAAGGGAUUCACCCAACGACGUAACUACUCUUAGAUUAAGGAUUCACGAGAAAAAUGAUUCACGCAAGUCACCACUCGAACGGCUAGUGCGAUAAAGUACACACUGCUCACUUCGAUGGAUCAAAAACUCAUUUUACAAUUCAUCACAUAUCGAGUCAAGAAAGCACUUAAUUCAAGUAGGAAAAGAACAGGCAGGGACACUCACCAAGAGUGAAGUUCAGAUAUCAGGUUGGGAAUCGAAUUCCGCGUCCUCGCGAUAUCCUAAAACCAAAUUUUGAAACUAUAAGUUUCUAUUCAGUUUUUAAACUUAUUCGUAUAAGAAUUUAUUUAAUAUAAUACUAGUUUACUUUCUCAAGAGAUUUCAAAAAUCUAUUUAGAUUGAAGCUUGACAAAAGUCAUAGAAAUGUUCUUUAUUUUCCUUAGAAGAGGGUAACUAGUGUUAUUUACUAGCAACAAGUCGACAAACUUCUCAAAAUCAUGGUUAGAAAGUUACUUUGAACAUUUCUCUAAAGUUACGGCUUUUGCAAAAUUAUCCUUAAAAACUAUUUUUCCUAAAAUAGGGUUUCUUGCCGAGCAAGUCUCCCAAGCUUUUCACUAGGAUUAGUAGAACUAGUAUUUUAAAACUUUUCCUAUAGUUAACUAUACAAGUGCAAGGCUUAUAGGAAGGAAAAGAAUUGAAAUAAGAUUUGUAGUUUCCAAAAGUUAUAGAACUUAUGUACCAUAGCUAUCGGAGCUGGUUUGAGCUGAAGGAAAUUAUUAAAUUGGAAAGUUUUAGGCAAAACGCUAGAUAUAGAGUUUUAUAAUAUAAUCCUAAUUGGAAAAUAUUCUUGGUUAAUUUUGAACGCGGCUACUCGAGUUCGCAAGGUCUAUACAAUUUCCCCGCUCCGAUUCCGUUUCGAAAUCACAAUAUAGAUCAAAAUAUAGCAAAAAUCACAUAGCACGUUACUAGGGCUUCGUCAAUCAUUAGCCCUAGCUUUCAACAAUUGCAUUCUCGAAUAAAAUAAAAUAGUCAACCAAGGCUUCAUCAAUCAUUAGCACUUGGUUUCAGCAACCCAAUAUAAGCAAAUAAAAUAAAAGUGAAGUCCCAAGACAUUCUAGCAAUUAUUUUCUGUCAUCCAGUAACACUUUAUAAAAAGAAAUCAUUUCAAUGGCUAAGGGUUCAUCAAUCAUUAGCCCUUAGCACUCACCCAGUAAUUCUUAUGACAACCAAGCUUAACAUAUCAAAUAUUUAAAUCUGCUAACAGUUAUUUAGAACCAAAGAUCACAUUUGCAGCAGCCUCCUAUUCAAGUAUUUGAUCCAAAGCCAAGAAAUACUAUCCACAAUAUCACAUUGUCACCCCCAAAUUCCAAGGCAUGACCAUCUCAAGGUAUUAUAAAGCAAAUUCAAAGGUAGUACAAUUUUUCCACAGCUCCAAGAUAUAUAAAGUAAUCCAUACGUACUACUUUAUCAAUCAUGACCAAGGUUGGAAAAAUUUCCAGCUUAUCUCCAUAACUGCACUUUACUUAUUUCGAAAACGAAGUCCCAAGAUAUCAAAUGGUUUAUUGCCAAACAGAUUCCACAGGCUACUUGUGCAUUUAAUCAUGCAUUUCGAGUUCCUAACAACUUAGGGAAAUAAAUUCUAAAGUCAAGCUGAAGAUUCUGGUUCAUAAUCAAAUUCGAGCAGUAGAGUUAAACCUCCCAAAAUUUUCAAAAGUCUGUUUAGUAAACCACGGAUGAAUCAUGCAUGAAGGAAAUUUCUGUUUUUACUUCAUUUACUCGGGUGAGGUAGGCUUUUAAACUCUCACAUUCUCAUGCAAUGACUUAGCUAAACAAUGCACAAUUUCCAUUCAGGAGUUGAAACUAAACCACCGUUAUAAUCUUCAAAAUUUCCAGGUUCAAGUUAACGGUAAUUCACAAAGGAAUUCCAGCAAUAGCAGUGAUUUCAAAACAGAAUUUUUCUUUGGUUAAAACAGGAUUUUUGGUACUCUAUUAGUUCUUGAAAACAUAGCUAGCUAGUACAGAUUUUCAAAACAAAUCCAGGUUCAUGCUAUAACUGUAUUCAUCAAAACACAAAUCCAGAAUUUAUUUCUACUAAGUUCGGAUGAUGGUUCCUGAAAUAAUUUUCUGUUUUCAUUUUUAUUUUCCUGGAUAGCCAAGCUACAAAAACCUUAUGCAAACUUCAAUUAACAUGUUGUUAACUAGUUAAUCAUAUACAUUAACUCAUAAAAGCCCCAUAAUCAUAGAUUGAGAACUAAAAUUCAAUUCCAGGUCUCGGAAAUUUCAGGUCAUACAAAUUCCCAAUUCACUUAAACCAGAAUUUUUUUUUAGGUUCUUUAAUUCAUCAAUUUACUUCGUAGAAUUAACAUGCAGGGUCUUAGACCUCAUGAACAUUGAGAUUCACACAGCUAAUUACUCUUGUGUGAUCACAUUAUCACAGAAAGACAAAAUUAUAGAUGCACUCCCAAGUCAUUUCCACGGUAAAAAUCAUUUUUCCUCAAAACAGAAUUUCUUUCUUCCUAAAUUCAUUAUCCGAGGAUAUAGCAUGGACUUGCAAAGUAGUAAACAGAUUCACUGGUCAGUAAUUAGAUCAUUAAUUCCCUGCACAAGCUCGGUUUAAGACAGUUUAGCGGAUUAGAGUUGCAUUAUCAAAUUCAGCCCACGAUCAUUCUGUUUUCCUUAAACCAGAAAUUUCCCAAAUUUUGUUUCAUCAUCUAAUCGCACCUAGCCAACAUGCAGAUCGAUAACUAACUUCAUCCCCUAUUAGAUAAACAUAACUAUAAGUUCCAGAACAACAAACUGGAGCCAAGUGAAGCUGCAAUGCCCAAAUCAAUCCUCGGCAGGGACAUCUAACCGAAACAGAAAAUUUUUCUAAUUUCUUAAGUUCAUCAUCCGAACACUUAGAUUGACAUGCAUGACCUUGAGCAUCAUGUUUAGUGUUAAGUAACCGUAUAUAUGAGCUCAGAUUACCUCAAAGAAAUAAAAUUAAAGUUGCAUUUCUAAUUCAGCUACUCGGCAGUCCGAAAUCAAGAUUUCCAGAAUUUUAAUCAAUCAUCCUUGGUGGUCAGAAUGUGGCCAGAUUUUAAGUCCAUUAAAUCUUUUCUAACUUAUCCUUGUUCACUCGACAAAUGCAAGGCUUAAACAACCUUUAGUCAGUUUAAAUGGAGCUCAGGAAUCACCUCACAGCAAGCUAAGUUCUCGGACAGAAUGUUUGAAAGGUUCUCCUUCCUCACGGCCCUCACGCACGAAGCAGGUUCUGGUUGUAGCUGGUGAUUGUUGGUCGAGGAUGGUGAUGGCCAGCAACUCCUACAACUUCCACUAGCUCCCCCCUUCCUCUCCUCUAGCUCACGAACAGAAUUGGUAGAUGUGUGGCUCGGUUUCUUCCUCUCUACUCUGGCGAUGAUAACAAGGAAAUGGUGGGAUGUUAUCUGUUGUAGGGAGUGUGCAGAGGGUAUGGGGUGAGAUUGUGAAGUGGUGCUGCGGAUUUGAGGGAGGUUGAGUGUCGACAGAGGUGGUGUGCUGCAGUGGUGAAAUGUGUGAUUGGCCGGCUGAGGUGGUGGAGCUGCGGUUGGCCGAGCUGGGUGGCUUGUGAUCAUGAUGUCCGGGAGUUGUUUGGGUUGCAGAAAUUGGUUAUGGCCGUGGGUGGUGUUGUGAGGCUGUGAGGGUAUUGUAGACAUUUCACUAAUUCUCCAAUUAGCCACUCAAGUCCUUGGUCCUAAUUAAGCUCCAAAAAUUGUCCCCAAAUUGCUUUGAACGUCUAAUUAAAAUGCUAAUCUUGCAAGACUUUGAUUAUCACCAAUUUAGGUCCUCAAUAUGGUUAGGGUGCUUGUAUUAUCUUGAUCUGGAAUUAAUUGAUUACGAAUUAGUAUUAAGCUUUCUUUAACAUUCUUGUUUGGUUAAUUAACCUAUUAAAAUCAAGUUUGACCAAUAUAUAAAAAUCCAACAUUUAUGUUAACACGAAAGGUUUAGUCUAGCUCCAAAAAUCUUAAUUUAGUUUAGCGGAACCAAGGAAUUCAUAACUCAGAAAAAUUAUAUAAAUUUCCACAUAAGCGUGUUUUACGUACUUAAUUGCAAACAAGUAAAAGUAGUACUAGGAAUUAUUAACGAAUAAAAGAGGUGUGAAAGACAUACGUAAUAUUAUUUAUAUAAGCAUUUUCAGGGUUCUCACAUUGCCUUCGAGUAUGGUUGCUCUUUUGCAGGAAUUUAACGAUGUCUUCCCUGACGAGGUCCCUGAUGGCUUACCACCCAUUCGAGGGAUUGAACACCAAAUCGACCUCAUUCCUGGAGCACCACUACCCAAUAAACCUGCUUACCGCAUGGGCCCUGAGGAGACAAAGGAGCUUCAAUGGCAAGUUGAUGGCCUAUUAGGUAAGGGUUGGGUAAAAGAGAGUUUCAGUCCUUGUGCUGUGCCUGUGGUACUCGUCCCUAAAAAGGAUGGUACUUGGCAAAUGUAUACUGAUUGUAGGGUCGUCAAUGCCAUUACUGUCAAGUAUCGCCAUCCCAUCCCUAGAUUAGAUGAUAUGCUUGAUGAACUCGAUGGUGCUGUCAUAUUCACCAAAAUCGACUUAAGGAGUGGCUAUCAUCAAAUUAGGAUGAAAGAAGGCGAUGAGUGGAAAACGGCCUUCAAAACCAAGCAUGGUCUCUAUGAGUGGCUAGUCAUGCCUUUUGGGUUGACUAACGCCCCUAGCACCUUCAUGCGAUUAAUGAACCAUGUCUUGAGACAGUUUAUUGGCAAAUUUGUCAUAGUUUACUUUGAUGAUAUUCUGAUCUAUAGUCGCAGUGAACAGGAGCACUUGGAGCAUGUGAGACUAGUUCUUGAGACACUUUGAAAGGCGCGUUUAUACGCUAACCUUAAGAAGUGCACCUUUUGUACUAAUGAACUUGUGUUUCUGGGCUAUGUAGUGAGUUCGCGGGGUAUCAAAGUAAACAAGUCCAAGAUUGAGGCCAUCGAGCAAUGGCCAACGCCCACAUCCGUCCCUGAGGUGCGCAGCUUUCUUGGAUUGGCAGGUUUCUAUCGGCUCUUUGUCAAAGAUUUCAGCACCAUUGCCGCCCCAAUUACCGCCAUGACCAAGAAAAAUGACAAGUUCUAUUGGGGGGAAGCCCAAGAAAAAGCAUUCCUUACCCUUAAAAACAAACUCACACAUGCACCUGUUUUGGCAUUACCAAACUUUCACAAGACUUUUGAAAUUGAAUGUGAUGCUUCUGGUGUAGGCAUUGGAGUCGUCCUCAUGCAAGACAAGAGGCCUUGUGCCUUCUUUAGUGAGAAGUUGGGAGGAGCUGCAUUAAACUACCCCACGUACGACAAGGAGUUGUACGCGUUGGUGAGGGCCUUGGAGACCUGGCAACACUACCUUCGCCCUCGGGAGUUCGUGAUACACACUGAUCACGAGUCAUUGAAGUACCUCAAAGGGCAACCGAAGUUGAGUAAGAGACAUGCCAAAUGGGUAAGCUUCAUUGACACAUUUUCUUAUGUCAUUAAGUAUAAGACUGGCAAGACGAAUGUGGUAGCCGAUGCCUUGUCACGUAGACAUUCCUUGCUUAUCUUUCUUGAUGCUAAGUUAUUAGGGUUUGAUAUGAUUAAAGAACUCAACACAAAUAAUCAUGAUUUUAGUGAGAUCUAUGCUGCUUGUGUGAAGAACCCGCAUGGAAAGUAUUUUUUGCAUGAUGGGUUUCUCUUCCAUGUAGAUAAACUGUGUGUGCCCAAUUCUUCCAUUCGUGAUCUUUUGAUUCGAGAGGCACAUAGUGGUGGUCUCAUGGGCCACUUUGGCAUUACCAAGACUCUGGUCAUGUUGCAAGAGCACUUUUACUGGCCUCACAUGCGUAGAGAUGUUGAACGCAUGGUUGGUAGGUGUGCUACUUGUCACAAGGCAAAGUCUAAGACAAAUCCAUAUGGCUUGUAUACCCCAUUACCUAUCCCUCACCAUCCUUGGGUUGACUUGUCUAUGGACUUUGUAUUAGGAUUGCCUAGAUCACCUAGGGGUAAUGACUCCAUCUUUGUUGUGGUUGAUAGAUUCUCUAAGAUGGCUCAUUUUAUCCCUUGUCACAAAACUGACGAUGCAUCUCAUAUUGCUAAUCUAUUCUUCAAAGACAUUGUCCGUUUGCAUGGCAUGCCUAAGACUAUUGUUAGUGAUAGAGAUGUGAAGUUCUUGCGUUACUUUUGGAAGACUUUGUGGUCCAAACUUGGCACUAGGUUAUUAUUCUCCACCACUAGUUAUCCACAAAGCGAUGGACAAACUGAAGUUGUUAAUCGCAUACUUGGCACUCUACUUCGGGCUUUGAUUAAAAAGAAUCUUAAAACUUGGGAAGAGUGCUUACCCCAUGUUGAAUUCGCCUACAAUCGAGCUGUUCACAGUGCUACACACUACUCACCUUUUGAGAUUGUUUAUGGCUUUAACCCGCUGACCCCUCUUGAUUUAGUGCCCUUACCUUCCUCUGAGCACACAAGCUUAGAUGGGAAAAAGAAGGCUGAUUUUGUGCGCAGGUUACAUGAAGCCGUUCGAGCAAACAUUGAGAGGCGUACUCAACAAUAUAUCCAGCAAGCCAACAAGCACUGUCGCAAGAUGAUUUUUGAGCCUGGAGAUUGGGUUUGGCUACACUUGCGAAAAGAAAGAUUCCCCAAACAGCGACGAAGCAAGUUAUUCCUACGAGGUGAUGGACUCUUUCGAGUGCUCCAACGAGUUAAUGACAACGCUUACAAAUUGGAGCUACCUGGGGAAUACAAUGUUAGCGCAACUUUCAAUGUCGCGGACUUGAGCCCAUUUCUUGACGAGGAGGAUUCAGAUUUGAGGGCAAAUCCUUCUCAAGAGGAGGGGACUGAUGUGUGCAUGGAUCAGGGCCCACACAAAGAUGACCCGGUCCGAGUUCCAUUGGGUCCAGUCACACGCGCACGGGCCAAGCUCUUCAAGGAAUCCUUCCAAGCCUUUGUUCGAGUUGUCCAAGACCAACAUAGAGUCCAUAGAGAUAUUGAAGGCUUGGAAAGAGACAAUCAAGUAGCCUACACCUUGAUCCUAGCCCAUGAAGAAUCAAGUGGGCCUCCACGUGAGUUGGCCGAGUAGGGCCUUAGUCUUUGAUAUUUAUUAGAUUGGGUUAGUUUGCUUAGUAGAAUGGGCCGGCCCAUCUUUACACCAAGAUGGCCGACCACUCCUUUAGGGUUUUCUUAGGGUUUCUUUUAUUGUUACCUCUAGCCUAUAAAUAGGCUUGCUUUGUAAGGUUCCAAGUACAAGUUUUAUGAAUAAAGUUCUUAGUAUUUUCGUUUUCGUCAUAAGAGAGAAUUCGAGCCUUUAACUUGCUUCGGCAAGGGUUAUUGAGCAAUCUUGCAUCUUGUCCAUGAUUGUUUGUCCGACCUAUCCCUUGGAGUAAUCACCUUCAUUGGAGUCGUCGUUCCACCGCUUUAAAACCAACUCGUGUCAACCGUGUUGAUUUAAGGUCCCGCAAACCAAGCGUAGGACAACCUCGCUAGAUCCUUGGGCAAACGUGCUACGUGUCUCGAAACAAGUUGAUCGAGGAACGUAUCAGAUUUAGUUCAUAAGUUGGUCCAAAUUGAGCCAUAAGCUACGACAACAUUCUUAUGUUUACUUGUGCAGGGCAGAAUUUUCAGUCAAAUUUGACAAUUUCCUAGAAUUUAUAGACAUUGAAUCAAACUCUAAACUUUACACCGUAGGAAGCCCUAUGAGUCUAGUUUCAAACGCAACAAACAGAACUCAAUUCUGACUUUCCUAUACGAAAUUAUAGCCAAUUUCCCAAAGCUGCGCAGAGCCUCCUGCGAAAAUUUCUAGAUUUUCUAACAACUUGAGAUUAUGAAACUUUUCUUAACAAAAUUCACUCCCUUGGCUCAAAUUCAACCAUUAAAACAACCAAGAAUCUAAGGUAAGUAAGUUUACAUAAGGGUUAUAAAGACAAGUAAAAUUUCGGGGUCUCACAAUAAACUUCCUUCUCAUCUUCCACUUUGUUUGCCAAAGCAGUAACAGGGCUUAUGGUAAAAAUAUCUUCCAGAACCUGUAAAGCCAAAAGAGUAGAGUCAAUUGGUUCCUCUUAUUCAGAAAAUUCAGUUUCUAAAUCAGAUAAUUGGAAAUGAAGUUCAUUUUGAAUUUCUGAAAUUAAUUUUACUCCCUUUUGGUUUUGUGGAAAAUUCUUGGCAUAGUGUCCUGGCUUUCCACAAAUGAAACAUUUGUUUCCUUUGGUUCCUCUGAAUCUUUUAGACUUCCGUCUAAAAUAUCUCCAUUUUUUCCUAAAAGGUUUUCUUGGGAAAUCCUUAUAGGAUUUGCUGAAACUUUUGAAUCUCUUAAAUCUCUUAAACCUUUUCCUUUCUUUGUAUGGAGCACAAGCCUAGCAUUUUCCUUUGGUAAUCAGUUCUGGCUUUUUACAAGCUUGAUCUAAACAAACAUCUCCCUUAAGAUAUUCUCGAAUAACUUCUUUUAUUGCAAAGAUCAUCAAGGGAUAACAGAACUGCUUGUUUGAUCUGUCCGGGUGUCAGAUUUAAGAUAGAUCCAUAUUUAUUAUGGAUAUACAUUUCUGCACCAUCUGUAAGAGAUUUUGGAAGUGAACUGAUAAAUGCCUGUUUGAGAUUGAUAUCUGCACCAAGAGAAUAAAACAACUUAGUCAUCUUUUUAAAAUGUUUAUUUAUAUCACGCCGAUCAUAAGAUAAACAUUUCAUCUGGAAGAAUUCCUUUCUUUUCGUCUCCUGGCUUUCUCUGACAUUACCAAUAAACGUCAAAUGUAAUAGGUUGAUGUUUUCCAUGAAAUCUUGUCUAGUUAGGAAAAGCAUCUUGUCUGCAUCUCCAAGUGUUGUCCACCAAUUCUUUAAAAUUCCUGAUAAGUGAGCUGUAAAAACAGAUAGAAUUUCGAAAUGAGAUUCUUCAGUAAGAUUUUGGGCAAGCAUUCAAGCAUGAAAAUCUUGGAAUUUUGCUUCCCACUCUUCAGGAGGAAUUUUAUCAAUUGUAAACAGAGGUACUCCCUUAGAUUUAGGAAAACUACUUCUCCCCGAUCUAUCUUGUGAUGAACUACUUCAGGUGCAUCAGCCAUGUGAAUUGUGGGAAUUUUUUCUAUUUCUUCAUUAGAUGAUUGGUCAGAGUUAGAGAAAGUGUUGUCUGAACUUUGAGUAUCAUCUGAAGUAUGUGAACAAAUAUCUUCUUCCGUUGAAUCAGAUUCUUCAGAAAAAUUAGGUUCUUCUGCAUAGGUAGAAAUAUAUGGAACUGAUUCAUCAUGGAAUUCAUGUAGCAUAGAUGAAAGAGGAUUAUCACAGACCUUUGUAGCUCAUUUGCUUUAAUUUCUUGUUCAAGAGAGAAAACAGGAUUAGUAUGCACAUUGUACAUUAAUGAAGAUGGUGGUUCUUGUGCAAUCUGUUUGUCUUUCCUUUUUCUUUCUUCUUCAGCCUGCUUUUGUUCUUUUUCAGCAAGCUUUCUUGCUUUCUCAGCAUCCUUUUGAAUUUGUUUAUUUCUGCGAUAUUCUCGUAAAACUUCACCAAUAUCAAAAGGUUUUAAAACUUGUGGCUGUUGAUCUGGAAAGAAAACAGAAGGGGAUGGUGUUGUCACACUACCAAAGUAGAAAGGUGUAGGCCAGUUUCUGAUAGGCGUUGCCCCAAAGGCUGGACUUACCUUGGGAGGAGGUGUUGUUGGUCCUAAAUCAAAUUUAGGAACUUCUCCUGUAGUACGUAAAACAUGAAGCUGAUUUUGAAUAAAUUUAGUUUCCUUUUCUCUAUUCAAAAUAAACUCAGCUAAUGAAGAUGAACUGGUAGGCAAAUUUAUUUAAGAUCUUCAAGUCUUUUUUCAAAAACAUUAAUCAUAUGAGAUACUUGAGAAUUUUGAGUUUUCACAGCAGUAUCAAUAUGAUCAACCUUACCUUUGACCUUAGUUACAUCUUUGUGAAUGGAUGUAAGUGCAGAAUUUUGAACAAGAGAGUUUUCAGUCUGCCAAUUAAGAACAUCUUCUACAGGACUUGGUCUAACAAUUUCUCCACUUGGAAGAACUGUAGGAGCAACAUUUUGGAGUUUUGGAGUAUGUAUGGCACCAUCUUUGUUGAAGGUUUCCAGUUUGGGAAAAUCUUCUUCCCUAAACAUGAAAUAUUCCUGGAUUUGGGGGGUAUGGACUGGGACCAAUGGUUUAGGUUUGCAAAAAGGUUUUGGUUUCCAUUUUGUUUUGGACUGUUUUGCCUCCUUUUCCAAGAUAUCAAGGCAUUCUUGGUAAUAAGGAUGAAGAUCCUUUUUUGAAGGAGGUGAAGAUUUUGUGAAUGAUUUUGGAAUCCAAUCUGAAGAAAUUUGAUAACCAUUAAAUUUACUUCUCUCAGUGUGACAGUCCCACCUCACCCUGAGGCGAACCAAAGGGUUUGGCGGACCGCCUGCCCAGCUCUCGCUGAGACUACGGAUCCGGAACAAACGUAAACUGAUACGUUCCUCGAUCAACUUGUUUCGAGACACGUAGCACGUUUGCCCAAGGAUCUAGCGAGGUUGUCCAACACUUGGAUUGCGGAACUUAGAAUCAAACGGACGACACGAUUUGAUUAAAGGCAGUAGACGACACUCCGAUGAAGGUGAAUACUCCAGGGGAAUAGGUCGGUAGAACAAUCAAGGACAAGACGCAAGAUUGCUCAACACCCUUGCCAAAGCAAGUGAAAGACUCGAAUUCUCUCUCAAGAAGAAGAAUAAAAAAUAACAAACUUUAUUAAUAAAACGUCCUCCCUUAAUGCUUACAAAGCAAGCCUUUAUAUAGGCAAGACUAAGGAAACCCUAAUAUCAAAAACCCUAAUAUCGACUAGCUAGUUGGUCGGCCACUCUUUGGACAGGGUGGGCCGAUCCAUGGACUCAAUUAAAGGGCCUAAGGGUUCGGCCAUCCUUCAACAAAAAGGUGGGCCGAAUCCAUGGCUAACAAAUGGACAAAUUUAACUUAUGACUCCUAACACUAAGGCCUAAUCGGCCAUGGGCCGCUUGGGCUCUUCACGGGCUCUCUUCGCGGGCUUGGAUCAUCGUGUAGACAAUUGGGUUAUCACCUUCCAAGCCUUCAAUGUCUCGAUGAACCCCUUGUUGGUCUUGAACAUUCCGCACAAGGGUUUGGAGUGAUUCCUUAAAUUGCUUAGCCCGUGCACGUGUGACUGGGCCCAAUGGUACUCGAACUGGGUCAUUGCCUAGGCCGAGGUCCGUGCACACAUCAGUCCUCUCCUCUUGAGAAGGAUUUGCCCUCAAAUCUGGAUCCUCCUCGUCAAGAAAUGGGCUCAAAUCUGCGACAUUGAAGGUCGCGCUAACAGUGUACUCCCUAGGUAGCUCCAAUUUGUAAGCAUUGUCAUUGACUCGUUGGAGCACUCGAAAGGGUCCAUCUCCUCUUGGGGAUAACUUGUUUUGUCGCUGCUUGGGAAAUCUCUCCUUCCUCAAGUGUAGCCAAACCCAGUCUCCAGGCUCAAAAACCAUCUUACGACGGUGCUUGUUUGCUUGCUGGAUGUAUUGCUGAGUACGCCUCUCAAUGUUUGCUCUAACGGCUUCAUGUAACCAACGCACAAAAUCAGCUUUCUUUUCCCCAUCUAAGCUUGUGUGCUCAGAGGAAGGUAAGGGUAUCAAAUCCAGGGGGGUCAGCGGGUUAAAGCCAUAAACAAUCUCGAAAGGUGAGUAGUGUGUAGCACUAUGAACAGUUCGAUUGUAUGCAAAUUCAACAUGAGGCAAACACUCUUCCCAAGUUUUAAAAUUCUUUUUAAUCAAAGCCCGAAGUAGAGUACCAAGUGUGCGAUUGACAACUUCAAUUUGUCCAUCGCUUUGUGGAUGACUGGUGGUGGAGAAUAACAACCUAGUGCCAAGCUUAGACCACAAUGUCUUCCAGAAAUAACUCAAGAACUUCACAUCUCUAUCACUAACAAUGGUCUUAGGCAUGCCAUGCAGACGGACAAUUUCUUUGAAAAACAAAGUAGCAAUAUGAGAUGCAUCGUCAGUUUUGUGACAGGGGAUAAAAUGUGCCAUCUUAGAGAAUCUAUCAACCACGACAAAGAUGGAAUCAUUACCCCUUGGCGACUUAGGUAGGCCUAAGACAAAGUCCAUAGACAAGUCUACCCAAGGAUAGUGAGGAAUAGGCAAUGGGGUAUACAGGCCGUAUGGAUUUGUUUUAGACUUUGCCUUAUGACAAGUGACACAUCUACCAACCAUGCGUUCAAUAUCCCUACGCACGUGCGGCCAGUAAAAGUGCUCUUGUAACAUGGCGAGAGUCUUAACAAUGCCAAAGUGUUCCAUGAGACCACCACUGUGUGCCUCUCUAACCGAAAGAUCACAAAUGGAAGAGUUAGGGACAUACACUGGAGCCAAACGCUCAAAAAACUUCGAGAAGAUAAACAUUCGUAACCCACUGGAGCCAAACUAAAAGAUACAAUAAAUCUUUGGUACCACGAAAACAAAAUCAAAACGAAAUGGAAGUGCCACUGCCACGUCACAAUCCGGCCGGAUUGGAGGCAGAGGCCAAACUGAAAAUUUCUCAAACUUUCCCUGCAUAUCCGGCUAGGUAUCCGGCCAAAACUUGGCCGGAUUCGGUGAACAGUAACCUGGCCAAAACUUUCUUCUUUUCUCGAUCAAUCUUCACACUAGUCCGAAACCCAACCAAAUACAAGUAAACUUUGUCUAACAUGAGAGAAUGCACAUACCCAAAUACAUAUGCUAUAUACACAUGAGGAACCUCUUUAAAAUAUACAUAUUAGGAAGUUUACAAAUCAAAAGGAAACAUUGUAUUAAGAUACAUUUAGGGUUUCCAAAUUGUCGUGGAGCUAUACCAAAUGAACAAAAGAAUUUCUAACUAGCUCAACUCAUUCUUCAAAACAUCGAAGUUCCAAAAGAUGGUUCCCUGUAAGGAAAACAAGGAUAACAGAACGGGGUGAGCCAGAAGCUCAAUGAGGUACCCAAACGUAUAAAUAGUAGAAAUCAUGAGGAAUCACUUUUAGGGCACAUAUACACAUUAAAUAAGAGAAAUGAAUGAACAUCGCAAAUUAAAGGAUACAGGUGGCUCUCAGGAGCCAAAUCCCCAUUACAAUACUUGAUCCAACCUCGUUGACCCUCCGUCAACGUUUAAUGAGACACAUGUGUCCGUAGACCCCACUUACGCCAAAAUCCCGUUCACCAAGCAUACCCCUUACCGGACCCGAACGCCAAACAAGAACAAGAAUGGUAAUACUCGAGUAUACCGAAAAUCUAGAGUCUCCAAUACCCAAAGAUUUCCCGAGAACAGGCACCCAUAGAUUGUCAAAUUUUCUCGAUCAAGCCCUUGCCGGCUCGAUCCAAUUGACUCCCCUGAGGUUGAGCUCAGAUUUAACAGGAAGGUCGUUGGAUACACUUCCAAACGACAUCACAUCAGGCACAAGUAACAGAUUCAAGUAGAUACAAGAAACAAGUGUGAUAAAGUACACAAUCGUCUCGUACAAAAUAAACAAUCGGUACAGGCAUUCAAGUAACAAGUUGCGAGUACAAAUAACCAGCUUAGCAAUAAUUCAGAGGAGUAGUACACUCAUCAGUUCACGUAAAGAUACUUCAGAGGUUUCAACCAAAGUAGGGCUCUAAUCACCAAGAAACCCUAGAAUAACCAAGGUAAACAAUUAUGGUUCCCACAACCACAAAUCCAGUAAAUAAAAUGCACAAAUAAGGCUCGACUACAAGUCAUGACCUCACCAAAUAAUUACUCAUGCUAGGGCGCAAAACAUGAUUUUGGGGCGAAAAGGUAACAUGAAGACCUAACUCGAACAACCCUAAAAGCCCUUCUUAUAUAUAUCCCAAACCAAACCAAACUCGAAGAAAUCCAACACUCCCAAAAUUUGGACAGCAUAUCCCCCACAUUUCCUUACUUUUCCACCCUACAAUCAACACCAAUUCAUCUCAAAUCAACAACAUACAAAUCAUAAACUAUAAAAUACACCUUUCGGCACAACAGCCACAACUGAAGCUACACUUAUCGAAUUGAAACGAAUUUUAUGGCGUUUUGAAGCCAAGACAUAAACCUACAUUUCUUAUGAAGACCUCCAAAGCCAAAUCAUGCAUUUUCAUGGUCAAAAAUGGAAUCUCCACGAAAACAGAAAUCUGUCCGCGAAACAGGGCUCAUGGGCAGUCAAGGGUAUUUCGGUCAUUUCACAUGAUACAGUGCUCGGAUCGAGCUAAAACUUUCAUGUUUUAACACCAUUUGCUACAACUUUCAUGUUUUAACCUAAGCCUGAUUCGGCCUCUAACAUGCACAAAUAAAGCCGAUCAGAACAGGGCAGAUUGGAACCCUAAAACUGAAAUUUCCGCACAAAACUGAAAUUUUCCGCAACCAACUACAACUAACAUAUAAAAGCUUUAUUUUACACCAUAUCAGGCCAUCAUUCAUGGCCAACCAAUAAUGAUCAUAUAAAAUCAAAAAAAUCACCAAUAAAAUUGAAACUUACCACUAUACUACUUUAAACCAAGAAGUCUCCCACAAAACUAGAAACCACUAAUAUACAAUUAUUAGAAGUAAAUGAGGGGUUUCUUGACAAGUUACCUUAGAAACACUAGAAAGAUGAUAGCAUGGUACUUUCCCUUCAAAAUCACUUCACCAACACCUCUAAUCCUUCCUAGCAAGAAGUUUCUAUGGAGUAAUUUGAGAUACUUACAGUUGGAACUCAAGAUUUGGGCUUGGAUUUGAAGAAACAAGAUGAAACUUUCCUCUCUUUUCCUCUCCUCAAUGGCCGGCCAAGAUGGAGCAAAUGAAGAUGAUUUUUGGGUCAAUUUUGAUAUUUAGUAAAGUUGGGGAAUAGUGGUCAAAGUCCACCCUCCAUUGGAUUCAUGACACUUGGCCCUAUUAGGGUUUGAUCUAAUCCUCUUAUCUUCCAAUGGUUAAGAUAUCUAGCUAACCUCUAAUUGUUUCCUAACACCUUGCAAAAUAAUAUCCCUUAAUACAAAACUUCAAUUAAUCGCCAAAAAUUUUAUCGUACUUAACGCACUAGCGGGUCCCACAUCUACAAAGCACUUCAAACUUAUCAUGAACUAACUUAUACUGGGAAAAUGAUUUAAAACCUAUACUCAGUUAUAAAAAUCUCUAGAAAAUCAAUAUAGUAGGGUAUAAUGAAGAAAACGCAUGCGAGAAAAUAAAAUAAAAUAUUAUGAAAUAAAGAAAAUUUACGGGUCCUCACACUCAGAUACAAAAGUAUCUGUAUCUGGAUCUUGGGGAUCAAGAUCUGGUUUACAAGGUCUAGGCUCCAUUGGUUCUGGGUCAACAGAUCUUGGUUUUCUUCGUUUCUUUGGGCAGUCAGUUAGAUCUGAUACAUUGCAACCAAGAAUUUCUGCGAGUUGGCAUUCCUCACAAACGGUACAAACAUCAAAAAAGAUGUGACCAGAUAUAGGAUCUUGGAACCAGUAAAUCGGAAGUCCUUUUUGAUCAAAAUAUUGAAUGAUGUCCUGACUUCUAUGAACCUGUUGAAGAUUUUGUGGAUUAUCUUCAUGUAUUCCCCAUUGCUUUUCAAAUGCUGAUGGAUAGUACAUAGGUACCUGUGCAAUCAUAAUAGAAGGGUGAGAUUUUGAAGACAAAGGCUUCAAAUGAGAAUGAUCAAAUGAGAUAGAAGUUCUCCCUUCUGAAGUUUGAGAUAUUUUUGAGUUUGAGGACUCAAGAGGCUCAUUUGCUUGAGUAUGCAAAUUUUCAUAAUCAGUAAUCCAACUAUUUGGUAAUAAUUGAAUUAAUUCUGAUUUUGAAAUUUGCCUUGAUACAUGAGUACAUGAGGCACUGUUCUUCUCAUCCACCUGGAUAAGAAGAGUAUUUUCACUACCUAGAAUCGUGAGAUCCAGUGCAUGAUUCUGGACACAAUAGACCAUUUGGUAGUGAAGAGUAGCAGCUAUGGCAUCUGCGACUUGUUCUGCUCCUAUGAUUUGUACCUGCACUUUAAGAGCAUCUAGCAGAUUUGGAUCUGCUAAGGACAUAUUAAAAUUAGGAAAGAGAGUAACAAAAAUAGUUCCAGCAUUAAGAGUUGUUUCUAUUGUUGCUAUACAAGCAUGCUGGUAUUGUUUGAAUCUUGUGUCAAGUAGUGCUACUCGAGCAACUACUGGAAGUCCUUUCCUUCCAUGGAAUGAUAGGGAAAUCCUGAUUGCUCCAAAGUGUAUAUGGGCAUAUCCUUGUUGCUUCCAUUGCAUAGGAAAAUCAGUUGGAAUAUGCAAAGUUAUGAAUUGUUCUUUCCUGGUAGCAGGAAUUGGGUGCUGAUCAACUUUUGAUGCCUAAAUGUAUUCCUUAACUCCUUUGGGAUGAGAUCUGAUUAAUGAUUUUAUUAUACGAGUAGAAGAAAAAGAUUGUUUACCAAAAGCACUAUAUGGAUUUAUUACAGGAAUAGAGGUAGGAUUAACCACCUCUGGCUCAAUAGAAACUUCAUACAAAUAAUCUAGCUUAUUACUAUUUACUAUUUUUAUUUCUAAACCACUAGUAGUAGUGAUAGUAGAAGAAUUAGAAAAAGAAGCCAUAAAUUAAACAAGACUAAUACUCAAAUCUUUAUUAAUAACAACUUUCUUUUUGGAAUUUUCUUUAUCUUUUUGUACACGCUCUGCAGUACAAAGAACAGAAAAACGAUGAUACAAUAAAUCUAUUUUAAUUUGUCUACUAACAAUACUGUAUGACCAAGGAUUAAGAAACUCAGAAAAACGUACAAUAUCUUGCUGGUAACCUGCAAUUUUUUCAAGACACUGCUCUCUAUUCAAAUCUUCAUACUUAUCAUAUAUAUGACCAUGACCAAUAAUAUCACGAAUAUGUUCAUACCAUGCAUCGUAAUUAUCAUAAUGAUGUAAAACCCAUGCAUUCAGCUCAUUAUGUUGUUGAACAAUUUGAUGAGGAACAUCAAGGAAAUGGUUCAUGUAGAAAUAAGAUAACAAGAAUAACUUUAAAAAGAGUUUUCACCAGGGUUGGCUCUGAUACCAAAUACCAGAAUGCCUGCUUACAAUCCAAAUAUCAGAGAAAUAAUUUGCUCUUUAAAGGUAUUCCCGAACACAACAGCCUCUCUUCUUUGGGCUUUCAAAAGUUCAAGGGACUUUUAUCACAAGAACAAAUUAGAACUCCUGAAGUUUGGUCUUAUUGAGAUUUCAUUUCUCUGAUAUUUGGAUUCAAAGCAGGCAUUCUAGUAUUUGGUAUCAGAGCCAACCCUGGUGAAAACUCUUUUUAAAGUUAUUCUUGUUAUCUUAUUUCUACAUGAACCAUUUCCCUGAUUUUCCUCAUCAAAUUGUUCAACAACAUAAUGAGCUGAAUGCAUGGGUUUUACAUCAUUAUGAUAAUUACGAUGUAUGGUAUGAACAUAUUCAUGAUAUUAUUAGUCAUGGUCAUAUAUAUGAUAAGUAUGAAGAUUUGAAUAGAGAGCAGUGUCUUGAAAAAAUUGCAGGUUACCAGCAAGAUAUUGUACGUUUUUCUGAGUUUCUUAAUCCUUGGUCAUACAGUAUUGUUAGUAGACAAAUUAAAAUAGAUUUAUUGUAUCAUCUUUUUUCUGUUCUUUGUACUGCAGAGCGUGUACAAAAAGAUAAAGAAAAUUCCAAAAAGAAAGUUGUUAUUAAUAAAGAUUUGAGUAUUAGUCUUGUUUAAUUUAUGGCUUCUUCUUCUAAUUCUUCUACUAUCACUACUGCUAGCGGUUUAGAAAUAAAAACAAUAAAUAGUAAUACGCUAGAUUAUUUGUAUGAAGUUUCUAUUCUUGUAAUAAAUCCAUAUAGUGCUUUUGGUAAACAAUCUUUUUCUCCUACUCGUAUAAUGAAAUCAUUAAUCAGAUCUCAUCCCAAAGGAGUUAAAGAAUAUAUUCAGGCAUCAAAAGUUGAUCAACACCCAAUUCUUGCUACCAGGAAAGAACAAUUCAUAAUUUUACAUAUUCCAACUGAUUUUCCUAUGCAAUGCAAGCAACGAGGAUAUACCUAUAUACACUUUGGAGCAAUCAGGAUUUCCUUAUCAUUCCAUGGAAGGAAAGGACUUCCAGUAGUUGCUCGAGUAGCACUACUUGACACAAGAUUCAAACAAUACCAGCAUGCUUGUAUAGCAUCUGACAGCCCCACCUUCCCCUAAGACGUAUCAAAGGGGUUAGCGGACUGCCUGUCCAACUAUCGCCAGGACUACUAAGACGGUUAUAUACAAUCGAAAACAUUCAGAAGAUAUUAGCAGGCUCAAACGAUUCAAAAUUCGCGAAAUGGAAAACAAAAAAUCGGAGCCGCACAUGAAUAGUACCGGCCACGUCACAAUCCGGCCAGAUUGGAGGCAGUGACCAACUGCCCGGAUUUAAAAAAUUCCAAGACAAUCUGGCCAGCAAUCCGGCCAAGAUCUGGCUGGAUUCCCCUGUGCCUUUCCCGCCAAAAUUUUUUCUUUUGUCGUUCAAAAUCCGAUCCUGUUCGAAACCCAACCGAUUACCAACAAAUCAUAUAAACCUUGAAAUUGAACCUUUGCAAACCCAAAAGAACACAUGAACAUUACCAAACACGUUUAUACACGUAUAGUUGCAAAUUUACAACUCAAAAGGAAAUGUGGAAUCAAAAUACACUUAAGGUUUUCCAACCAUCAAGGAGCUAUACAAAAGAAUAUUAAUCAAGCUCAACUCGGCUUCAAAAUCACAGUUUUCCAAAAGUUAUUCAUCUCCCUGUAAGGAAAACAAAGACAAUAGAGUGAGCUUUUGCCCAAUGAGGUACCAUCACCCACGUAACGAAGUUCAUAUAAGCACAAAACUACUCAAUCCCAAUACAUUCAAUAAGUGAGUCAACGAACACUACAUUUUAAUAAAGAUAUUUAAAAGGAUACGGUCGGCUCUCAAGAGCCCUUUUCCUCGCUUGCCGUACUUGAUCUCGCCCCGUUGACCCUCCGUCAACGCCUAAGGAGUAACCCAUACCGUAGACUCCACUUUCUCCAAUUUCCUUCCACCUCACAUACCCCUACCGGGCCCGAACUCCAACCAGUUCAAAAUGGUAAUAUUCGAGUAUACCAAAAUCAAGAGUCUCAUACCUAAUGAUUCCAUAGAAACAGUCCCCAUGGCUUAUCAAUCUCCUCGACCAUGCCCUUGCUGGCUUGAGUCAAUCGACCGCCGAUGGGGUUGAGCUCAGAGUCAACAGUAAAAGUUGUUGGAUACACGUCCAAACGACACCAGUUCAAGUAUAUUCAAGAGACAUUCAAUUGAUACAGUAAACAGUCACAUAAGCCAUGGAGUGCGAGAGUGAUAAAGUACACCCUCGUCUCAACCAAUCUUAGCAGUAUACACAAGCAUUCAAAUCAUAGAUUUCAAGUAUAACAAAGCCAUGAAAUAACAAUCAUGUGAGUAGUACACUCACCAAUCAAACAAAGAGAGUUUUCACAAAUUUCCACCCAAAGAGCGCCUUGAGUCACCAGCAUGCCUUAAAAAAUUCAAGAAAACACAAUGAGACUCGAAUACGAGAGUCAUAAACCCAAACCACACAUCACUAAUGUAAAGCUAAAAUAACUUGAAAGUAAUAUAAGGAACACUUGGUGCUAAUGGUUUAGAUAACCCCAAAGUCACUAACUAACACUCUAAGCAACCCAAUUCCAAGAAAUCAUAUGGAACUAAAAUUUGGACAGCAUUUCCCCUUAAAAUUUCAGAUUUCCAUCCUACAAUUCAUCCUUCAUUUUCAACCAACACAACCACAACUACAAGUACAAGUCCUAUGCCAUUCAAUACACCUUAUUAGGGUUACAAUACCCUUUAAACAAAACCAAUUAAAGAGUUCCAUAAUAACCCUAGAAAAGCCCCAAUUCAAAACCCUAAAUCUGAAAUUUUCCGCAAAUAUCUGCAAUUAACACACCAAAGCACCACUUUAGACCAUACCAAGCCAUCAUCCAUGGCUAACCAUCACUUAGCAUAUAAAAUCAGAAAAAUCAUGAAUAAAAUCAGAAAUUCAUCAAUCUCUACUAAAAGUCAUGAAAUCUUCCACAAAACCACCUCUUUAACUAUUACAAGUCACUAAUUUAACAUUAUCAAGAACAAAUGAAGAAUUUCUUGGCCACUCACCUUGUAAAUUCCAGAAAAGAAGCAAUUUAGCACCUCCAAACCACUCCACCACCUCCCUCAAUCCUACCUAGCUAAGGAUUUUUAUGGAGUGAUUUCAAGUUUUGAUGGUUGGAUUACAAGAUUUGUGCAAGAAAUGGAAGAUGAAAGUUGAAGCUUGCUCUCUUAUUCUCUCUUGAAGAGCUCGGCCAAGAAGGAUGAAGAAAGUGAUGAAUUUUGGGUCAAUUUGUGGUAUUUAGUAUAGUUGGGUAAGAUGGUCAAAGUCCAAGAUCCAACCAUGUGAUGACACCCAGCACCCUUUUAAGCUUAAACUUAUCAUCUUGUCUCUCCAAUACUAAUCCAUCUAGGUAAUCUCUAAUUACCUCUUAACACCUAGUAAAUUAAUCCCUGUAUUCAAAACUUAACCUAAUUGGCCGAAUUUUAUCGUACUUACCGCACUAGCGGGUCCCACGUCCAAUAUACACUCCUAAAAUCUCAAGAACUAACUUGUACUAGAAAAAUAAUUUUAAAACUAUAUUUACUCAUAAAAAUUAUCUAGAAAAUUUUUCUAAUAAAGAAAAUAUAGAAAAUGCGUGCAAUUAAAUAAAAUAAAGCCUAGAAAAUAAGAAAAUUUUCGGGUUCUCACACUCUCUCCCCCUUAAAAGAAUUUCGUCCUCGAAAUUUCUCACCUUGAUUCACAAACAGUUCAGAGUAUUUUUUUUUCAUUUCUUCUUCCACCUCCCAGGUAGCCUCUUCUAUCCCACGAUUUCUCCACAAGAUUUCACAAAAGGAAUUUGUUUGUUUCUCAGCUCUUUAACCUUUCGGUCAAGCAACUGUACAGGUUUCUCUUCGUAGGUGAGUGACUCAUCUAUCUCAAUUUCCUCCGGUUGUAAAAUGUGAGACGGAUUGGGAUAAUACUUCUUAAGCAUCGAGACGUGGAAGACGUCGUGAAUCCUGGACAGACUUGAUGGUAGUUCAAGUCGAUACGCUACUUUCCCAAUUCUCUGGAGAAUUUUGAAAGGUCCGACGAACCUCGAUUGGAGUUUCUUUCCUCUACCUGAUACGAAAUACGGGCCGCUUAUGGGCCAUGUUUUGGGCUGCAAGAGAUUGAAUCUUUUAGUAAUAGUUAGUAGUUUAUUUUCUAGAUUCCUAUUUUAUUUGCUAGGAAUAAAUUCGGUCCAAGACCUCAUGUUGAGUUGGAUCCGAUUUAUAGAGUCUAGGCUCACUAUAACUUAAGUUGGUUAAUUAGCUUUUAUUGGGUUAUGUUGGGCCAGCUUAAAGCCUUCAUUGGAUCAAUUAUAAGCUGACCAUUAGAUAGUGGAUUUGAGUAGUGGAAUCGGGCCAAAGGCCUAGCCUAGCCGAGUUAGGGUUUUGUCUUGUAAGGCUAUAUAUAGCCUAGGUUUUCAUUCAUUAGAGAGAAGAUUUCAGAUUUUAUAAAAUAUAUGUGAGUUAUUUCACUCUCUCUUGCCUCAAGAGAAUUUCCUUUGAAUACUUGAGAAUUAAUCUCAAGCUGUUCAUUGAACUUAUCAAUCAAGUAGUCUUCUUGAUUGUGGCGUUCUUCUAUCCAUACUUUUGGUUCACUAAAUUUGCUAGUCGUGGGUUAAGGAAUCUCCUUAGUUCGUGGCUCGUGAUUCUAGAAGGGUCAAAGUUCCGCCAAUCAUCCCAACUUGGUGUCCGUCUAGAUCCGUCUCACAUCACUACCUGCCGUGACGCUUCGUAACGGUGUGACCUUAAGAAAAACACGGUCCCCAACUUCGAACUCCAGAUCUUUUCUUCGAUUGUCCGCGUAUCUCUUUUGUCGGCUUUGAGCUGUUUGGAGUCUUUGUCGUAUCAACUUGACUUUUUCUCGUGCAUCCUUCAUACAUGGAAUAGUUGUUGGAUCUAGAACCUUCCUUUCACCGACUUCCUCCCAAUAGAUUGGUGACCGGCACUUUCUCCCGUAAAGCACUUCUUAUGGAGCCAUUUGAAUCGACGAGUGGUAAUUGUUAUUGUGACGGCCCCACCUCCCCCUAAGGCGUACCAAAGGAUUCGGCGGACCUCCUGUCCAACUCUCGCCAGGACUCACUCACUCGAAUCUCCUGCAUACAUCCAAAUACAAUAAAUAACAUCGCAAUUCAAACUUAUAAUAUACAUCGAUGCACAAAUCCAGAUACAAAGCUUCUACACACCAAAAUACUUCAAAGUGUUUACAAUUCGAGUACAAUCAACCCUAGUCGGGUACUAGCGCGAGUACAAUUUCAAAAUUAAUAACAACUAGACUACGCUAGUCUGCACACGUCUCACACCUCGCUCAUACCCCCUGUAAGGAAAACAAAUGGCGUGGACUGAGCUAAAAGUCCAAUGAGGUUCCAAAUAACAAAUUGACCAUUUUUAAAAGUACGAAUAUCAACGUAGCAAAUUAAUGAGCAUCAAAAGUUCAUAAAAGUGAACAAUAAUACUUCAAGUAGCAAAUCUCAAAGUGAGCGAGUGUAAAAGUUUUUCAGAAGAAACAAUAAUCCAAUAAGCAAUAAUCAUUCCAAAGUAUAAGGAUACGGAUGGCUCUCAGGAGCCAAAUUCCCAUUGCAUCACCAGAGCUUGAUCAAGUAAUAGUUGACACUCCGUCAACCUUCAAGUAAGUAACCAAUCCAGUAGAACACCACUUACACUACUCUCCGUCCACCAUUCACACCCCCUACUGGGCCCAAAAUCCUCAAUAAACACUGGUGGUAAUACUCGAGUAUACCGAUUAGUCGAGGAGAUAACACUCCACUCGACAUCACUAACUACCCAUGGUUCAUCAUCUAAUCGACCAAGCCCUUGCCGGCUCGACUCGAUUAACUAGCCAGUGGGGUUUGGGUCCCCAAGAAGUCGAUGAGAUAUCAUCUCCAAUCGACUGAAUCAAAAUAAAAGUACAGAGACAGGAAUGAGAGGCACCUCCCACUUAGAUUGAGUGUGGUACAUACUGCCGCUCCACACUUACAAAUCAAGUACAAAUAUAUCAAGUUAAUUGCAAUAAUAAACAAGUAUAUAUCAUGUUAGGGCAAGUGCGAUAAAGUACACUCUUGCCCGAUCAACAAAUCUCAUAUCAUUUAUUUACAUUGAUCAAGUAUUGUGAACAAGUGUCCAGUUCAACCAGGUAUUUAGAAGCACUCACCAAAGGUCUAGUGCCUCUCAAAAGUCACGUUCAGGUCCAACUCCUUGGUUGGAGUCCAAAUCUGCGAUAACAUAUCAUUUGCGAAUGUAAAACUCUCUAGAGUUCAAAACAUAGGAAUUUCGCUUCAAGAAAAUCAAGUAAAUGCAAUUCGCUUAAGUAAUAUUCACGAUACUUAUCAAAUUUUGAAAAAUUCAUGCGCGCUCUUAAACCUUUGAAACUUUGAAACAAUUACACUUGAAAUACCAUUUGAGUCGAAGAAAUAUAGAAAACGUAUUUCUAUGAGUCAUAAAUUUCAUUUCCCAAGGGUACAAGGUCGGCCAAGUUCUAACUUAUAUAUCUCGAUAAAAGAGGACGCAAAGAUCCUAGAUGAUUCAAGUGGUAUUCACUCUCAAACCUUACUCAAGUCGCAAGUAUAUCUACCUAGGUCUUGAGCGUAAAUUUGGGCAGCACGCCCUUUGUAUUUACCUAUUUUCCAGCCAUUUAUGGCUUCAUUGUUUUCUUCAAUCAGUCCCAACAUUACACACAACAUAAAUGCAUUACAAUAGCCGUUCAAUAGGCUCAAUGUCAUAUGAUUACCGAACCAAGUUAGAAAAAUUGACUGGAAAUGAAGUUUAAGGCCUAAAAUCAAAGGCAGAUUUGACGUCACUUAGCAUAUCGGACACGACCGAAGCUACGCUUAUCGGAUUAGGGUGAAAUUUAUACUGUUUCAAAGCUAAGAUAGAGUGCUACAAUUUUGAUGAAGACUAAUCAGUCCAGUUCAUAGUAUAUCUAGGUCAAAAGUCCGGAUUACAGAACCAAAAUGUCCUUGUCAGGACAGUCGUUAGUACUGAAUUCAAACGACAACAACUCAGGUUAACAAUUCCGUUUGAGAUGUUUUUGGUUGUGUUGGAAAGCUGAAACAUAGGGCUAAAAGUUUCAUGUUUUGGCCAAAGACUGGUUUGGUACAGAUCAAGGUGAAAAACACAGCCAACAUGAGGAAAUGUCAAAACUGUCUGCUGGACUCUGCCUAGGGCAGUCUCAGGGGUAUUUUUGUCUUUUCACAUGCUAUAGUGCUCGGAUUGGACUGAAAUUUUGUAGGUAACUAUAAAAUAUCAUUCUCUACAACUUUCAUGUUUUGUGGUAAACCUAAUUCAGUCUCUAUCAUGGUGAACUAAAACCGGGCAGAAUAGGGCACUAAGGAUUUUCACUUCUGGAAUUUUGCUACAUUCAAGGUAUAAUUCACAUUUCUAGCUUAAAACCAUCACUACCACCUCAUAUACAAGCUUAUAUACACCAUAUACCAUCCACACAAUAAGAAAUAGGGCUGAACAAUACAAAACCCUACCUUACUAAUGCACCCAAAAUCAUCACAACUACUUGUAUAGCUACCAAUUUAAUCAAAACAUGAGUUGUAUAGCAACUUAAGCCAAAAAUAAAAGAACCAAAGAUAAGGAACAGCCAAUAUACCUCAAUAACAAGCUUACAAAGGAUAUCCUCCACCACUCCUUGCAAAGUUUAGCUUCCAAGCUUCCUAAGCUCCCAAACUAGUGAUUAAUCGGUUUAGUUUUUCUUGUUUUCACUCAAAAUGUUGGAUUCAAGAUUGAACUCUCUUCACUCUUCUCCCUCUCUUGCUCUCGGCUGGUAUGCUGAAAUUAUGGAGGAAAUUGGUUGGUUUUUGGUGAUAAAUAUGGUGUAAAUUAGUUAGUCAACAAUCCAAUGGAAGACCGCCACUUGUUGCUUCAAGAUUCAUUCUUAAAUUUUUUCCUUUUUCCUUGUUUUUUUUGGUCAAAUAAUUCGGCCACUCCAUGCUGAGAUUGAGGGAGAUAUUUUGCAAUAAUAUCAAGGAUAUUUUAGGGUAGGAAAGUGUUGGUCAAGUGGUGUGUCCAAUCGGUAGUGAACGAUACCCGUCGGUUCGAGUCGAUUUUCCUUAAAUCGCGUAUACUAGGGUUUUAACUUAUAAUUCACUUACUUAUUAUUAUCACUUCUUGAUAUGUUUCUCGAUCAACUUGUUUCGAGACACGUAGCACGUUUGCCCAAGGAUCUAGCGAGGUUGUCCAACGCUUGGAUUGCGGAACCUAGAAUCAAACGGACGGCACGAUUUGAUUAAAAGUCGUAGAAGGACGACUCCAACGAAGGUGACUACUCCAGUGGAUAGGUCGGUUGAACAAUCAAGGACGAGACGCAAGAUUGCUCAAGAACCCUUGCCAAAGCAAGUUAAAGGCUCGAACUCUCUCUUAAGAGGAAAUAAAAAAUACUAAGAACUUUAUUCAUAAAACUUGUGUUUGAAACCUUACAAAGCAAGCCUAUUUAUAGGCUAAGGUUUACCAAAAACCCUAAAGAAACAAGGAGAGGGGUUCGACCAUUUUGGUGAACAAGAUGGACCGGCCCAAUGACCUACUAAGACAAAUUAAUCCAAUCUAACAAGUACUAAGGACUAAGACCCUACUUGGCCUACUCUCUUGGAGGCCCACUUGGUUCUUCAUGGGCUUGGAUCAAGGUGUAGAUAACAGGAUUGUCUCUUUCCAAGCCUUCAAUAUCUCUAUGGACUCCAUGUUGGUCUUGGACAAUACGAACAAGGGUUUGGAGGGAUUCUUUGAAUAGUUUGGCCCGUGCACGUGUGACUGGGCCCAAUGGAACUCGGACUGGGUCAUUACGUGGGCUGAGAUCCGUGCACACAUCAGUCCCCUCCUCUUGAGAAGGAUUUGUUCUCAAAUCAGGAUCCUCCUCGUCAAGAAAUGGGCUCAGGUCCGCGACAUUGAAGGUCGCGCUAACAUUGUAUUCUCCAGGUAGCUCCAAUUUGUAGGCAUUGUCAUUGACUCGUUGGAGCACUCGGAAGGGUCCAUCACCUCUUGGGGAUAAUUUGCUUUGACGCUGCUUGGGGAAUCGCUCUUUCCUCAAGUGUAGCCAAACCCAAUCUCCAGACUCAAAGAUCAUCUUGCGACGGUGCUUGUUGGCUUUGCUAGAGAUAUUGCUGAGUGCGCUUUUCAAUGUUUACCCGAACGGCUUCAUGUAACCUGCGCACAAAGUCAGCUUUCUUUUUCCCUUCUAAGCUUGUGUACUUAGAGGAAGGUAAGGGUACCAAAUCAAGAGGGGUCAAGGGGUUAAAGCCAUAAACAACCUCAAAAGAUGAAUAGUGUGUUGCACUAUGAACAGUUCAAUUGUAGGCAAAUUCAACAUAAGGCAAACACUCUUCCCAAGUUUUAAGAUUCUUUUUAAUCAAAGCCCGAAGUAGAGUACCAAGUAUGCGAUUGACAACUUCAGUUUGUCCAUCGCUUUGUGGAUGACUGGUGGUGGAGAAUAACAACCUAGUGCCAAGCUUAGACCAUAAAGUCUUCCAGAAAUAACUCAAGAACUUUACAUCUCUAUCACUAACAAUGGUCUUGGGCAUGCCAUGCAGACGGACAAUUUCUUUGAAAAACAAAGUAGCAAUAUGAGAUGCAUCGUCAGUUUUGUGACAGGGGAUAAAAUGCGCCAUCUUAGAGAAUCUAUCAACCACGAGAAAGAUGGAAUCAUUACCCCUUGGUGACCUAGGUAGGCCCAAGACAAAGUCCAUAGACAAGUCUACCCAAGGAUAGUGAGGAAUAGGCAAUGGGGUAUACAGGCCGUAUGGAUUUGUUUUAGACUUGGCCUUAUGAGAAGUGACACAUCUACCAACCAUGCGUUCAACAUCCCUACGCAUGUGUGGCCAGUAAAAGUGCUCUUGUAACAUGGCUAGAGUCUUAACAAUGCCAAAGUGUCCCAUGAGACCACCACUAUGUGCUUCUCUAACCAAAAGAUCACGAAUGGAAGAGUUAUGGACACACAAUUUAUCCACAUAAAAUAAAAAUCCAUUGUGCAAGAAAUACUUUCCAUGUGAACUCGUUAUACAAGAUGCAUAAAUUUCCCCAAAGUCAUGGUCAUGGGUAUAUAUCUCCUUGAUCAUCUCAAACCCUAACAACUUGGCAUCAAGGACAGCUAGCAACGAAUGUCUACGAGAUAAAGUAUCAGCUACCACAUUUGUUUUGUCCGUUUUGUACUUAAUGACUUAGAAGAAGGUGUCAAUGAAGCUUACCCAUUUGGCAUAUCUCUCUUACUUAACUUAGGUUGCCCUUUGAGAUACUUCAAUGACUCGUGAUCGGUGUGCAUCACGAACUCCCGAGGGUGAAGAUAGUGUUGCCAGGUCUCCAAGGCCUUCACUAGUGCAUACAACUCCUUGUCGUACGUGGGAUAGUUUAAGGCAGCUCCUCCCAGUUUCUCGCUAAAGAAGGCACAAGGCCUUUUGUCUUGCAUCAGGACGGUGCCAAUACCUACACCAGAAGCAUCACAUUCGAUUUCAAAAGUUUUGUUGAAGUUGGGUAAUGCUAAAACAGGUGCGUGUGUGAGUUUGCUUUUGAGGGUAAGAAAUGCUUGUUCUUGGGAUUCCUCCCAAUGGAAUUUGUCAUUCUUCUUGGUCACGGCGGUCAUUGGGGUGGCAAUGGUGCUAAAGUCUUUGACAAAACGCCGAUAGAAGCCUGCCAACCCAAGAAAGCUGCGCACCUCAGGGACGGAUGUAGGAGUUAGCCAUUGCUUGAUGGCCUCAAUUUUGGACUCGUCCACUUUGAUGCCCUGCGAACUUAUUACAUAGCCCAAAAACACAAGCUCAUUAGUACAAAAGGUGCACUUCUUAAGGUUAGCGUAUAGACGCGCCUGUCGAAAUGUCUCAAGAACUAGUCUCACAUGCUCCAAAUGCUCAUGUUCACUGCGGCUGUAUAUCAGAAUGUCAUCAAAGUAAACAAUGACAAAUUUACCAAUAAAAUUUCUCAAAACAUAGUUCAUUAGUCGCAUGAAGGUGCUAGGGGCAUUAGUCAAUCCAAAAGGCAUGAUUAGCCACUCAUAGAGACCAUGUUUGGUUUUGAAGGCCGUUUUCCACUCAUCGCCUUCUUUUAUCCUAAUUUGAUGAUAGCCACUCCUUAAAUCAAUUUUGGUGAAAAUGAUAGCACCAUCGAGUUCAUCAAGCAUAUCAUCAAGUCUAGGAAUGGGAUGAUGAUAUUUGAUAGUGAUAGCAUUUACAGCCCUACAGUCAGUGCACAUGCGCCAAGUACCAUCCUUUUUGGGGACAAGUAUCACAGGCACAGCACAAGGACUUAAACUCUCCGUUACCCAACCCUUACCUAAGAGGCCAUCAACUUGCCUUUGAAGCUCCUUCGUCUCCUCAGGAUCCAUGCAGUAAGCCGGUUUGUUUGGUAGGGACGCUCCAGGAAUCAGGUCUAUUUGAUGUCAAUCCCUCGAAUGGGUGGUAGACCAUCAAGGACCUCAUCAGGGAACACAUCCUUGAAUUCCUGCAAAAGAGCAACCAUGCUCGAAGGCAAUGCCUUAUCGAGCUCAGCAACAUCUAAGAGCACAUGCUUGCAAAUCAUGAGAAGUAUAGGCUGGUCAGAAUUUAUAACUUUUCUAACAUCCUUAGCCUUAAUGAUCAUGUUUUGCUUCCUAGUGGGUGGUUUAUUGGGUGAAUGAUCAUGCGUGUCACCAGGUGUGCUCACUUGACCCUUGGUCGAAUGCUCACUUGAAAAAGUGGAGCAUUUGCCAGGGUCGGCCGCCUUUUGUUUCCUCUUUUAGCGGUCUUGUUCACACUCUCUUUGUAACUUAAGUUGGUCCUCAUACACUUGGACAGGUGUGAGGACCAGGCGUUUGCCAUUGUGCAAGAGAGUGUAUUUGUUCGCUCGACCAUCGAACGUGACGGAUUUAUCAAAUUGCCAAGGUCUCCCUAGGAUGACAUGUGUCGCAUGCAUAGGUACAACAUCACACACAACCUCAUCUAUGUAAUUGCCAAUGGAGAAAGGAAUACGUACCUGUUUGUAGACACAUACCUCACCUUCUUCACUUAGCUACUGGAGGUGGUACAGGUGUGGAUGUCUAGUGGUAGGGAGGCCUAGACUCUUAACCAUGAGCAAGCUCGCCACAUUCGUGCAACUCCCACCGUUAUUGAUGAGACUGCAGAUCUUAUCACUUACUUUACAACGGGUGUAAAAUAAGUUUUCCCGUUGUAGUUGCUCAUCCUCCUUAACUAGGGCAGUUAGCACUCGUCGUGCCACCAAGCACCCUAUGUCUCCAUGUGUAGGAGAGCAUUCUUCCUCACCCGGGUCCUCCUCUAUGUAAUCACUCGUGUGUAACUCGGGCAUCCCCUCACAUUCGUCGUCAUCGGACACGAUUUCACCGUUGUGAGUGAUUAACAUGACUCGUUGGUUUGGACAUUGGGAUUGGAUAUGUCCAAACCCUUGGCACUUGAAGCACUUGAUAUCCCUACUCCUAGUCUUAGGAGUCUCAAGCGGUGCCUUCGAGGUGGACCUGGAUGCAUCGGCAACCUUGUUAGGGGUAGAAUAGGAAUUUCGGUUAGGAGCAUUACCUUGAGUUCGGCUAGAAAAAGUUGGCGUGGCCGAAUUCCCAGCUUCGUAGGUCGUUCUUCGUGGUUGGUUGCCCCUCCAAGAAGACGCGUUGGAAGAUUGGAAAGUACGUGCUCCUCGUCUUAAUUUCUUUCCCCUUUCGGCCUUAAUAGCGAGUUCAAGAAGGUCGUGCAUGUCCAAGUAAUGUUGGAGCUCCAAGGCUUCUUGAAGGUCAGGGUUGAGACCUCUAAGGAACCUAGCCAUGGUUGCUUUAUUAUCUUCUUGAAGGUUCGCCCUCAUCAUCGCCAUCUCGAUCUCCUUGUAGUAAGUGUUACCUUGAGUGAGGGUUUGAAGUUUUGCGUGGAGAUCGUGGUUGUAAUAGCUUGGAACGAAUCUCUUACGCAUCAGGGCCUUGAGUUCUCGCCAAGUUCGAACUCGUGGUUCUCCCAUUCUCCUCCUUUGGGUCCUUACUUGGUCCCACAAGACUAGGGCGUAGUCGGUGAACUCAACGGUGGCAACUUUCACCUUUUGUUCCUCACUAUAAUCGUAGCAGUUGAAGACCAUCUCGAUGCGGCCUUCCCAUUCCAAGUAAGCUUCCGGGUCACUCUUGCCUUUGAAUGCGGGUACUUGAAUCUUAAGUCCUUUCAGUGCGUUCGUAGACGUGUCCCUUCUAGGCUUCUCGGCAUGUCCAUCAUCCUCACUUCCCGAGUAGUCGUCACUAUUUGCUCCCCCGUUGUCUCGGUUACUCUGGUUGUGAGAUCUAGAAUGAGAGCCUCGUGUGAGACUCUUGGAGAGUUCAUCAAAGCGAGUGUGCAAUUCCUCCAUUUGUUGCUCAUUAACUCGCCUGAGCUCGUUCUUCAUGGCGGUGAACAUCAAAGAGUAGUCAGUGGGUGGUUGUUGUUGCUCCAUGCCUCUCUUGAUGCCCUGCAAAAGGUUAGUAACAAGAAGAAAUAGUGUAAUGUGUCCUCACUUCACUCCCUUAGUGUAUCACUCACGCUCGUGUAUAGCACUCAAAACACUCCUUUAGACUUACCAAGUACCUUUACCUGUUGGGUUCGGUAGUUGAGAAAUGUUGCUCAAGUCCAACGAUUCGUCGCCAACUUAUCCACAAAAGUAAUCACAAAUUAAGGCACGAGAUGGAGGGGAAAAAUGGCGUUGAAAUGGGUAGUUUGGGAUGACUUAUGGUGGCGGACAGCAAGGGGAAACGCCUAAUGUGAACAAAAGAAAAGAGAUCCCUAGUUUCCUAAAGUGUAGGAGUGAAAGUAGGAGUGGUUUCCUAAAACCAAGGAGUUAUUAUAGGAGAGUGUCCAAGUGGGACAAAGAGUUAUCCAAGUGUUAUACUUAGUCUCCUAAAUGAAUUUGGAAAAGAAGCUGAGUUUGGAAACUUCUUAGAAAAACCUUCUUUUGAACAACUUUAGAAACCUCCAAAUUCCUCUCCAAAACAGAUUUGGUUUCUUUCCUCCCUCAACCGAAAAUUUCCAGAAUUUUUCUCCCUAAAAACCCUUCCCCAAAGUCAGCUACUCCUUUAUAAAACCUCUCUCUCACAACCGCAACUCUCUCCAAGAAACUCCAAGAAACUCGGCCCCUUCACACCUCAAAGAACAAAACAACUCGGCUCCCCCCCUCUCUUUGCAAGGCAAGGCAGACUUGGUUCUUGUUUCAAGACAAUGGACUCCCAAGAUAAUGUGAGCAAUGUCACUCAAGGAUCCCCCCAAUGGGCUGCUCAAGAAACUCCCACGAAGUUUAGUCCUAAACCAAGAAAACCCCGUAUGGAUGCAAGAACAUACAAGAAACUUUUUAUUCGAAGGGAGGUGCAAGUCUUCAAGAAACAAGAUGAUCAAGACUUUCAAGAACCUCAAAGGGUGGUUCAAGUGAUCAAGGCUCAAAGUGAUCAAGAAUUUCAAGAAGAGGUAGGCCAAAACUUUUGAGUUUCUUUCUUUUGUUUGUUCGAAUUUUCUGGUUGGCUUAGAAACAAUAUGUCAUGGUUUGUCUUGGCAAUAAAUUACCCAAGUUCUUCCUCUUUUUUUUCUUGCUCAGCUUCCUUGCCCUAGCCGAAUGGGUUUCUUUCUUUUCUUUUUCGUUUCUGUUUUCUUUUUUCUUUUUUUUUCUUUUUUGGACUUAAAGAACAACUCAACAACUUGGCCGAAUGAAUAAAAUUCCAGCAACCUGGUCAGCCCUCUAAUGUGCUUCUCCAAUUCCCCCCACGCAAGUUUCAAGAAAUUCAAGACUAAUUCCAAGAAACUCAAGAACCCUAGGCUCUUGUAGGUUUUCUUCAAGAUCUCCCAAACCAACAAGUUUUAACCAAAAUUCAGUUUAGAAAAUUAAAUAAGACAACCUGGAUGACCGAAGUAAAUCUGGACAGAUUUGACGACAGGAACUCUAGCGCAAAACGCAAACCCUAGCCGCCACCCCAAGUGAUUUUUGGCCGUUUGGGUGAUGACUAGCGACCAAGGCAGCUUGGAAGCUUAACCAGAAUUUUGUAUGUUCUAGAAGUGCCCAAACCACGAUUCAACCGUGGCACAACCAGCAAGGACAGGUUGCAAAGCAAGCUCGCGCCAAGGGACGAAACCCUAGUUGUUGCCGCGGCUUGUUUGGGUUGCUUCCUUGCCGGACGAAACCCUACACGGAUAGAUUUGAAGCCCUCUUUUUUUUUUUUUUUCUGGAAUGCGGACACACACGGACAGAUUAUGUGUGACAAUGAUGAAUCACUGACUAGCAGAAUUUGGAUGGACCACAAGACAAGACACGGACAGAAUUUUAAGACUAUGAAAGAUCAAACACCACGGACAGAAAUUGACCCCAACGAAGUGCGAAACAGCAGACAGAUUUGCGAUACAAGGAAUCACAAACUUCGGACAGAAUUAGAGGUAGCAAUGACACAGCACAAACGGACAGAAACUUCGCGCAACAAACGACACAAAGGGCCUGGCAGAUUAGUAACCCGUUGGAAAACGCGAACAGAAUUUUUUUUUUUGUUACACAAGGAACUACACUGACAGAAUACUUCGAACAACAACACACAAAGAAUACUGACAGAAUUGAACAACAAAGUCACGACUGAAUUGACGCAACAAGACACAAAAAAUUGCGGACAGAUUUUUUUUUUUGACAAACGACGCAACAAAGGAUAUAACUAGACGAACAGAAUUUUUUUUUUUUGUAACAAGGCAGCGGAAUCAACUAAAAACUAAGACAAAGCUACAGGUAUAACGGAAGAUACCUCUACCAAAGCUCUGAAGCCAAUCGAUACGUUCCUCGAUCAACUUGUUUCGAGACACGUAGCACGUUUGCCCAAGGAUCUAGCGAGGUUGUCCAACGCUUGGAUUGCGGAACCUAGAAUCAAACGGACGGCACGAUUUGAUUAAAGGCGGUAGAACAACGACUUCAACGAAGGUGACUACUCCAGUGGAUAGGUCGGUUGAAUAAUCAAGGACGAGACGCAAGAUUGCUCAAUAACCCUUGCCAAAGCAAGUUAAAGGCUCGAACUCUUUCUUAAGAGGAAAUAAAAAAUACUAAGAACUUUAUUCAUAAAACUUGUGUUUGAAACCUUACAAAGCAAGCCUAUUUAUAGGCUAAGGUUUACCAAAAACCCUAGAGAAACAAGGAGAGGGGUUCGACAAUUUUGGUGAACAAGAUGGAGCGGCCCAAUGACCUACUAAGACAAAUUAAUCCAAUCUAACAAGUACUAAGGACUAUGGCCCUACUUGGCCGACUCUCUUGGAGGCCCACUUGGUUCUUCAUGGGUUUGGAUCAAGGUGUAGAUAACAGGAUUGUCUCUUUCCAAGCCUUCAAUAUCUCUAUGGACUCCAUGUUGGUUUUGACAAUGCAAACAAGUGCUUGGAGGGAUUCUUUGAAUAGUUUGGCCCGUGCACGUGUGACUGGGCCCAAUGGAACUCGGACUGGGUCAUUACAUGGGUUGAGAUCCGUGCACACAUCACUUCUACUCACACACUUAACAACACCUAAAACUCACUCUUAAUCACCAAAUUUGUCCACACUCCGCACCGGAUAGUCACACUACGGAUAGAUUUAAAAACCCUAAUUCGCGCUAACUUGAAAUCGAAAAGAGAAAACCCUUACUUCUAUAUUCAUUUGCAUUUAUUGUGAGGUGAUUAGGUAGUAGGGCUAUUAUAAAGUAAUAAUUUUCAAAUAAAAGGGAAUUUUUAAGAAAAAUAUAAGGAAUUUGCAAGUCCUCACAGUUAUUAUAAGCAAACUCUACUAAGGUCAUAUGUUGACCCCAGUUACCCCCAAAAUCCAGAAUACAAGUCCUUAACAUAUCCUCGAGACUUUGAAUUGUUCGCUCCGAUUGUCCAUCCGUCUGGGGAUCAUAAGUGGUACUAAGGUUGAGUUUAGUACCCAAGGUCUCUUGAAAUUUCUGUCAAAACCUAGACACAAAGCGGGGAUCUCUAUCCGAAACGAUGCUCACAGGAACUCCAUGUAGUCUUACGAUCUCGUCCAUAUACACCUGAGUCAAUUUGUCCAUAGAAUACUUCAUGUUUACCGGCAAGAAAUGGGCCGAUUUGGUUAACCGAUCGACGAUCACCCAAAUGACAUCAUGUCCUUGUUACGUUCGCGGCAAACCUGAAACGAAGUCCAUUGUAAUGUUUUCCCACUUCCAUUCGGGUAUCUCAAGAGAUUGUAACAAUCCAGAUGGUUUUUGAUGUUCCGCCUUAACUUGUUGGCAGAUGAGACAUUUUUACACGUAUUGAGCAAUUUUUUUCUUCAUGUUGUCCCACCAAUAGACUCCUUUUAGGUCCUGGUACAUCUGGCUACUACCCGGAUAGAUCGUAUACUUGGACCGAUGAGUUUCCUCUAAGAUCUCCUUCUUUAAAACUUCAUCUUUAGGCACCACCACUCGGUUUCGGUAUUUCAAAACUCCCUCGGGAUUGAAGUUAAAAUCUGACAAUUCCCCUUUUCCUACUUUCUCUCCCCACUUCCGUACCAUAGAAUCUUCCUUCUGGGCUUCUUUAAUCCGCUCCAAUAAAGUGGACGUUACUUUAACAUUACCAAAAAUCACCUUAUGACUUCCAAGAUAGGGUUUCCACUCACAAACCGAUUGUAACAAAUCCCACUCCUUAAUCAUUAACCCCGCUACCUGAGCCUUUCGACUUAAGGCAUCGGCCACUACGUUAGCUUUUCCCGGAUGGUAGUUAAUGGUACAGUCGUAGUCCUCCAGAAAUUCCAUCCACCGUCGCUGCCUCAUAGUCAAUUCUUUUUGCGAUAAAAGGUAUCUAAGGCUCUUAUGGUCCGAGUAAACUUCGAAAGUUACUCCAUAUAGAUAGUGUCUCCACUUUUUCAAAGCGAAAACAACUGCGGCUAACUCCAGGUCGUGGGUUGGGUAGUUUUGCUCGUGGGGUUUUAAUUUUCUAGAGGCAAAAGAUAUCACAUUCUGGUUUUGCAUUAGCACACACCCCAGACUUCCCGCGAAGCGUCGGUAUAAACGGAAAAAUCGUCUGUUCCGUUAGGCAAAGCUAGAAUCGGUGCCAUGGUUAAUCUUUUCUUUAGCUCUCGAAAACUUGCUUCACAUCUAGCAUCCCACAGGAAACGACCAUUUUUCUUCGUUAGGUCGGUUAAAGGACCGGCAAGCUUGGAAAAGUCCUUAAUAAAGCGCCUAUAGUACCCAACCAGCCCGAGAAAAACUACGAAUCUCCGUGGGGUUUUCUGGCCUCUUCCAAUCAGUCACGGCCUCUACUUUCGCCGAGUCAACAGUAAUGCCCUCUUGGGAAAUUACAUGCCCUAAGAAAGAAAUUUUCUCUAGCCAAAACUCGCACUUACUAAACUUGGCGUACAACUGAUGCUCUCUUAGGGUUUGCAAAACGACUCUUAAAUGCUGCCCAUACUCCUCCCAAGUCUUUGAGUAGACCAGAAUGUCAUCAAUAAAGACAACUACAAAUCGAUCCAAGUAGGGCUUAAAAACCCUAUACAUUAAAUCCAUGAAGGCAGCAGGGGCAUUGGUCAGUCCAAAGGGCAUGACCGCAAAUUCAUAGUGCCCAUAUCUCGAAUUGAAGGCAGUUUUUGGUAUGUCCUCCUUCCUAAUCAGUAAUUGAUAGUAUCUCUGUCGGAGGUCUAAUUUCGAAAAGACCACUGCUCCUUGCAACUGGUCAAACAACUCAUCAAUAUGGGGCAGUGGAUAUUUAUUUUUAACCGUUACAUUAUUCAGCCCCCGAUAGUCUAUACACAUCCGCCAGCCCCCAUCCUUUUUCUUUACAAACAACACAGGGGCUCCCCAAGGCGACCCACUCUCUCGAAUGAACCCCCGCUCCAAAAGGUCUUGUAACUGCAAUUUCAAUUCCUUAAACUCAGUAGGUGCCAUCCGAUACGGGGUUUUAGAGAUAGGUGACGUUCCCGGUAACAGAUCAAUUUUAAAUUUUAUCUCUCUCUCCGGAGGUAGGGCUACUAACUCAUCAGGAUAUUCCUUCACUACGUGCACAUCCUCUACCUUCAAUUUCUCUGUGGGGGUAUUGAUUAGAAAGGCUAAGAACCCUUGUGCCCCUCUACUUAGCAAUUUCCUAGCCCGAAUACCCGAGAUCAAGGCAGAUGAGGCUAACCUACCCCUUAUAUCUAACCUUAAGGUCGCCUCCCCAGGAAUGAGAAAUUCUACCACCUUCUUCUUACAAUCAAGUUGAGCAUUAUACCUGGCUAACCAGUCCAUGCCCAAUAUUACAUUAUACCCCUUAAUAGACAGGCUUAUCAAAUCCCCUAACAAUUUUCUCUCUCCUCCCCAAACUUUGCAAUCCUUAUAAACCAUACUAGUGGUCAAAUGAUGAUCCCCCGUAGGAGUACUAACUUCCAGGUCAUAGGGUAAACUAGCAGGUUUUAUAUCUAUUCCGCACAUAAAAUUGGGGUUGACAAAUGAAUGAGUAGCACCGGGAUCUACUAAGACUUUCGCAAAUCGGUGGAAUACAGGAAUUGUACCUUCCACAAUUUCAGAAGAAUCGGAGACCUGUUGUGGCUCCAGUGAAUACACUCGAGCCGCUAUCUUGGGUUUGGUCCCUUCCACCUUAGCCGGUUCGGAAUUGGCCCUCGUCGAUUGCUGGCUUCCCUUUCCAUCUCGUGCUAGAACUGGACAAGUGGCAAGCUGGUGGUCUGCACUUCCGCAGCGAAAACACUUUCCCUCCUUCUUCCAGCAAUUGUCCUCCGCGUGGUUUGGCAUUCCGCAAUACCCGCAGGGUCCGCGAGAUGCAGAAGCCGAGCCUCUUUGGAAACCUCCUCUUUGGCCUCUCCCAACUUGGCCACCUCGUGACGGGCCCCCUCGUGACAUUUUCGGCAUCCUUUCUCCUCCAGUCCCCCGUCCAAACUUGGGAGGGGUACUCUUAUCCCCCUGCCCCGAACCGCUUCCAGGAAAUCCUCGCUUUUUCGCCUGGAAGUUUCUCACUUGUAGCCUAGCAUUCUCUACUCGUUGAACCUUCUCCACUGCAUCACUGAAGACGUUAAUCUGGGCUACAGCUAGAUCCUUCUGGAUCUCCACGUUCAGGCCCUGGACAAAACGCCUUAUUCUUCGUUGUUCGGUCAUGAUGAGUUCGGGCGUAAAUUUGGACAGUUGCGUGAAUUGGCUCUCGUAUUCGGCUACAGUCUGGAUCUCCUAGUGAAGCCCGAUAAAUUUGUCUUCUUUCCGUUCUUGAACUAGAGGAGGGAAGAAUUUAGCAUUGAACUCCCUCAUGAAGUUCACCUAUAUCUUGGGCGUUUGUUCUCGGUCCCAUUUUUGUCUUAUUACGUUCCACCAGGAACGGGCCGCCCCCUUCCAGUUGGAAGACAGUAAAAGUCACCUGCCUCUCCUCCGUAUAAUGUAGGGCAGCAAAGAUGUCUACCAUCUUUUCUAGCUAUCUUUCGGUCACAUCCGGAUCGGGCCCCCCAAUAAACUUCGGUGGGAAAAACUUUUGAAACCUUUCGAGGGCCCUGUCCUCGCUUUCCACGUGAUUACCAUUGUUUUCAGGGUUGGGAUUAGGGUUUUGACCUUGCUGCUCCACUACGUGAGCCAACAAGUCAGUUAUUCGUUGAAUGGCUACGGCCACUUGCACAUUCGGAUUAGCCCUAAGUUCAGGGUUUGGUUCGGAUGUGGUUCCCCUAGUACCCCCUUCAGUCGUGGGUUGCCUAACUCCGCGACCACGACCGCAUCCACUACGGGUGCCUUCCAUGGAGUUUAGUCGAUCUAGGGUAAAACGUAAAUAUAACAUUGAAAAUAACGAUAAACGUAAGUAAGGAGCCAAAGAUAUUCACAAUCAGAACACAUAUAUAUAUAUCACACAACAGUGUCAAACAAGUCACACAUUAACAGUCAGGCGAAUACAAACAAAGAAAUGCCAUGAGAUAACAGCGUCAUCAAAAGUUAUAUAUACAAAGCUAGUCCCAACGUACAAAAACGGCUAGCUACAGGUUCUUUCCCUGAUCUACUGUCCCCAUGGAAUCAAAAGUAGUUCAAAAGAGUUCUAGCCUAGUUCCCUACGGAGGCCAUAGACUCUCCCUCUUGGUUAGAACUAGGGGUACUCCAUUCUCCAGGUGUAUCGUCACUAGGAGUCUCCACUUGCGCGUUGGCGCCAAUCACACCUUGGAUUAGCGCCUCGCACUUGUUAAUAAUGCCACCGGAACGGGCUCUAACCUCCCAGACGACAUUAAUCAGACGAUGGUUGACCCCCUGCAACUGCUCUCUAAGAGCAUUAGUUCGUUCUUGCUCUAUAGCUAUGUCUUCUCGGAGCUCCCCUAUCCGGUCCGCUUGCAUCCUCAUGAUGCCUCUCAGCCUAAGCAUCUCCGCGUGAUCCCUGGCGGCGGCUCGUCUAAGCCUCCUCCGUUCGCCUAGCACCGCCACGACUACAUGAUCGACGUAAGAGUGGUUCCGGCAAUGGUUACAACGACGAGCCCGACUAGCGGUAUACCAAAGGCGGAUCGGACCUCCCUGCCAUUCUUGAUAAUCGAUAACGCGAGGGCAUUGGUGAGGCGGUUCACCCCCGCCCUCUCCACUUGCUCCAGCCAUGUCCUACAAGAAUAGCAAAAGGGUUCAUAUUCUAGAUAACGUAAGCAUAAUCACACUUAACGGUAUCUUAACACUUCCCUCACAGGUCCUAAGGAACAAAAUUCAAACUUGCCUAAGUCAUUCCUAACCUGGGCUCUGAUACCACCUGUGACAGCCCCACCUUCCCCUAAGGCGUACCAAAGGGGUUAGCAGACUGCCUGCCCAACUCUCGCCAGGACUACUAAGACGGUUAUAUACAAUCGAAAAUGUUCCGGAAGAUAUUAGCGCGCUCAAACAAUUCAAAAUUAGCGAAAUGGAAAACGAAAAAUUACGGCCGCACAUGAAUAGUGUCGGCCACGUCACAAUCCGGCCGGAUUCUUGGCCAGAUUGGAGGCAGUGACCAAUUGCCUGGAUUUCAAAAAUUCCAAGACAAUCCCGGCCAGCAAUCCGGCCAAGAUCUGGCCGGAUUCCCCUGUGCCUUUCCCGCCAAAAUUUUUUCUUUUGUCGUUCAAAAUUCGAUCCUGUCCGAAACCCAACCGAUUACCAACAAAUCAUAUAAACCUUGAAAUUGAACCUUUGCAAACCCAAAAGAACACAUGAACAUUACCAUACACGUUUAUACACGUAUAGUUGCAAAUUUACAACUCAAAAGGAAAUGUGGAAUCAAAAUACACUUAAGGUUUUCCAACCAUCGAGGAGCUAUACAAAAGAAUAUUAAUCAAGCUCAACUCGGCUUCAAAAUCACAGUUUCCCAAAAGUUAUUCAUCUCCCUGUAAGGAAAACAAAGACAAUAAAGUGAGCUUUCGCCCAAUGAGGUACUAUCACCCACGUAACGAAGUUCAUAUAGUCAACGAACACCACAUUUUAAUAAAGAUGUUUAAAAGGAUACGGUCGACUCUCAAGAGCCCUUUUCCUCGCUUGCCGUACUUGAUCUCACCCCGUUGACCCUCCGUCAACGCCUAAGGGGUAACUCAUACCGUAGACUCCACUUUCUCCAAUUUCCUUCCAUCUCACAUACCUCUACCGGGCCCGAACUCCAACCAGUUCAAAAUGGUAAUACUCGAGUAUACCAGAAUCAAGAGUCUCAUACCUAAUGAUUCCAUAGAAACAAUCCCCAUGGCUUGUCAAUCUCCUUGACCAUGCCCUUGCUGGCUCGAGUCAAUUGACUGUUCAUGUGGUUGAGCUCAGAGUCAACAGUAAAAGUCGUUGGAUACACGUCCAAACGACACCAGUUCAAGUAUAUUCAAGAGACAUUCAAUUGAUACAGUAAACAGUCACAUAAGCCAUAGAGUGCGAGAGUGAUAAAGUACACUCUCGUCUCAACCAAUCUUAGCAGUAUACACAAGCAUUCAAAUCAUAGAUUUCAAGUAUUACAAAGCCAUGAAAUAACAAUCAUGUGAGUAGUACACUCACCAAUCAAACAAAGAGAGUUUUUACAAAUUUCCACCCAACGAGCGCCUUGACUCACCGGCACGCCCUAAAACAUUCAAGAAAAUACAACGAGACUCGAAUACGAGUCAUAAACCCAAACCACACAUCACUAAUGUAAAGCUAAAAUAACUUGAAAGUAAUAUAAGGAACACUUGAUGCUAAUGGUUUAGAUAACCCCAAAGUCACUAACUAACACUCUAAGCAACCCAAUUCCAAGAAAUCAUACGGACCUAAAAUUUGGACAGCAUGAUACGUUCCUCGAUCAACUUGUUUCGAGACACGUAGCACGUUUGCCCAAGGAUCUAGCGAGGUUGUCCAACGCUUGGAUUGCGAAACCUAGAAUGAAACGGACGACACGAUUUGACUAAAGGCAGUAGACGACAACUCCGAUGAAGGUGAAUACUCCAGGGGAAUAGGUCGGUAGAACAAUCAAGGACAAGACGCAAGAUUGCUCAACACCCUUGCUAAAGCAAGUGAAAUGCUCGAAUUCUCUCAAGAAGAAGAAGAAUCAAAAAUAGCAAACUUUAUUGAUAAAACGUCCAUGUAAACCUUACACAGCUAGCAUUUUUAUAGGCUCAAGGUUACUAGAAAACCCUAAAAACCCUAAGGUGAGCUGUCGGCCAUCUUGAUGUCAUGAUGGGCCGGCCCAUGCUUCUACUAAAGCAGCUAAUUUAACCCUAAGCAGACAUUAAGGCCUAACGCCCUAUUCGGCCCACUCACUUGGAGGCCCACUUGACUCUUCAUGGGCUUGGAUCAUGGUAUAGACGACUUGCUUGUCUCCUUCUAGGCCUUCAAUAUCUCUAUGGACUCCAUGUUGAUCUUGGACCAUUCGAACAAGGCCUUGAGGGAUUCCUUGAAGAGCUUAGCUCGUGCACGUGUGACUGGGCCCAAUAGCACUCAGACUGGGUCAUUGCGUGGGCCAGGAUCCAUGCACACAUCAGUCCCCUCCUCUUGAGAAGGAUUUGCCCUCAAAUCUGAAUCAUCUUCUUCAAGAAACGAGCUCAAAUCUGCGACAUUGAAGGUCGCGCUAACAUUGUACUCCCCAGGUAGCUCCAAUUUGUAAGCGUUGUCAUUAACUCGUUGGAGCACUCGGAAGGGUCCAUCACCUCUUGGGGAUAACUUGCUUUGUCGCUGCUUGGGAAAUCUCUCCUUUCGCAAGUGUAGCCAAACCCAUUCUCCAGGUUCAAAAACCAUCUUACGACGGUGCUUGUUGGCUUGCUGGAUGUAUUGUUGAGUACGUCUCUCAAUGUUUGCUCGUACGGCUUCAUGUAACCUGCGCACAAAAUCAGCCUUCUUUUUCCCAUCUAAGCUUGUGUGCUCAGAGGAAGGUAAGGGUACUAAAUCAAGGGAGGUCAGCGGGUUAAAGCCAUAAACAAUCUCAAAAGGUGAGUAGCGUGUAGCACUAUGAAUAGUUCGAUUGUAGGCAAAUUCAACAUGAGGCAAACACUCUUCCUAAGUUUUAAGAUUCUUUUUAAUCAAAACCCGAAGUAGAGUCCCAAGUGUGCGAUUGACAACUUCAGUUUGUCCAUCGCUUUGUGGAUGACUGGUGGUGGAGAAUAACAACCUAGUGCCAAGCUUAGACCACAAAGUCUUCCAGAAAUAGCUCAAGAACAUUACAUCUCUAUCACUAACAAUGGUCUUAGACAUGCCAUGCAGACGGACAAUUUCCUUGAAAAACAAAGUAGCAAUAUGAGAUGCAUCGUCAGUUUUGUGACAGGGGAUAAAAUGUGCCAUCUUAGAGAAUCUAUCAACCACGACAAAGAUGGAAUCAUUACCCCUUGGUGACCUAGGUAGGCCUAAGACAAAGUCCAUAGACAAGUCUACCCAAGGAUAGUGAGGAACAGGCAAUGGGGUAUACAGGCCGUAUGGAUUUGUUUUAGACUUUUUCUUAUGACAAGUGACACAUCUACCAACCAUGCGUUCAACAUCCCUACGCAUGUGCGGCCAGUAAAAGUGCUCUUGUAACAUGGCUAGAGUCUUAACAAUGCCAAAGUAUCCCAUGAGACCACCAUUGUGUGCCUCUCUAACCAAAAGAUCACGAAUGAAAAAGUUAGGGACACACAAUUUAUCCAUAUAAAAUAAAAAUCCAUUGUGCAAGAAAUACUUUGCAUGUGGACUCUUUAUACAAGAUGCAUAGAUUUCGCCUAAGUCAUGGUCAUGGGUAUAUAUCUCCUUGAGCAUCUCAAACCCUAACAACUUGGCAUCAAGAACAGCAAGCAAAGAAUGUCUACGAGAUAAAGUAUCAGCUACCACAUUCGUUUUGCCAGUUUUGUACUUAAUGACAUAGGAGAAGGUGUCGAUAAAACUUACCCAUUUGGCAUGGCGCUUGCUUAACUUUGGUUGGCCCUUGAGAAAUUUCAAGGAUUUGUGAUCAGUGUGUAUCACGAACUCCCUUGGGCGGAGGUAGUGCUGCCAGGUCUCCAAUGCUCUUACAAGUGCGUACAGCUCUUUGUCAUACGUAGGGUAGUUCAGGGCAGCACCUCCCAGCUUCUCACUGAAGAACGCACAAGGCCUCUUAUCUUGCAUAAGGACAGCGCCAAUACCUACACCCGAAGCAUCACAUUCAAUUUCAAAAGUCUUGUUAAAGUUAGGUAAUGCUAGAAUAGGUGCAUGUGUGAGUUUGUCCUUGAGGGUGAGAAAUGCUUAUUCUUGGGCCUCUCCCCAAUGGAACUUGUCAUUCUUCUUGGUCACGGGCGUCAGUGGGGCGGCAAUGGUGCUGAAAUCUUUGACAAAUCGCCAGUAGAAGCCCGCCAAUCCAUGGAAGCUGUGCACCUCAUGGACGGAUGUUGGAGUCGGCCAUUGCUUGAUGGCCUCAAUCUUGGACUUGUCCACUUUGAUUCCCUGUGAGCUCACUACAUAUCCUAAGAACACAAGCUCGUUAGUACAAAAGUUGCACUUCUUAAGGUUAGUGUAUAGACGCACCUGUCGAAGUGCCUCGAGAACUAAUCUCACGUGCUCCAUGUGCUCUUGUUCACUGCGACUAUUUAUCAGAAUAUCGUCAAAGUAAACAAUAAUAAAUUUUCCAAUGAAAUGCCUCAAAACAUGGUUCAUUAGUCGCAUGAAUGUACUAGGGGCGUUAGUCAACCCAAAAGGCAUGACCAGCCAUUCGUAGAGACCAUGUUUGGUUUUGAAGGCCGUUUUCCAUUCAUCGCCUUCUUUCAUCCUAAUUUGAUGAUAGCCACUCCUCAAAUCAAUUUUGGUAAAGAUUAUAGCUCCAUCGAGUUCAUCAAGCAUAUCAUCUAAUCUAGGAAUGGGAUGACGAUAUUUCACAGUAAUGGCAUUAACGGCCCUAUAGUCAGUGCACAUGUGCCAAGUACCAUCCUUUUUGGGGACAAGUACCACAGGCACAGCGCAAGGACUGAGACUCUCUUUUACCCAACCCUUACCUAGUAGGCCAUCAACUUGCCGUUGAAGCUUCUUUGUCUCCUCAGGGACCAUGCGGUAAGCAGGUUUGUUGGGUAGUGGUGCUCCAGGAAUUAGGUCGAUUUGGUGCUCAAUCCCUCGAAUGGGUGGUAAGCCAUCAGGGACCUCGUCAGGGAAAACAUUCUCAAAUUCUUGCAAAAGAGCAACCAUACUCGAAGGCAAUGCCUUAUCGAGUUCAGCAACAUCUAAAAGCACAUGUUUGCAAAUCAUGAGAAGUACAGGCUUAUCAGAAUUGACAACUUUUCUAACAUCCUUAGCCUUAAUGAUCAUGUUUUGCUUCCUAGUGGUAGGUGCAGUGGGUGAUUUGUCAUGCGCAACACUAGGUGUGCUCACUUGACCCUUGGUCGAUGGCUCACUUGUAGAAGUGGAGCUCCUGCCAGGGUCGGCCGUCUUUUGCUUCCACUUUUGAUGGUCUAUGUCACACUCCCUUUACAAUUUUAAUUGGUCCUCAUAAACUUGUGCAGGUGUGACUGGUGUGAGGACCUUACGUUUGCCAUCGUGCAAACGUGUGUACUUAUUUGCCCUUCCAUCGAAUGUGACGUGUUUGUCAAAUUGCCAGGGCCUCCCCAAGAUGACAUGCGUAGCAUGCAUAGGCACUACGUCACAUACGACUUCAUCAGUGUAACUUCCAAUUGUGAAGGGAACGCGUACCUGUUUGAAGACGCGUACCUCGCCAUCCUCACUUAGCCAUUGGAGGCGGUAAGGAUGCAGAUGCCUAGUAGUUGGGAGCCCUAAACUCUCAACCAUGAGCAAGCUUGCCACAUUCGUGCAACUCCCACCAUCGAUGAUGAGGCUACACACUUUGUCACCGAUCUUACAACGAGUGUAAAAUAAGUUCUCUCUUUGUAGUUGCUCGUCCUCCUUGACUCGGCCGGUUAGCACUCGUCGUGCCACCAAGCAACCUACUUCCCCUUGGAUAGGCGAGCAAGCAUCCGCAGCCGAAUCAUCCUCCAGGCAGUCAUCGUUGACCAUUUCGGGCUCUUCCUCACAUUCGUCAUCAUCGGACACGAUCUCGCCAUUGUGAGUGAUUAACAUGACCCGUUGGUUUGGACAUUGAGACUAAAUAUGUCCAAACCCUUGGCAUUUAAAACACUUGACGUCCCUACUCCUAGUCUUAGGUGUCUCAAGAGGUGCCUUCGAAGCGGAUCUAGGUGCAUCAAUGGCUUUGUUAGGGGUAAAAUGGGUAUUGCGGGCAGAGGCAUUACCUUGAAUUCGGCUAGAAGAAGUUGGGGUAGCCGAAUUUCCAGCUUCGUAGGUCGCUCUCCGUGGUUGUUGCCCCUCCAUGAAGUCGAGUUGGAAGAUUGGAAGGUACGGGCCCCACGCCUCAAUUUCUUUCCCCUCUCAGCCUUGAUGGCUAACUCAAGAAGGUCAUGGAUGUCCACAUACUGUUGGAGCUCCAAGGCUUCCUGAAGGUCAGGAUUGAGACCUCUAAGAAACCUGGCCAUGGUUGCUUCGCCAUCCGCUUGAAUGUUUGUCCUCAUCAUGGCCAUUUCGAUCUCCUUGUAAUAGUCCUCCACACUCAUGUUGCCUUGAGUGAGGGUUUGCAGUUUGGAGUGGAGAUCUCGAUUGUAGCAUCAAUGCCUUGAGUUCUCGCCAAGUUCGGACUCGUGGGUCUCCCAUUCUCCUUCUAUGGGUCCGUACUUGGUCCCACCAGACUAGGGCGUAGUCGGUGAACUCAACGGUGGCAACUUUAACUUUUUGUUCCUCACUAUAGUCGUAGCAGUCGAAGACCAUCUCAAUGCGGCCUUCCCAUUCCAAGUAAGUUUCGGGGUCACUCUUGCCUUUGAACGUGGGGACUUGAAUUUUGAGUCCCUUGAGUUCGUUUUUAGAGGUGUCCCUCAUAGGUCUUUCAGCACGUUCAUCAUCCUCACUGCCCGAGUAGGCUUCACUAUUUGCUCCCCUGGUGUCACGGUUACUCCGGUUGUGGGAUCUAGAACGAGAACCACGUGUGAGACUCUUGGAGAGUUCAUCAAAGCGAGUAUGCAGUUCCUCCAUUUGUUGCUUGCUAACUCGCCUGAGCUCGUUCUUCAUGGCGGUGAACAUCAAGGAGUAGUCGGUGGGUGGUUGUUAUUGCUCCAUGCCUCUCUUGAUACCCUGCAAAAGGUUAGUAACAAGAAGAAAUAGUGCAAAUAUAUCCUCACUUCACUCCCUUAGUGUAUCACUCUCGCUCGUGUUUGUCACUCAAGACACUCUUUAACAAUCUUACCCAAUGCCUUCACCUGUCGGUUUAGGUGGAUGAGAAAUGCUGCUCAAGCCCAACAAUUUGUCACCAAUUUAUCCACAAGAGUAUUCAAGAAUGCAGGACACAAUUUGGGUGAGAUUUUGAGAUGGAGUGGACGAAAUUUGGAAGGUUAUUGGCGGUGGACAGACUUGGAAAUAACGCUAAGAAGGAAAACCCUAGGUUGCCUAAGUUGUAGGAGUGGUUCCUAAAACGUAGGAGGGAAAGUAGGAGUGGUUCCCUAAAGCAAUAAGAGAAAAUAGGAAAGUGUCCAAGUGCAACAAAGAGUUAUCCAAGUAUUUUACUUAGUUUCCUAAAUUAAUUUGGACAACAAGUUAGUCUUGGAAACUCCUUAGGAAACCUCCUUUGAACAACCUUUGAAAACUUCCAAAUUCCUCUCUAAGUCAACUUGCAAAUCAGAUUCGGUAGCUCCUUAUUCCAGCCGAAGCUAACCUCUGAAAUUUCCAGAUUUUCCCCUUCUUAAAUCCUCCCCAAAGUCGGCUAAUUCCCUAUAAAAUCCCUCUCUUCACAGCUGCACCUUUCUCCAAGAAAUUCGGCCCUUUCUCACUUCAAGGAACAAAGCAAUUCGGCUCUCCCCUUCUCUUCGCAAGGCAAGGCAGCUUUGGUUCUUGUUUCAAGACAAUGGCAUCCCAAGAUAAUGUGAGCAAUGUCACUCAAGGGUCCCCCCAACGGGGCUGCUCAAGAAGCUCCCUAGAAAUUUAGUCCUAAACCAAGAAAGCCCCGUAUGGAUGCAAGAACGUACAAGAAACUUUUUAUUCGAAGGGAGGUGCAAGUGUUCAAGGCUCAAGAAGGUCAAGAACCUCAAGAACCGCAAAAGGUGGUACAAGUGAUCAAAGUUCAAAGUGAUCAAGAAUUUCAAGAAGAGGUAGGACAAAACUUUUGAACGCUUUCUUUGUCUUUGCUCAAGUACACUAAUCAUUUUUUAUACUUCUUCUUCCUCCCAAGGGUAUGGCUCCCAACAAGUCUUGCCAUCAAAAGCCUUACCUUGUUUCAUGUUUACCCCUAUCCAACAUCAUCCUCCAGACAUCUAUGAAAUACCGUACCCAUGGGAAAAAGAAAAUAUUGAAAGAAUUAGAAACCACUAUGAGCUUGAACUUUUCCGCUCAUAUGGUGGAUCAAUCCUCAGUCCCUUCGGUACAAAUCCUGAAUAUCCUUUUUGUCAGAUCUUCAUUGCCAAUCCUACUGAAUUCCCAAAAGAACUAUUGAUGUGUGUACGGGUCAAAGCCCACGCAAUGACUUACAUGUUUCGAGUCCCAUUGGGCCCAGUCACGCAUGCAUGGGCCAAGCUAUUCAAAGAAUCAUUCCAAGUUCUAGUUAGAGUUGUCCAAGACCAACAUGGAGUUCACAAAGAUAUUGAGGGCUUGGAGAGAGACAAUCGAGCCAUUUAUACCAUGAUCCAAGCCCACGAAGAGUCAAGCGGGCCACCAAGAGAAUAAGGCCUUAGGCCCCAUCAAUUAGUUAGCAAUUAGUUAAUGAUUAAGUAAGAGCAUGGGCCGGCCCAUCUUGUUCCAAGAGCAUGGGCCGACUUUUUCCUUUUUCUAGCCCCUUUAGGGUUUUAGUCACUUUAGCCUAUAAAUAGGCUUGCUUUGUAAGGUUUAAGGGUCAGAACUUUUAUCAAUAAAAUUGUCUUAUUUUCGUUCCUUCUUCUAAGAAGAGUGUUCGAGCCUUUUACUUGCUUGACAAGGGUUUUGAGCAAUCUUGCGUCUCGUCCUAGAUUGUUCUACCGACCUAUCCCGUGGAGUAGUCACCUUCAUUGGAGUCGUCGUACUACCGUCUUGAAUCCAAUCGUGUCGUCCGUUUGGUUCUAGAUCCCGCAAUUCCAAGCGUUGGACAUCCUCGCUAGAUCCUUAGGCAAACGUGCUACGUGUCUCGAAACAAGUUGAUCGAGGAACGUAUCAGUUGGCUUCAGAGCUUUGGUAGAGGUAUCUUUCGUUAUAUACAUAUUUUUCGUAGUUGUGUCAUAGAAUUCUUAGUACUUUCCGCUGCCUUGUUCAAAAAAAAAAAAAAAACUGUUUAUCAUAUUGUUCACCGACACUGUUCAUAGUUACUGUUCAUCCGAAUACAAAUCUGUCCAGCCUUGUUGUUUGUGUUAUCCAACUUGUUUACUUGGUUUUCAAAUUUGGAUUUUGGCAAAACUUGUUGGAAUUUUGUGAAUCUUGAAGAGAACUUACAAUAAUCUUGAACUUCUUGAAUUCUUGACCACAAUCUUGAAAUUUCUGAAGUUCCUGACAACUUCCUUGAAAGAUCUUGGAGUUCUUGGUAGUUAUUAUUUGUGGACUUCCUUGUUUUGUGUCGUGGUUGAUAGUUGUAGUCAAGAAAAAAAACAAAAAAAAAUGAAAAAAAAAAGAAAGAAAAGAGGAAUCGGUUGGCAAGAAAAAAGAAAGGAAAUGAAAGAAAGGGGCAACCGAAUUGUUUUGAAUAGGGAACCAAAUCUGAUUUGUGCAAUCUUUCUUGGAGUAGAAUUUGGAAGUUACCAAAAGUUGUUUCAAGAAGAUUACCAAAGGUUGUUUCAAGAAGGUUACCAAAAGUUGUUUCAAGAAAAUUACCAAAAGUUGUUUCAAGAAGGUUACCAAAAGUUGUUCAAGAGGAAAAGGAUUUUCAAAAGGUUUCCAAAAACUAACUUGUUUCCAAAAUCAAUUAGGAAACUAAGUAAAGCACUUGGAUAACUCUUUGUACUCACUUGGACACUCUCUCUCCUACCUUUUUAGGAAACUUUCCCAAACUCUCUCAUCCAUUUUUUUUUGGAAAGUUUCCUAAAUUCUCUCAUCCAUUUUUUAGGAAACUUUCCUAAACUCUCUCAUCCAUUUUUUUUGGAAACUUUCCUAAAGUCUCUCAUCCAUUUUUUGGAAACUUUCCUAAAUUCUCUCAUCCAUUUUUUAGGAAACACUCUUAAAAUUCUCUCAUCCAUUUUUAGGACCUUUCCUAUAUUCUCUCAUCCACUUUAGGAAACUCUCCUAUGUUCUCUUCCUAGAUUUUAGGAAACUUUCCUACAUUUUCUCCUACAUUUGCUCCUAGAUUUUAGGAACACUUUCCUACAUUUUCUCCUACAUUCUUGUGGUUACACUUGUGGAAAGGUUGGUAACGGUUGUUGGACUUGAGCAGCAUUUCUCAACUACCUAAUCCAACAGGUAAAGGUAUUUGGUAAGUCCAUUAGAACGCUUCGAGAGAUACACGAGGGAUGAGCACAUACACGUGAGCUUGUGUGACGUGAGGAAUCUCCUUUUCUUUGCUUACCAUUUUGGCAGGUCACGCACUCAUGCCUAGAGAAGUUGCGUCUUACCCAUACAACCAAGAAUCUUGGAGAAUGAGCCUCUCAAGAGGAGGGGUUUCAAGAUGCCUACUCACAAGUACUCUAGUUCCAUGCAAUCCAGUUCACAACAUGGGUAUCAUUCACUCCGGGAGGAGAUGCAACGCCACCGUGCUUUGUGUGUAUAUGAAAGGUAUAAACAAGAUUGUGAUGAGUAUGAGAAGGAGCAAAGAAGUCUGCGUAGAGCAUCUAAAUCGAGGUCAACUUCAAGCAAACGAGGUGCAUCUAAGAAGUGUCUUGACAAUCAAGACGAGGAGUUUGAGAAUUCUUGAAUUGAGUCAAAGCUUCGUGAAUCAAAGGAUAAAUUCCGAAGUCAGACUAAAGCAUUGAUUGAUGACAUGAUGGAAAGACUUAGCCAAGUGCUGGAUUCACACUUGGAGCAACUUAACCAUGUGCCAACUGGUGGUAAUAAAGGAAAAAUUCAGUCUAGUCCCUCGUUGAUUGAAGAGCCACAUACGAAUGAGUUGCUGCCGAGCCGUGAACAAGAGCUCCCCAAUGAAAAACAAAACUCAAGUGCAACGAAGGAUCAAUGGUCCGAGAAGAAGGGAGUGGGGAUAAGCAAGAACAAUUUGGCCUUAGUGAAGAGUCAAGAAAAAGAGUUGACCAUGUCUGCAGACAUUGAAUGUGUGAACUGUGACAGCCCCACCUUACCCUAAGGCGAACCAAAGGGUUCGGCGGACCGCCUGCCCAGCUCUCGCCAGGACUAACGGUUCGGUAUAGAACGGGCUAAAAUAAUCCGGAACUUACCAACACGGGUAAACAAAUCAAAAUGUUAAAAGUGAAACCGAAGUCGGCUAUGAAUAGUAACCGACCCGUCAGAACCCAACCGAAAUAGCAAGCAAACAUUCACAUCUGAACUUUAGCGAUUACAAUCCAAAAUGACAUACAAAAGUUUUCAAAAGUUAAUAUAUAUACACGGUUUGCCAAAUCAAAAGAUAAAACGCCCCAAAAGUACACAUAGGAUUUUAAUCAACGAGCUAUACAAAAGACAUGCCCAACUAGCUCAAUUUGGCAGCCAUUUGUCAAAUCCAGACCAAAAGUGUUUAUUUUCCUGUAAGGAAAACAAAAGGAACAGAAAGGGGUGAGCUUGCGCUCAAUGAGGUACCAAACAGAUAGCAUUAAAAUCAUGGCAUUUCACAUUUAACAAAUCAGAUACACAUGUCAGAUGUAAAGUAAAGUAACCAAUGAUUCAAAUCAGAAGGAUACAGGUGGCUCUCAGGAGCCAAACACUUGAUCCAAACCGGUUGACUCUCCGUCAACGUAUAUAGAACCAACGCAUCCGUAGACCUCACUUCGCACCGAAUUCCGUCCACCAAACACCCCUUUACCGGGCCCGCUCACCGUAUUCGAACAUAAAUGGUAAUACUCGAGUAUACCGGAAUCAAGGGUCUCAAUACCCAAAGAUCCCCGAACAGACUACCGUGGUUCGUUAUCUAAUCGUCCAGGUCCUUGCCGGCCCGACUCGAAUAACUUAGCCACAGGAUUGAGCUCAUAGGUCAUAGAAAUCCGAACAGAUGCAGACACAGAUAACAGAUUCAAAUUUUGAAUAGUAAAUUGGCAUAUGAACAGACAAGAGAACGAGUGUGAUAAAGUACACCCUCGUCUCGAACAAAUAAAUAGAUUACAGAGCAGAAAUCAAGUUAAACAGCAAUGGAGGGGAGUGGUACACUCACCGAUUCAACUUCAAAAGUUUUUACUUCAGAUUGGCCUUAAUCGCCAAGAAACCCUAAAAUAAUCACAAUAAACCAAUUGAAGGUUUCACAUCUAUAAUCGAGUAAACAAAAUGCACAUGAGGCUCGACUACUAGUCGUAUGCCUCGCCAAAUAAUUACAAAUGCAAGGGUACAAAACAUGAUUUUUGGGAAUAAAAAGAUAACAUGAAGACCUAGGUUCAACAACCCAAAAGCCCUUUCAUUUCUACCAAAAAGGCAAAUCCAACUUAAAAGAACCAAACGGCCUAGAAAAUCGGGCAGCACUUCCCCUAAAUUUCUUACUUUUCCAGCCAUUAAGGCUUCAUUAUUUCUUCAAAUCAGUCCCAACAUCUCACACAAAAGUCAUCUCAUUUCCAAAAGCCGUUCACGAGGCUCAAAGUAGUACAAGUACAAAAGUUAGCUAGGAAAUGACCGGAAAGAAAGCAAGCCCUAAAACAUGCAAACAAGUACAAGGAGACUCGAUAACGAGUCAUAAACCAAUGCCAAGUAUGACCCCAAUAGGGUUCCAUAAACAUAUACAAACAUUAAAGAAAACCAGAAAUUUCGGACAUGUCAACCCAUUUUUGAGUGCAAACAGGUCAAAAAUGCAAGAUACUUCAUCAACAACGUAAAACAGAUUCACCAAAACGCAUUCUAGCGGAAACAUCAUAACUCAGGCUCUACAAGUCUAAAUCCAGAAAUUCCAAAACCGGUUGAAAGCUAAGAAACAGGGAUAAAUUUCAUCAGAAGGUCUCAACAACCAAUUCGGAAGCAAUCUAGACCAAAACAACCAAUUACAGUCGCAAAUCCCAAUUUCGGGUAAAACCAGAACAGCAAUAGUAAUUUAGACUUUUCUCAUUCCACACUACUCCGAUUGACCUGAAAUUUUGUAGGAGCCUCUGAAAUGUCAUUCCCUACAACUUUCAUGUUUUGAGUUAAGGCCAAUUAGGCCUCUAUCUAGGACCAAAAAUUUCGGACAGAAUGAAGAACCAAGAACCCUAAUUUUCCAGAUUUCUUCCAAAACAGAAAUUAAUUGCAAUCUUCCACUUUUUCCACCUCCUAGAGUCAUUAAACAUCAAUUCACAUCAUCAAGGAUAGCCACAACAUCACAUUCAUAUUAAACCAGAAAAUUCAUCAAUAAAUUGAAAACUUCAUGAAUUCAUCCAAAACCAAGAAGUAAACCACAAAAUUCAUCACUUUAACUACCACUAGGCACUAAUUAAGCUUCAUUAAGUGAAGGAGAAAGUUCAAUCACCACUCACCUAGUAAACAAGAGAGGAAGAGUUGUUUGUCACCUUAGCUUCCCAAAACACUUCACCAAACCACUUACUAACACCUAAAGAAGAGAUUUUAUGGAGUGAUUUGAAAUUGUAUCGGUUUAAUUUGAAGAUUGGAGCAAGAUUAUGAAGUAGGAAGUUGGAGGAUUUUGUUCUUCUCUUGAGCAAGAGGUUCAGCCACAAGCUUGGAAGAAAUGGAAGAUAUUUGGUCAAUUUUUGGGUUUAUGUAAUAAAUGGUAAAAAGAUAAAUAGUAAGUCAAAUGUAAGAAGGAAUCUCUAAGUGACACACGUCACUUUCAUUAAUUACUUGCCUAACCUUUUAUCUCUCUCACACCAACCACUUGGUAACCUCUAAAUAUCUCAUAACAACCGAUAAAUUAAAUCCAGUAUCCAAGACUUAACCUAGUUGGCCGAAUUUUCCCGAACUUUUCGCACUAGUGGGUCCCACGUCCGGUUUACGCUCUUAAUUUCUCAAAAACUAUACGAUACUAGAAAAAUCCUCUAAAAACUAUAUUUACUCAUAAAAAUUAUCUAGAAAAUUUUUCGGAUACAGAAAGUGCAGCAAACAAGUCAUGAAAAAUGCGAAAACCUAGAAAAUGCAAUUUACGGGUUCUCACAUGAACACUUUGUUUGCUAACCGGAUAACAUGUGUUUUGUUUAGUAUAUCCUCGUUUGUACAGGUUAAACAAAGUCAAGUAGAGUUGGUCAUGGCAUAUUCCAUCCCGAAGUCACUUGGACACUUUGUGAGUUUCCAUGGAGUUUGUCUUCUAAGAACUAAAUCUCUUUGGUAUCAAUUCAUGGAACAACGUCCAAUCAAAUCUGUCCGCACCAUUGGAGGAUUCAUUCGAGCUCAUCUUAAAAGGAAAAUUCCAGAUUCUACUUCUUGUUCUUUACCUAUGGUUCAUUCAUCACCUUUGCCUUAUUUUGAGCAUGUUACUAGCACUAACUCUUGUUGCUUUUACGUAGAUCUUGAUGAGGAAGGACUAGCACUAGACUCUCAAGUUGAAUCAAUGGGUGGAAGAAAUAUUGAAGUGUCAAAGGGAGUUCUCACAUUUAAAUCUUGCUAUAAACCUUCUUACUAUUUAGUUAAUAACGUUCCCUUAUUUCUUUAUCCAAUUUCUGAAUUAUUUCAAGUUGAAGGUUAUUUUGUGUUUGUAGGUUGUAAAGCUGGCCAAAAUUUCCCAACUAUGACUAAAGAGUUGCAACCUGAUUUCGUGCUUGUUCCAGAUGCAUGUGGCGCGAACGCAUGUGAUUUAUAUGGAGUGCGUCUCACUUCAUUGUUGCCGCUUAUGCUGGGUGAUGCACACAAGUGUGUCAAUCACAAUCCGAAUGCUACCCUUACCUCCCUGGGUCAUGUUUAUAUGGGUGUACAACACGGGUGGUUCAGUGUCCUACCUCCAGCUUGGAAAGUUGAGCCGAUUCAACAAUGCCUAGGGCCGAACUGUACCAUCUUGCACAACCAGAUUCAGGGCUUCCCUAGUCCCAACGAACAUCAUUAUAAAGUGCACGUGAAUGCCCAUACUCGAAGACAAAUUAGAGAGCUUUGUGUUGCAACCUGGAACGUUCACAAGCCUUACACACGUUCCUUCUUACCUUGGAGAAUGUCCUUGUUCGAGAGGCCCUUGAAGCUGACUAAGAGACAUGUGCACCGAAUUAUUUUAAUCAUAACAUAUGCAAGUGUUAUUCAAUCUAAGAGGGCCAAUAUAUGGAGAUUUGAGGUGUCAUACUGGCAACUCUUGUUAGUCUCAUUCAUUCCCAUCCAGAUUUGAGGACAAAUCCUUCUCAAGAGGAGGGGACUGAUGUGGGUACGGGUCGAAGCCCACGCAAUGACUUACAUGUUUUGAGUCCCAUUGGGCCCAGUCAUGCAUGCAUGGGCCAAGCUAUUCAAAGAAUCAUUCCAAGUUCUGGUUAGAGUUGUCCAAGACCAACAUGGAGUUCACAAAGAUAUUGAGGGCUUGGAGAGAGACAAUCGAGCCAUUUACACCAUGAUCCAAGCCCACGAAGAGUCAAGCGGGCCACCAAGAGAAUAAGGCCUUAGGCCCCAUCAAUUAGUUAGCAAUUAGUUAAUGAUUAAGUAAGAGCAUGGGCCGGCCCAUCUUGUUCCAAGAGCAUGGGUCGAAUUUUUCCUUUUCCUAACCCCUUUAGGGUUUUAGUCACUUUAGCCUAUAAAUAGGCUUGCUUUGUAAGGUUUAAGGGUCAGAACUUUUAUCAAUAAAAUUGUCUUAUUUUCGUUCCUUUUUCUAAGAAGAGUGUUCGAGCCUUUUACUUGCUUGGCAAGGGUUUUGAGCAAUCUUGCGUCUCGUCCUAGAUUGUUCUACCGACCUAUCCCGUGGUGUAGUCACCUUCAUUGGAGUCGUCAUACUACUGUCUUGAAUCCAAUCGUGUUGUCCGUUUGGUUCUAGAUCCCGCAAUUCCAAGCGUUGGACAUCCUCGCUAGAUCCUUGGGCAAACGUGCUACGUGUCUCAAAACAAGUUGAUCGAGGAACGUAUCAAUUAUUAUGGUAUUUUUGGUGUUCGUGUCACCAAUAUCAUAUUUUGAUGGAAUUUCAGAGUCCAUUUUUCAAUAAACCAUUGGUUCAGAAUCUUAAACAAUUUCUUCAAUGGUUUAAGCCUUUAUCUUAUUGGAAAGAUCUGUUUGCCACAAAUCCGAUCAUCUACUCCUCCAUUUUCAUCGUCCUUGUCAUCUCAUAAAUAACCAGGUCCAAGCCCUAUCCAAUGCAGUUAUUUAUAGGGAAUUGUCUCAUACUAUUUUAGACCAAGAAGUUGAGUAUGGAGAAGCUCAGAGAUACAUAUUCCAGGAGAACAGAUGCAUUCCCCCUGAAAUUUGGCCAGGAUCUUAUGGAUCAUGGCAUUAUCAAAGUUCUCAUCCUUAUUGGACCUAGAUUCGCAAGGCUAAAAAGGAGUGGACUGAUAAAAUGAACUCAACAGAAUUUCAAGAUUCCCAAAUGCCUGAAAACUUCACUCAGGACCCAGGAUCUUCCAGUACACAAAAAUCAUUCCACAAAUAUCGUCCAGAAUGGAAGAGCAUUGAAAACAAAAAGAAAAAUAAAAGGAGCCAUGAAGAUUGGAUUGAACAAAUGAAUAUCACUGACCCAGAUUCUACUCCUUCUGAUACCCCUGAUGAAGACUGGACAAUUUGAAGACACAAGGACCACAAGGUCCCAUGUGCUUGCCACUACUCAGACAUAGGCCUUAUCUUUUAUGAAAGGCCAAGUUACUAUUUCAAGGGCCAAUUAGCUGUUCAAAUAAUCAAGGGUCAUUUACCCUUUGAAAUCUUGUAAAGGUUGUCCUUUAAAGUUUUUAAGAGUCAAAUUGUCUUUUGAUGUUUCGAAAGGUUGUUUGUCUUUUCAAACAUUCUAGAGUCACUUUGUAAUCUAUAAAUAGAUGAGCCUUAUCAGCUGAAAGGAUCAUCGGAGUUUAGAUCAAGUCUUGUAUCAAAAAUCUAUCAAUAAAAUUUCAAGUGUGUUUUCCUUAGGACAGGCUAAAACUUUUGCAUCUUGAACUUGGUCCACACCAACAAUUUGAACCUGUACUUUAAGAACAUCAAGAAGAUGGGGCUCUGCUAAAGACAUAUUACAAACACAGUUCCAGCAUUUAACGUUGUUUCCACAGUUGCAAUACAAGCAUGUUGAUAUUGUGUAAAUCUGGUGUCCAGUAGUGCUACUCGGGCAACUACCGGGAGUCCUUUUCUUCCAUGAAAUGAUAAGGAGAUCCUUAUAGCUCCAAAAUGUAUGUGGGUAUAUCCUUGUUGUUUCCACUGCAAAGGAAAAUCAUCCGGAAUAUGCAAAGUUAUAAACUAGUCCUUUUUUGUAGCAGGGAUUGGAUGUUGAUCAAUUUUGGAAGUUUGGAUAUAUUCUUUAACUCCUUUUGGAUGAUAUUGAAUUAAGGAUUUUAUCACUCGGGAAGGGGAGAAAGACUUCUUAGUAAAGACAGUAUAAGGAUUAAUAAGAGGUAAAGAGGUAGGAUUAACCACCUCUGGUUCAAUAGAUACUUCAUAGAGAUAAUCUAAUUUACUACUAUUAGUCUUAUUUAAUGAAAGUCCACUAGACAUAGAUACAGCAGAUGAACUAGAAGAAGCCAUAAAACAAAUAUUAAAUACAAAAAACUUUAAGGGCUUGGGUAAUUUCAACAUGACUACUCUUUUUCUUUUCUGAUUCUUGUUUGGCUAACUCUUCUCGCUCAAUAACAGAAAGACGAUGAUAAAGCAUAUCAAUUCUAACUUGUCUACUAACUAUAGUAGAAGACAUAGGAUGUAAAACCUCAGCAGCAUCUUUUUGGUCUUUUUCGUAAAUAUCUAUAAAGAGCAAACAAUUUUCUUUAGUAAAAUUAUCAUAAGCACACCAAUGAUUACCUUCAAAGAUACGAUUACGAAUAUGUUCAUACCAAGCAUUAUAGUUACUAUGUAAUUCUAACCAUUGCAUAUUAGUAUAAUAUUCACUCACAAUAUUCAUGCAAAAUAACAGAUGAUAAAUUCUUCCUCAUUUCUCAACAUUUCCUGGUUGAAAUGGAUAUGGGAUCAUUUCCUAAAAUGCUGCAUUUUAAACAAAAGACAAAUCUAAACCAGUUGACCCACAACCCUUUGAACCUCGACCAUGCAAGCCAAGUCCAAAGCCACAAGACCCUGAUACAGACAGCUUUCAAGCGGCUCGUAGUAGUUUUAAUGGUUAUCAAAUUCCUUCUUCAUGGGUCUACCAAGCACCCAAAAAAGAUCAAAUCUUGCAUCCCUACUACCAAAAGUCGCUUGAUAUUCUAGACAAGGAGGCAAGAAACCAAACAAAGAAGAUUGUUCCAAAAUAUGAUGUUGGACCAUCAGAACCUCCUCCACAGGUAAGUUCUGGGUUUGGAGCAAUUCCUUUAAGGAAUUGGCCUACCUUGAACUUCUCCUGUUUCUUUUAAAGUGGAAUCAAAAAAUUGAAGUUGAACACAAGAAGCAAGAAGAAGAAAGACAGAGAAAACAAAAACAAGUUGUACUAGAAACUUCUUUGAUGUAUACAGUACAAUCUAAUCCUUCUUUUUCUGUUCAACAGGAACAAAAGCCGAUUGGAUCUACUAAAGUUUAUGAAAAUCCUUUAUCUUCUAUGUUAGAGGAUCUUCAUCAAGAUUCAAUUCCCUGCCGUACUACCUCCAAGGUUGACGACAAUUCAGAAUCUCAACCUUCUGACACAGAGGAACAAAGUACUAUAAAUUCUUCGGAAGAAUCUUCUGAAUUUGAAUCAGAUUAUGAAUCCCCAGAUUCAAAAGAAUUCUCUGAAGAAGAAAAGGAAGAAAUUCCUCUUAUUCUUAUGAAUUCUGAAGUUGUUGAAGAACCAGAAUCCGAAGCAGAGGAAUAAACAUCAACCAAUAGGCCUCCUCCAAGACAAGAUUUUCCCAAAGCCAAAGGAGUACAAUUAUUUUCAAUUGAUGAUAUUCCUGCUGGAAAAUGGGAAGCAAAAUUCCAAGAAUUUCAUGCUUGGAUGACUGCUAAUCUUCAUGAAGAAUCUCAUUUUGAAAUUCUCUCAAUCUUUACUGCUCAUUUCUCAGGCAUUUUAAAGGAUUGGUGGACUAGCCUUGGUGAUGCUGAUAAAAUGACUUUCUUGACCAGACAAGAUUUUGCAGAAAAUAUAAACAUCCUUCAUUUGAUGUUUAUUGGAGAUGUCAAAGAAAGCAGAGAAACUAAGAGAAAAGGGUUUUUUCAGAUGAAAUGUUUAUCUUAUGAUCGGAAAGACAUAAAUAAGCAUUUUAAAAGAAUGGUUAAACUUUUUUAUACUCUUGGUGCAGAUAUCAAUCUCAAACAAGCAUUUAUCAGCUCCCUGCCAAAGUCACUUGCCGAAGGAGCUGGGAUAUAUAUAUCCAUAAUAAAUAUGGAUCCAUCCUUAAUCUCACAACAGGACAAAUGAGACAGGCAGUGUUAUUAGCUCUUGAUGAUCUAUGUCACAACAGAAAGGUUAUCCGAGAAUAUCUCAAAGGAGAUGUUUGUCUUGAUCAAGCUUGCAAGAAGCCCAAGCUUAUUAUCAAAGGAAAAUGCAAAGCUUGUGGACCUUUUAAGAGAAGGAAAAAGUUUAAAAGAUUCAAGACAUUCAGCAAAAGAUAUAAACAAUUUUCAAAAAGACCUUUCAGGAAAAGAUGGAGAUUUUUUAAGAGAAGAACUACGCAGUUCAGAGGGAAGAAAGGAUCCAAAUGUUUUCUUUGUGGAAAGCCAGGACAUUUUGCAAAAAAUUGUCCUCAAAACCAAAAGGGAGUACAUCUUAUUUCAAAAAUUCAGAAUGAGUUUAAUUUACAAUUUUCUGAUUUAGAAUCUGAAUUUUCUGAACAAGAAGAACAAACUGACUCUACUCUUUUAGCUUUACAGGUGCCAGAAAUCCUCAUGGCAAGACCUAAGGAACAUGGAAAAAGGCCCAUAUAUCCUCAAGCACUUGUUCAUCUUCUCUUGGGCAAAUAUUCUACGCCUAUCCCAUUAAUUGCCUUCUUUGAUACUGGAGCUACUCUAUCUAUCAUGAAAAAAGAUGUCUUACCAGACUAUUUUUGGACUUCCUAUGAGAAGGAAUUUACUGGAGCUGAUGGGAAAUCUUUUUACACAAACUUUGUUACUAAGAAUCCCAUUACUCUUAAACUUCUUCCAGACUGUACCAUUACUACCCAAUUCCAAGGAGCCAAUCUUGAUUCUGGAAAAGAUCUUUUACUUGGCUUUGAUGUUUACAGAGAAGACAAAUUUUUUAUUACAGCCAGAGGGAUCAGAUCAAAAAAGUUUUUCAAAUGUUUUAUAGAGAUCCCUAAUCUUUAUUUAAUAGAGGAUGAAACCUCUAUUUCCUUAGAAGAAAUGUGAUACCCCAACUUUUAGGAUACUAUUGUUGUUUAACCUCAAAGAGAAUAUUACGGUUUCUUUAUUUUAUUGUUUUGAUUUACAGAUUAGAAACCCUAAAUUCUAGAAAUAAAGUCUAAUCAAAACCCUAGUUUCAUUUGUGACUGACCAUUUUCUCAAAUUUCUCAUAUUUCAACCGAAACCCUAAUUUUAAUCACUGGAAUUGUAAAACCCUCACGUUUUCUCAAAAAUGCCCUUUUAAUUGGAAAUUAUGAUUUUAUAAUAACCCUACCACCCAAUCACCUCACAAUAAGUGCAAAUGAACAUGAAACUAAAGGUUUUCACUUUUCGUUUUCAAAUUGGAGUAAGUUAGGGUUUUCACGUGUAUCCGUAGUAUAAUUAUCCGAUACGGAGCGAGGAUCAAAUUUGGUGCUUAAGAGUGACUUUUAGGUGAGAAAUAAUAUGUGAUUAGAAGAAAUGAUAUAAAGUUAGUGAAUAGGAAGAAAAAAACCUAGUACGUGUGAUUUAAGGAAAAACGGUGCGAACCGACGUGUACCGUGCGCUACCGAUUGAACACACCACUUGACCACCACUUUCUUACCAUACAAGCUCAUUAAUAUUUGAGCAAAAUAUCUCCUUAUUUCCAGCUAGCUUUGACCAAAAUUUAGGGCUAAAAAUGCAAGGGAAAAGAAACAAAAAAUGAGUGGUGGUAGUGAAGCCACUUGUUGGCCACCUAAGGGCCAUUGACCAAGAUACUUAUCUUACCUUCUUAUCACUUGGAGCCAUCUUUCUUCUUCAUUUUUUCUGCUGCUUGGCCGAGAGAGAGGGAGGAAAAAACACCAAGGGAAAAUUGCUCCAUUUCUUCUUGAAUCUAGCCACCAAGUGAGAAAGAAAGAAAACUAAACCGAUUAAAGCUAUCCUUGAGUGUUUAUUUAGUGAGGUGUUGGUGGAAUUUUGAAGGGGAAGGUAGGGUUGCUCUUGGUAAGCACUUAAGCAAGGUAAGGAUGAUGAUUUCCCCAUUUCUUACUCAUGAUCUUGUUUAAAUUAGCUUAGCAUCUCAAAUUUGUGGUGAAUGAUGGUUGUUAUCAUGUUUUGGGUGUUUUUCCUUUUAGUUACAUGAAUUAGGGUUUGAUGGAUUGCUGCCUAUACUUGAUGUAUGGUUAAUAUAUGUUGUAUCCAAGAUUAUAUAGGGGGUUUUGGUAGCAAGUGAAGCAAGAAAUGAAGAAAGUUACCAUUGAAACCAAAAAUUCCAGAUUUCUGGAAAAAUUUUAGCCCAUUCUGUCCGGUUUUAUUGCAUCAUGUUAGAGGCCAAAUUAGGCUUAGCAUAAAACAUGAAAGUUAUAUAUAAUGAUAUUUUAUAGUUGCUUACAAAAUUUCAACUCAAUCGGAACAACGUACCCUGUGAAAAGAUCAAAAUACCCUCGCUGCCCUAGGAUGUUUCCAGUGAUCCAUUUUAGACAGUUCAUCCGUUUGGCUGUGUUUAUUCACUAUGAUCCGUGCAGAUUUAGCCAUUUUCCAAAACAUGAAAGUUUUAGUACUCUGUCUUAGCUUUUAAACGCCUCAAAGAACGCCUUAAACGGACUUUGGUAGCCUGAGAUAUGGCUAUUUAAAUGUAGUAUGGUUAAUUAUCCGAUUAGUUGGAACCUGGUUCGGUGAACUGGGAAUUUGAUUAGGUUACACGGGAAAUUUCACCAAGUGAUCUUCAUGGAAGUUGUAGGACUUCGGCUUAGCUUCGAAAUGGUAUAAGUUUCACACCAAUCCAAUAAGUGUAGCCUCAGAUGUGUUCUUUCCGCAAAACCCUAUCAAAUCUGUCUUUUGUAAACUUCAUUUCCGCAUUUGUUAUUAGUUGAUUUAUGUCCUUGUAUUGUCUUGAGCCUAUGGAACGGCUAUUUAAAUGCAUUUGUGUUGUGUAUAAACUUGGGCUUGAAUGACAAAAAUAAUGAAGCCAAAAUGGCUGGAAAAUUAGGUAAACACAAAGGGCAUGCUGCCCAAAUUUACGCUCGAGAACUAGAGAAAUAUACUUGCGACUUGAGUAAGAGUUAAGAGUGAUUACUACUUGAACCAUCGAGGAUAAUUGCGUCUUCUUUUACCGAGGUAUAUAAGUAUGGAUUUGGCCGAACUUGUACCCUUGAGAAAUAAAAUAAUGACUGCUUGGAAUACGUUUUCCUUGUACUUUCGACUCAAAUGGCAUUUCCAAGUAUAAAUGUUACAAAGUUAUAUAGUUUGAAAAGCGAGCGAGUGUUUCACGAAUAUUCUCCAAGUGAAUUUCCAUGUCUUGAUUCUUAUUGAACGAAACGUCUACGUUUCGAACCUUAGUUGAUUUUUAAAGUUCUGAAACAAAGUUUUAUCACAGAUUUGGACUCCGAACCCGGAGUAUAAACCAGACGUGAUUACUAGGGGCACUUCAUUUUGGUGAGUACUUCCAAAUACCUGAUUGAACUGGACACUUGUUUCCAAUGCUUGAUCAAUAGUAUUAAAUGAUAUAUGAUUGGCUUGAUCGGACAAGAGUGUACUUUAUUGCACUUGCCCUUAUUUGAUAUAUACUUGUUUAUUGUUGAAAUUGAAUUGAUAUACUUGUUCAUGUUGUGCGCACUUCCUGGAAUUCCAGAAACCCUGCGGCAAGUUACUCGAGUCGAGCCGGCAAGGGCUUGGUCGAUUGGGUAACGAACCCUGGGUCUCUUGUUUGUCGAGUGGAGUGAUAUCUCCUCGACUAAUCGGUAUACUCGAGUAUUACCACUCGUGUUUCUUGAGGAUUUUGGGCCUAGUAGGGGGUUUGAAUGGUGGACGGAGAGUAGUGUAAGUGGUGCUCUACUGGAUUGGUUCCUUUACCUGAAAGUUAACGGAGUGUCAACUACUACGUGAUCAAGCUCCUGAUGAUGAAUGGAAGUUGGCUCUUGAGAGCCAUCCGUAUCCUUAUGCUUUGGAAUGAUUAUUGCUUAUUGGAUUAUUGUUUAUUUUGAAAAACUUUUACACUCGCUCAUUUUGAGAUUGCUACUUGACGUGUUAUUGCUCACUUUUAUGAACUCUUCAUGCUCGUUACUUUGCUAUAUCGAAAACUUGUACUUAUAAAUAAUGGUCAAUUUGCUAUUUGGAACCUCACUGGGCUUUUAGCUCAUUCCACUCCAUUUGUUUUCCUUUCAGGGGUACGAGUAAGGCGUGAGAUAUGUAAAGACUAGCGUAGACUAGUUGUUUUUGACUUUUGACUUGUACUCGCGCUAUUACUCGAAUAGAAUGUUUUGUAUCUGGAUUAUAUACACUUUGAACCAGUUUGGGUAUAUUGAGGUUUUGUAUCUUGAUUAUGCAUCAAUGUAAAUUAUAAGAUUGAAUUGCGAUGUUAUUUAUGGUCUAUGGAUGUAUGCAUGUGAUACGAGUGAGUGAGUCCUGGCGAGAGCUGGGCAGGCGGUCCUCCGAACCCUUUGGUACGCCUUAGGGGGAGGUGGGGUCGUCACAGAUGGUAUCAGAGCUCCUAUUGAGCUCGUGCCGGGAGAAGGUUCUCGGACUGUAGGGAUUGACUUGUUAAGUGUGGAACGAUUGUCUAUUGUUGGGGACCUUAGAUAUGUAUGUUGGGUAGGAAUCUCUAAUACGGGUGAUUUGCUCUUGAGCCUGGCCAGCUUGAGUAGUGAAUUAUCAUAUUUUCGGAUUCUUGUCCCUGAGUACCAAAGAGUGAUACCUUUACGAUAAGUUGAGAUCUCGCGUAAUAUUAGGAUAAGUUUGGAUGGCAAAAGCAAAGGCACCGAGAAUGCGAAUAGUCUGGACUUGAAAUAUAGUGAAGAUAUUCGUGGGAUUUGGGAUCCUUAUUAUUCACGUGCUUUGAGUUUUAAUGUGACUUGUUUUGAUUGAAUGUGUUGCAUUACCCCUGUUUUAUGAUUUGGAAAGGUUUAUUUGAGACUUAUUUUAUUCUGUUUAUAUUUAUAUAGUUAUUUAGUGGCUAUAUUCUAUUAUUGAUUAGUUGGCUAUAUUGCUAUAGUUGAUUAGCCGCGAAACAUGGAGGGUAGAAGAAGUCAAGCCAGGGGAACUAACCGAGGACGCGGUCCUAGUCGUGGCCGUGGGAGUAGACAAGCACAGGAACCGGUGCAAGAACCGAGAGAGGAGAGAGAGGCAACGAUUGAGCCACAACCUGGACCCCAGGCUGUAGGGGGAGAUCAAAUGGCAACCGCAAAUAGUAAUAGUAAAUUUGGUGUCAACAGCCUGGGGUUAUUUUUAAAAACCCCAGCCUGGGGGUUUUAAUUUAGUUUUAUUUACAAUUAUUUUUAUUUUUCAUUGGUUAAAUGUUAGUUAUUAUUCAUUUCUAGUCUCUCAGUUUUUAUUUAGACAUUUUUAGUAUUAAAUUUCAGAGAAAGAAAAUUUCCACAAAAAAAAGUUGUUUUAAUCAUUUGUUUGUUUACUUAAAUUAAUUUUUGAAGGAAAAAUACAAAAAAAAAAAAUAAUAAGGAAAAUGUGUGAAUAGGUGUAAGCUUGCAUGUGGGACAAGUGUCCCUUUGUGUCUUUGACAACACAACACCUAGAAGGUGAGGUGUUGGGACACUUGGUUGAUUUAGGAAAUUUUGGGGGGACAAAAAUAAAAAAGAAAACAAAAAUAGAGGAAAGAAAGUUGGCGGCGGACAAGAGGAAAAAGGGGAUCUUUUGGGGAAAAAGAAAAAAUGGGGAGGGAGGCUCUCGGUUGAGGGGAAGAGGAGAGCAAGAAAAGAGGGAAACGGAAAAUUGGGAGAGAGCUGGAGAAGAUAGAAACAAAGGGGGAAAAUCUGGAAAAAUUGGGGAAAGAUUUCGGGUGAAUCAAAGCAAAAGAAAGAGAGAGCCAGAGAGCGAAAAAGGGAGGAAAAACCAGAGGGAAGAGGCUUUGGCAAAGUGAAGGAAAAAUUGGAAAAGAGCAAGAAAGAAAAGGAAGAACCAGAGUAAAGAGACGGAGGAAGAACGGAAGCCGCCACCACCUCGUCGGAAUCCACCACUGCUACCCGCGAACCUUCACCGUGAGAGACCACUGUAAGUCAUCCUUUUCCUUUACAUUUCAGCGUUCUUUCAGAGCAUGUCUUCCGUGAGUUGUUGUUUCAAUUUUCAUGUGGAUUGUUUAUGGAUUUUAGAAUACACAUGCGUUAUGUAUUUGAUUGGAUUGAAAUUGUUUUUGAUUGUUUCUGCUGAAAAAUUUUGGGGUCGAUCAUGGCUUCCAUCGAGUAGAGAAUCAAUGACCUUUUUAUGCUCAUUCGUUGUUUGACAAAAUGCCCAACUGAAAAUUCCCCUUGAAUGAUGAUUUGUCUGUAUUGGUGUGAGGAAAACGAAUGGGCAGCAAGUUCAAAACAUGAUAGUUGAUUUUUCAUGGUAGCGAGAGAUGGGUUUGUUCAAACAAUGCUCUGAUUCUCUCUGUUGUAUGAUGUGGUUAUGCUGAUUCGCACAAGAAUCUUGAUUUACUAGACUGCAGGAUCUUGUUUUAAAUGCUUGUAGACUGAUGUUUGAAGCUGUGAUUUUUUGUGCCUUGGUAAAUCCCUGGAGAAUUGCACUAGCAACCCAGAAUUGCAUAUGAAUAAGUUAAAAACUGUUCUUUUGAUCUCCCUUGUGCGUGGUCUGGGUAGAAAAUUGCUGGGGAAUGCAUAGUGUACGUUUGGGUUUAGAUGUGCAUGAGAUUGUUAAACCUGUAAAGAGGUAGAAGAAAUCAGUGAAGAAAAGUGGCAUGUUCUGUUUCCAUUCCAAAUUGUUCGUUGCUUGUUCAGAUGUGGAAGUCUUUUUCUGGUUUUGUUGUUGAAGUUUUUAGUUUGAUAUAAAUCUGUGGUUUGUUGUCCAGUUGAUAUGCCAUAUGCACGUUCAUCCUUAGUUUCCUCCUCUUGUAUCUUUGCCGCAUUUUAUGUCUAGCUGUUGUGAUUGGAUUUCCUAGGGAUAGAUGAUUGUGUUCGGAUGAUGUUAAUUGAAUGGUUGAAGCUUUGUUGAUUUUAGAUUGAUAAACUAGGGAGUUUGGCUUGAGUUUUGCAUUUAAUCUACCUGGUAGAAUAAGAAAGCAGGUUGCGGAUAUAAAAUUGCAGAAGCAUUGUUAAUGAAGAAGAAAACUGUUCUUCGUAAGCUUGCAUGGGAUUUUCCCAAAGAAUUGCACUUUAACCCCUCAAGUCUUCCCUUGUUUCACUAAGGCCCAAAAACUUCUGCAAAUAAAUCAUUUUUACCCCUUUCAAGCUUAAAUCUUCUUUUUUAUGUUUUAACUGUGCUUUUUAGUUAAUUACUUCUGGAUUUUGGAAUGAAAUUAGACUUUAACAUUUUUAGUUCAACUAUUAGUUUGUUGGGUUUUGGUAAAAUGAAAGGGGAAUUGGAUUUGGCUAUUCGUUUGGGUUACUUGGAAUUGGGUUAGGUAUUUUUUUUCAUUUGGGUUUGUCCUGGGCUGAAGGGUUAAAGCCCAUCAGUUGGUUGGUUUAUUCUUGGGGUCAGAAUAGUGGACUGGCUCAUUCCUUUUGCUUUGGAUUUCGGUUGGGCUAGGGGAUUUGGCCCAAACAAAUAAAGAAAACGGCCCAAUGGCCUAUUAAGUUAAGAGGUCUGGCGACGAAAAUUCAUUCCAGUCCCCUGACUUUCAGAUAUUUUCACUAUGGCCCCAAAACUUUUAACUUCUUUCAAUUGGGUCCCUAAUUUAAUUGUAAAUAGGCCCCUAAACUUUAUUUUUCUUUAGUUUUGGCCCCAAAACUUUGUUAAUUUUUGCAAUUAAGCCCCUUCUUCUUUUAACUUCUUAAAUGUGGGUUGUUUACAUGAUUUAAUUGAUUCAAUUUCAUGUUUAUUUUUAUCUUUUGUGAUUAUUUGCUAAUUAAAGUGAUGCCUUGACCUCUUUCUUUUAUUUUGGAGGGUAAAUAAGUAAUCUCACUUCAUUAGGGCCCCAACUCAAGGGAGGUACACCCUAACCCUUAUUUCUCACUUUAUUUGAUCCUACGUGCCCUAUGUGACUUUGUGUUUAAUUGCAUGCCUAUUGAAAGUGUUUUAUAUUUAUUAUUUUAUUUACUUAUUUAUUGGCUUUAGUUUUGUAUAUUUAUUUUAGUUCAAUUUUGAUCAUUUGAUAGGCACUGGAAUGCCAAAUUUGUAAUAGUUAGGUAUUUAUUUUAAUUAUUUAUUUCAUUUCCCCCUUUUAGAUUGUAGUAGGGCCCUCACUAAUGUAAUAGUUAGGGCUUGUUUGCCUUGUGUGAUUUGCAUGUUUAUGCCUAUGUGUUUAAUUGCUUUACCUAGGUUUCUGCAUCUAGAUAAGCAUGCUUAUGUGCUACGUGCUAUGUGAAAAUAUGUGCCUUGCAUGUCUAUUUGCUUUUAGCAUUAUAUCUGAUUAUGUGAAUGGAAUGCACGUUACCGUGGCUAGUCCAAUGCCAGUCAUGGUAUUCCCCUCGAGCUCUUACAAUGUCCAAUGCUUGUGAGAGAACGUUAGUUAAGGGCUAGUCCAAUGCUAGACCCAAUAGGGUUGUCCCCCUUUUGCUAGUGUCAUAUCUGCAUGCCUCACUGCAACUUCAUGCAUAUUUUCAUUUUAGUAUUUCUGAUUUCUGCAUGCUCCCCUCACCUUUCCCUUACACAUUUAGGGUUGCAUUCUCAUUUUCUAGACUAGCUCAUUUGCUUGCAUAGGUUAGGGAGUCACCCCUUGGAUAUAGGAUAUGGACGAGUUUGGCUUUUCUAGCCUUAGCACGCUCGUAUUUCCUCUAUUAAAAGGGAAAAUUAAGUCACGAACAUUAGUUCCCCGUACCCGACAUGAUGCAUUCCUUUAGGACAUGUAUAUUUGUAUAAUUAUGAUUAUUUUUUUAUUAUUUUCCUUUCCUUUUCUUAGAAUCUCAUAUUUUUGCAUUAUUCGUGACCUCCUCAAAAAGUCUUUAUUGGGCAUCACAAUUAAUGUGAUUGGCACCAAUUAAAUUUUGAAGAGAUAUUUUGACCCCUUCGAUACCCUCUUAGGUCUAGGAUUUGCAUUCAUAUAGUACAUCCAAAUGUGAUACAUUCUUAGGUUAAAAAUAAGAAAAUCUUUGACUAAAUCACGCAACUAACUUUGGCUAGGUUGAAAGGGUGCCUUGGAUUUUAUCCUUGCCUUCCCUUUCUUCAAAUGUGACUCCGAAACAGGUUUCUUUGAUUUUCGUAGACUUGGAGUCGUUUAAAAAGGGUUUUCUACUUUUUCUUUAAAAAUUCAUUUUUAGGUGACUUGGUACACCUUAACUCUAUACCAAGUGGCGACUCUGAUUUUUUAUUCAAAACCAUUUUUAAACUAUAAUUUGGGCCCAAAUCGUCGCAUUACAAGUCCCAUUUAGGCCCAUUUUCUUUUUAAAUCAAAAUUUUAUUUUCCAAUCAAAAUUGAAUUAAAAUUCACAUUUUUAAACCAUUGAUUUUCAUUUUAUAAAAAAUGGGGCGCGACAACUGGCGACUCCACUGGGGAUCUUAGAGGGUCCGAGCAUUCGAUUUAGUCGACCUUUUCUUCUUUUAACCUCCUUAUAUAUCACAUUUGGAGUAUUAGGUUGCAUUCUUCUUUUCCUUUUUCUUUUUUUCUCUUUUUAGGGUUUUUGCAUCUACCACGCACAUAAUCGCUCUUCGCACAUUAUGUAUGUGAUGAAUGGAUGGUUCAUUUAUUUGUUUACUUGUUUCGCGUUUGCAUUUUGGGAUGGGGGGUAGUUACCCUAGAUCUUUCGACCACAUCUGAUGGUAUAAUCCCUCCCCUCAAAAGAGAAGCACUUCAUACGUGCAUGCAUAGUUUUAUUUAUCCCAUUUUUCUUUAUCAUGGGCGCUAUCCCACAUCUCCCUGUAGGAUUAGAAUGGUUUCCUUAGGUAGGCGGAUGGUGUGCUCUGCACCCAUAGCGAUGCCUAAGGGAUCACUCGAGCCACCGACCGAAGGCCUUGGGAUUGAUGACCCUUCGCCCUUUAGGUCUGAAGGCUUGGGAACCUUAAGACUUAUCGAGUCUAGAUGCAUUAGUGAGCCAAACCUCAUGCAUCCAUAUUAGAAUUGCCUAGGGUAGAGUUGACCUUAUCCUGAAUUAGGAACACUAGGCACGAGGAGAGGGAUUCCAUGUGACAGCCCCACCUCACCCUAAGGUGAACCAAAGGGUUCGGUGGACCGCCUGCCCAGCUCUAGCCAGGACUAACGGUUCAGAUUAGAGCGAUCGAAUACGUUCCGGACCGUACAACGCGCAUAGACAAGUCAAAAUCCCAGAAUAAAACAAAACGAAAUCGGAGUCGGCCAUGAAUAGGAACCGACAUGGCAAAACCCAACCAAACGUUAAGCUAAUAUUUAUAUCUCAAAAGUUAGCAUAUACAACCCAAAGGGCAUACCAAAGUGAUUCAAAAGUGGAUACAUGUACGGUUUGCCAAAUCCAAAAGAGAAACGGACCCAAAAGUAUAUUUAGGGUUUAAAUCAAUGAGCUAUACAAAAGAUAUGUCUAACUAGCUCAAUUCGGCAACCAUUUGUCAAAUCCAGUCCAAAAGUAUUUAUUUUCCUGUAAGAAAAACAAAAAGGAACAGAAAGGGGUGAGCUUGCGCUCAAUGAGGUACCAAACAUAUAGCAGAAAAUCAUGGCAUUUCACAUUUAACAAAUCAGAUACACAUGCCAGAUGUAAAGUAAAGUAACUAAUGAUUCAAAUCAGAAGGAUACAGGUGGCUCUCAGGAGCCAAAUUUCCAGCGCAAUACUUGAUCCAAACCGGUUGACUCUCCGUCAACGUAUAUAGAACCAACGCGUCCGUAGACCUCACUUAGCACCGAAUUCCGUCCACCAAACACCCCUUUACCGGGCCCGCUCACCGUAUUCGAACAUAAAUGGUAAUACUCGUGUAUACCCGGAAUCAAGGGUCUCAAUACCCAAAAUCUCCGAACAGACUACCGUGGUUCGUUAUCUAAUCGUCCAGACCCUUGCCGGCCCGACUCGAAUAACUUAGCCACAGGAUUGAGCUCAUAGGUCAUAGAAAUCCGAACAGAUGCAGACACAGAUAACAUAUUCAAAUUUUGCAUAGUAAAUUGGCAUAUGAACAGACAAGAGAACGAGUGUGAUAAAGUACACCCUCGUCUCGAACAAAUAAACAGAUUGCAGAGCAGAAAUCAAGUUAAACAACAAUGGAGGGGAGUGAUACACUCACCAAUUCAACUUCAAAAGUUUUUACUUCAGAUUGGCCUUAAUCGCCAAGAAACCCUAAAAUAAUCAAAAUAAACCAAUUGAAGGUUUCACAUCCAUAAUCGAGUAAACAAAAUGCACAUGAGGCUCGACUACUAGUCGUAUGCCUCGUCAAAUAAUUACAAAUGCAAGGGUACAAAACAUGAUUUUUGGGAAUAAAAAGAUAACAUGAAGACCUAGGUUCAACAACCCAAAAGCCCUUUCAUUUCUACCAAAAGGCAAAUCCAACUUAAAAGAACCAAACGGCCUAGAAAAUCGGGCAGCACUUCCCCUAAAUUUCUUACUUUUCCAGCCAUUAAGGCUUCAUUAUUUCCUCAAAUCAGUCCCAACAUCUCACACAAAAGUCAUCUCAUUUCCCAAAAGCCGUUCACGAGGCUCAAAGUAGUACAAGUACAAAAGUUAGCUAGGAAAUGACCGGAAUGAAAGCAAGCCUUAAAACAUGCAAACAAGUACAAGGAGACUCGAUAACGAGUCAUAAACCAAUGCCAAGUAUGACCCCAAUAGGGUUCCAUAAACAUAGACAAACAUUAAAGAAAACCAGAAAUUUCGGACAUGCAAUUAACUUUGGCCCUGAAAAAAACAGGUUUUGACUUUACUUUGCGGUAAUAGCACCAAAUGCACCACGAUUAUCGGAUGAGGGUGAAAGACCCACCAUUUCGAAGCUAAAAGACAGGGCUACAACAUCACAGAAGGUCACUCAACCCAGUUUUGAGUGCAAACAGGUCAAAACUGCAAGAUACUUCAUCAACAACGUAAAACAGAUUCACCAAAACGUAUUCUAGCGGAAACAUCAUAACUCAGGCUCUAUAAGUCCAAAUCCAGAAAUUCCAAAACCAGUUGAAAGCUAAGAAACAGGGCUAAAUUUCAUCAGAAGGCCUAAACAACCAAUUUGGAAGCAAUUCCAGCCAAAACAACCAAUUACAGUCGCAAAUCCCAAUUUCGGGUAAACCAGAACAGCAAUAGUAAUUUCGACUUUUCUCACUCUACACUACUCCGAUUGACCUAAAAUUUUGUAGGAACCUCUAAAAUGUCAUUCCAUACAACUUUCAUGUUUUGAGGUAAGGCCAAUUCGGCCUCUAUCUAGGACCAAAAAUUUCGGACAGAAUGAAGAACCAAGAACCCUAAUUUUCCAGAUUUCUUCCAAAACAGAAAUUAAUUGCAAUCUUCCACUUUUUCCACCUCCCAGAGUCAUUAAACAUCAGUUCCCAUCAUCAAGGAUAGCCACAACAUCACAUUCAUAUUAAACCAGAAAAUUCAUCAAUAAAUUGAAACUUCAUCAAUUCAUCCAAAACCAAGAAGUAAACCACAAAAUUCAUCACUUUAACUACCACUAGGCACUAAUUAAGCUUCAUUAAGUGAAGGAGAAAGUUCAAUCACCACUCACCUAGUAAACAAGAGAGGAAGAGUUGUUUGUCACCUUAGCUUCCCAAAACACUUCACCAAACCACUUACUAACACCUAAAGAAGAGAUUUUAUGGAGUAGAAACAAGUCUAAGUGAUUGCUUUGGAUGAUUUGCACUAGAUGGAUGCCAAACUUUGAAGAGUUUUUCUUUCUUCCUUUCUCAAGGUGGCCGGCCACAAUGGAGGUAAGAAAUGGUGAUUUUUGUGGUAAUUUUUGAGAUAUUUAAUCAAUUGGUCAAAUAAGUCAAAAAGGUGAAUAGUUGUCAUAAGUUACAACCACUCUUAAGGUGACACUCGUCACUUCCUUUAAAACAUCUCUAUCCUUUAAGUCCCUCUCACAUCAAUCACAUCUCAACCUCUACUUAUCUCUUAACACCCGAUAAAUUUCAACCAGUAUCCGAAACUUAACCUAAUUGGCCGAAUUUUUCCGAACUUCUCACACUAGUGGGUCCCACGUCCGGUAUACGCUCUUAAUUUCUCAAAAUCUAUUCGAUACUAGAAAAAUCAUCUAAAAACUAUAUUUACUCAUAAAAAUUAUCUAGAAAAUGUUCCGGAUACAGAAAGUGCAGAAAACAAGUCAUGAAAAAUGCGAAAACCUAGAAAAUGCAAUUUACGGGUUCUCACAUUCCACCCUUUUUUCCUUAUUUUUCUUUAUUGCCUUUUAUAUCAAUUAAUUGCCUCAACGUGUAAUGUGAUUAUUUGGUGAACUAACAUUUCCUUGUUUUCUUGUCUUUUUGCAUUUCACAAAGGCUAGGAAAUAAGAGAUCUGGCGGAUCCACUUUUAGAACCUACCCUCUUAGAUAGGUUAUUGCAUGUUUAAGAUUCCAAUGAAUUGCAUUUAUAGAUUAAAAAAUGAACAUCAUUCUAGACCUACCCUGGCAUACAAAGGGUUCCUUAGGUCAUAUUUUACAUAUUUAAAUUGCUUUGAUAAAUUGGCAUCAUGCACAAGCCUUAGAGGGAAUGCCACUUAGGGAAUCCCGUGUUAGAAAUAAGCCACCUUGUGUCUCAGAUAUAUAAUCCAAUGAGACUUGCACGUCUAUAUUUCUUGUACCAUCCAAAGGGGUAGUGCACAAGGUAAGGUAGGAUCCGAUCCCUUCCAUAAUAACGACACCGAAAAUGAUGGAACAAUUUUGCACAUUAGAAUAUGAGCAUCUAACAAUCAUUCUUUGGCCAUUUUAAUAUAGCUGGUAAAUCCCUUUGCGUAAAAGGACAUUAAGUUGAAGGAAGUCACAAAUAAUUCCUCAUUAUUGAAACGAUAUAUUGAGGCCAAAUCUUGAUUUUAGAAGGCUCAUAGACUAAUGCAUCUCAAUAAUUUUUUUGAAACCACCAAUGGCCGGACAAUUCAAUCGAUCCAUUUUGUCAAUUCAUUCAUAAUUAAUUUUGAAUAACUCACAAAUUUGACCAAUUUACCCCUUUUUAGGGUGAUCCAGCCAAUUUUUGAAUAAAUCAUCAAUUUCAUUCAAUUUAUGUUUAGGGUCUUGUGAAUAAAUCAUUAAUCCUAUCCAUUUGAUCUGCUUAUUCCCUUCUAGGGUUUAAGUCUAAGUUCACUAAAUAAAUCAGUCGAGACAUUGCAAUCCUUUCAAAAGUAGGCUCUUUUACACAUCAUUUUAUGUGUUGAUCAAAGCAAGCAAUCCAUUCGGACUUUGUCCUCAUUUUUAGAACAAAUGUCUCUUCUCACUCCAAUUGGUCAAGUUUUUCAAAUUAUUUUUCACUCAAUAAGUUGGUUGGGUUCAUCAGGUAUUGUAUAGUGCCUACCCCGGAGGAUUGCAUUUUCAUGUUAGGCCUACCCUUGGCAUAAAAGGGCUCCCCCGUAAGACAUGCAUACCGAUUUUAUAAUUUUUGUUUACUAACUCUGGGUAUUUUCUUCUUUUAUUUUUUCCCUUCCCCGACAUUUAUAAAGGAUAUCUCAAUAAGAUAAAAAAAAUAUUUUUCUAUAUCUGAUAACAAUUUUGAUUUAAUAAAGUUUGAAAAUUACAAAUAUCACUUGAUUCUUGGGCAGAUCCUACAAUUUGAAGAAUCCAUCUGGAAGUGCUAGGCUAAAGUAUCUAAGAGACUUCAUAAUUGUUUGUCAAAGAGAAAUUUUUGUUUAUUUGAUUUGUUAAUACAUUUCUUUUCCAAAAAGAAAAAAGGAGACAAAAAGUGUAUAUGUGGAGUUUUUUUAGAGAUUUUUCUUUUUUCAUUUGUAUUAUAAUUGAACAAGAAAUUUUUGUUUCAAACUUUUUAAGCAAUGAAGUUUUUCAUUUGGACAAUUAUUGUUUUGUGUAUAAUCAUGUAUAUUUCAUUCUUUAUUGGCUAUUUGAGGGAUUUCAUGAUGAAUUUUAAGAAAUAAGACUAAAUUGAGAUUUUUCAACCUCUAGCCUGAAAAUUUACAAGUGUAUGCUUUCUAAAAUCUUUACGUACACUUGAUUGGUGAUCCGAGUUAUACAAUACGAGUGCUCAGAAUUAAAAAGAGGUCACUCAAAAGACCCAAUGAGAUACCUUUUCCUCCUUCACUGUACAAUUCAUAUUUUUGCCCACUUCUAUUAGCCCCCCCAAAAUCAGUCACAUUGAUUGAUAAAUUGCAAAUUGGGGCAAUCUUUGCUUGUAAAUGUCCACUAUGUCUAAUCAGAUUCAAUCCACAUCUAAGUGAAAGAAAAAAUGUACAUUAUUCUUAUUUGUUUUGAAAAUUUGGAAUGAUAUUUCAAGCGUUUGUUUCUCUAUCUAUAUAGUUUUUAUCAUUUGCUCUCCCAUUUGAGCUUUUAAAAGAAUAAUUUCGUUUCAAAUAAGAGCCUUAAUGAUCACUACCCUACAUUGGAAGAUCUUCAAAUAUCAAAGGGAAGUGGAUUCUCAAUGAGCAUUUCGUUACUUUGGUUGUCAUGAAGCGUAAGAAUGAUGCUUUGGCCAUCGUUUCUACGAUCUAAACACUAUUUAUCCCUUGCAUCCUCAUUUGAACUAAAAUGGGUAGUUCUUUUCAAAAGCACCUAUGAUCGCACCCCACACCGGGGAAGGAGAUUGGAGAAUUUUUCAAAAGAAGAAAAAGAAAAGAAAAAGGGGGCAAAAAUGCUAAGAGAGGGAAUUGCAAAUUGGGAAAAUUUGAUUCUACCAUUAAUACCUGGGCUUCAAUUUUGAAAAAACAGAAAGAAAAGAAAGAGUAUUGUCAAGAUAUGGAUGAAUAGGAGUCUUUCUCAGUCAAUUAAUUCAGAUACAUGCAAGAAAUUUCGCAUUAAUGAAAGUUUCCUUUCAGAGUUAAUGUAAGGAACGGAAUAAAAAGUCAAGCCCUCUUCUUUUCCAAUCAAAUAUUCUAUCCCUAGUUACCCUUUUUUGAACCUUCAGAAUGAUCAUUUCGUUUGGCAACCCCUGAGAAUCGCAAACCCCACACUGGGGCAAAUUUUGAAAAGUUCAAAGGAAUGGCAGAAGGCCAAAAGAAAGGAAAUGGAAGAAGAGAGAACCUCGGUUAAGCAUAAACUGGGGCAAAUUUUGAAAAUUUCAAAGGAAUGACAAAAGGUUGAAAAGAAAAAAAGAAAGAAAAAUGAAAGAGAAAAGAACCUCAGUUGAGAAUAAACUGGGGCAAGUUUUAGGGUUGGUGCAAUAAUGCGAUCUCAGACCAUUUAAACCACUUUUGAAAUCCGCGUUAACUCCAAGCCUUAGCUUUUCUAAGUACCCCACCAGACCCCAUUACAAAAGCCGAAAGUUCUGACUUCUGUUCUUUGCAAUUUCCUUGUCAAGAAAUUUUCUAAUUAAUUGGCAAGUGAUGUUCUUAUACUGAUGCCGGGAAAUUUUUUAGAUAUAUUUCUGAAUUGAUUAGGUGUGAGGUUGGCACUGCUCAUCCUGUGAAAACCCGCAAGGGCACUUUUGAAAGAGAAAAAAGAGAGAAAAAGAAAAAAAAAACGCAAGCAAUUGCAAAGAAAAUGCAAAAAGAUUCGAUGCUGAAAGUUCCUGUUGAGGGAUGAAAGUCAAACAAAGUCCAAGAUCUUUGAGUCCAAAAUGGAGGCAAUUUUGGAAAUAACAAAUGCGAUCUUCAGUGCAAUGUCCUUGAAAAUCUUAUUUCUUUAACUAUCAUUUUCAAACCACAUUACAAGCUCAUAAAGUCCAUCGCUGACUUAUCCUUCAUGACAACUUGAAGUAAGGAUCAUGCUCCUAAAGAAUCCAUCAAUCAUUCAUGGUCAUAAGGCUAUAACCUGUUUCCACAUGUUUAGCUGUCGUUUCUACCCAUGUGUUACAAGCUUAUAAAGCUUAUAUGUUGACUAAGUUUUCUUAAGAAAUAAGGGUGACAAACUAUUUGCUUUCACUAAGAUGUGAUAUUGAAUGGGUUAGAUACGAUUUGGGCACAAGAAUGAGACAGAUUCUGACCUCCCAUUUCCCUUAGCCAUCUCAAAAUCAGAAAUAAUACCCACUUGAUUGGUCCUGAAAGAUGAGCUAACAAGAAGUGGUGACCCAUUACCCUAAGCAUUGAUGCUAAAGUGAGGAAGAAAUCUUUUGUAAUUUGGUAUUAUUUUGAGAGAUUCAUCAUGAAAUUUUCUGUAUGAGUUUAAGCAAGACGUUUAAUUUUCUUCACAUUAUAUGUUAGGAAACAUAGUUUCUUACUUUGCUCAAAUAAAUGGAGAGUCAUCCGAACAAAAUUUUUGCAAUCGAAUGGGCCCACACUGGGGCAAAUUUUUAUUUGUGAAAUUUUGCAAAAUAGGCCCACACUGGGGCAAAUUCUUGUAACACAUUUGAGGAUUUCGUCUAGGAAUCAAGCGAGAUAUUUUUGAAUCAAUCAUGCUGCUUUUUUUUCAUGAGUAGUAGUUGCAUUAAAUUUAAGUGCAUGUUGUACUUUGGUAAGCCCCCUGUGCAGGUAUUCAUGGCUGAAAUCGACAAAAAAACAUCUAGUGAUGUGGAAGGCCGAUACCGAAAAAGAGAAGAAAGAAGGAAAAAGGCCCGACACUGGGGCAAAUUAUUUUUGAAAAGAUUCUCUCAGUCAAAAAAUCAAAAAUCCAAAAUCCAAAAUCCAAAAAAUCAAAAAUCCCAAAAAUAAAAAAUAAAUAAAUAAUCCCAAAAAAAAAUCAAUCAAAAAUAAAAAAAAAUCAGAAAAAAUUCAAAAAGUCAAAAAUCAAAAAUCAAGUUCAAACUCUUGUUUCUUGGAAAAUCAAAUUUAAUUUCUUGUUUCUUGACAAAUCAAAUUUAAUUUCUUUGUGAAAGAUUAUCACGGCAAGCUCGGGUUUAAUCCCACUGACCGAUUAUCACGGCAGGUUCGGGUUUAAUCCCACUGACCGAUUAUCAAGGCAGGCUUGGGUUUAAUCCCACUGACCGAUUGUUAAGGCAUUUCAUUCAUCAUUUGCCACUAAACAUGGGUUAGUCCCUCUAGUGAGCACCUCAUUUACGUUGCCACUAAACAUGGGUUAGUCCCACUAGUGAGCAUUUCAUUUACACUGUCACUAAACAUGGGUUAGUCCCACUAGUGAGCAUUUCAUUCAUCAUUUGCCACUAAACAUGGGUUAGUCCCACUAGUGAGCACCUCAUUUACGCUGCCAUUAAACAUGGAUUAAUUCCACUAAUGUACAUUACAUCUUAUCGUUAGACAUGGGUUAGUCCCACUAACACUUCAUUUCACUUCACUUCAUCACGUUGGGCUUGGAUUUUGUGCCACCAACAUCACAAACAUCCCGUUGGGCUUGGACUUUGUGCCGCCAAUAUCACGUUGGGCUUGUAUUUUGUGCCACCAACAUCGCAUUGGGCUUGGACUUUGUGCCACCAACAUCCCGUUGGGCUUGGUGUGAGGACUUGCAACUGCCUUAUAUUUUCUCAAAUUCCCUUUUAUUUGAAAAUUAUUUGGUAAUUAUUAUUCAUACCAUCCUACGGCUAAAUCACCCUAGAAAAGUGCCAAAAGUCAUAGGAAAUUAGGGUUUUCCUAUUCGUUUUCAAUUCAAGGUGAAAUAAGAAUUUUCGUGUAUCAGCACUGUAAUUAUCCGGUACAGAGUACGGAUCAAAUUUGGUGCUUCAGAGUGACUUUUAAGUGAGAAAUAAUAUGUGAUUAGAAGCAAUGAUAAAAAGUUAGUGAAAAGAAAAAAAAAAAACCCUAGUACGUGUGAUUUAAGGAAAAACGGCUCGAACCGACGCGUACCGUGUACUACCAAUUUAACCACCACUUGAUCACCACUUUCUUGCCAUACAAGCUUAUCACUAAUUGAGAAAAAUAUCUUCCCUCUCAUGGUUAUCUCUUGACCAAAAUAUGUGGCCAAAAUGCAAGGAGAAGAAAGAGAAAUUUUUGUGGUUGUAAUUAAGCCAAGUGUUGGCCAAACUUGUGGCUUAGAUUAAUCCUAAUCUCUUGUCUUCUUAACUCCCUAAGAACAGCCUUUCUUCUUCAUUUUUUCUGCUCCAUAGCCGAGACAAGAGAGAGAGAGAAAGACAAAGAGAGUUCAUCUUGUUCUUCUCCAAAUCUUGAAAAGUUUCUUCUAUUCGCGCAAAUCUACUCCGAUUAAGUUGUUAUCUAGCACAAGGGCUACCUACCGGUGUAAUUUUCUUGAGGAACAAAGGCCUUAAACACUUGUUUCUAGUCUCCUUGGAAAGGUAUACAUGCUAGAACCUUGACUCUCCAAUUAAAUUCGCGAUUAGUUGCUAAAUAUGUCACAUAUGGUUGAAUUAUUGAUGUAUGUGGUGAAAUAGAGGCUUGGAUCAUGAUUUUCCAUUUUUAUUGGAAUUUUUACAGCUUUCCUAUAAUUUUUCUAGUGCUUAAAAAUUGGGGCUUUGAUGUUUAUAAUCUGAUAUGGGAAGUUAAGGUAGUGAAGCAAGCCAAAAAUAAGGAAAUUAGCAAUUGAUUGCAAGAAUCCCAGAUUUCUGGAAAAUUUCAGUUCAGUUCUUUACGGUUUUAGUACUCAUAUUUAGAGGCCGAAUUAGGCUUGGCCUAAAACAUGAAAGUUUUAUAGAAUGGUAUUUUAUAAGUGCCUACAAAAUUUCAGCCCAAUCGGAGUAACGUAGACUGAGAAAAGGGCAAAAUACUCUCGCUGCCCUAGGAUGCAUUCCAGUGACUCGUGUUCGACAAUUCAUCCAGUUAAUCGUGUUUGUUCACUAUGAUACGUACUGAUUUAGCCAAUGGCCACAACAUGAAAUUUUUAGUGUUCUGUCUUAUCUUUUAAACGCCUCCAAGAACACCUUAGUCGGACCUUGGUAACCUGAGAUAUAGACAUUUAAAGGUAGUACGGUUAAUUAGCCGACUAGUUGGAUUUUGGUUCUGUAAAUUGGGAAUUUGACUAGGUUGCAUUGGAAACUGGACUGAGUGGCCUUCUUCAACAUUGUAGCUCUAUCUCAGCUUCGAAACGGUGUGUAUUACACCUCCAUCCGAUAAUCUUAGUGCCAAUGGUGCCAAAACCGUAAAAUGAUGUCAAAACUGUCUUUUGUAAACUUCAUUUCCGCACUUGUUAUUAGUUUAAUUCUUGUUCUUAUAUUGUUUUGAGCCUAUGGAACGGCUAUUGACUGGAAUCUAUGAUAUGUAUGACUUUGGGAUUGGUUGGGGAAAAAUAAUGAAGCCAUAAAUGGCUGAAAAAUAGGUAAACACAAAGGGCAUGCUGCUGCCCAAAUUUUCGCUUAAGAGCUAAGUUUCUAUUUGAACUUAUAUAUUUUCGAUUGGCAAAUCCUAUGACUGUUUUUCCAUCUUAAAACAUGAUCCUUCUUUAAUUGGAAACUCCAAAUAUUUAAUUACUCUUACCCAAAUAAAGAGGGGUGGUUUAGGGUUUUUCUUGGGUAUUUUGUCCUCCCUUUUACAUGAAUUUCAUUAAGGCAUUUAGUCUAUAAUAUCUACUUGAAUAUGAGAUGAUUUUGAACCAUAUAAACGAUUCCGAAAACAGUAUUUCUUAGCCUAUCUAGUUGGAUUCCGACUUGUCGUUAGUUCAAGGAUUUCCAUUGGAAAAUUUUAUAACUCUUUUGAAUUUGGUUUCUCGCUUGGAUUACGAAACCCUAAUUAUUUCCGACCACAGAUUCAAAUACCCUCUUUUCACUUAAGAAUCAUCUUUAUACGUCCUACUAGUAAUUAGUCGGACUUCCUUUAAUUUUACGUAGUUGAUUUACUAGAUAACUUGUAAUAUGUUCUCUUGCUUAAUUUUAGGUUUCAUUGGUGAUUGAAGAAUUGGACGUUAUUUUGCUUGUAUAGGUGAGUGUUCCUUGUUUGUUAUGUUUCUUGAUUAUAUGGCUUGUAUAUAUGACUGAUAACAUGUUAAACGCUUUCAAUGAUUAGCCAAAACGAGUUUUCAAGGCGAGUGUGUACUUUAUCGCACUCAGCCUAAAUGAUUGUGAACUUUUCAAUGAUUGAACGAUUGAAAUGCUACUUGUGCAUGAAUGUAAGCCUUUUGGCUGAACUGGCCACUGCCCCUUGUUACCGAUCGACUCGAGCCAGAAGCGGACUCGGUCGGGUGAUAUGGUGACUUGGGUGAACGUUUGGUAUACUCGAGUAUUACCUUGUAGGUUGGUGGAGGUUGGUGGAGCCUGGCCAAUGUCCGGGAAGGGGAUGAAUGAAAUGAAUGAACGAAUGAAUGAACGAGGGGUUUUAUUGACAAAAAUGCAUUUUCAAAUGAUUGAAGGUAUAAAGGAAUGAAAGGAGAAUGAAUGAAUGAACGAAUGAAUGAAUGGCUCCUUGAGAGCACGUAUCCUUUUAAUGAAUGUGUUUAUCGCUUUGUAGUGUAAAUGUUUUCUUGAAUUAUGGGUUAAUGUAUUGGGUUUAUUACUUGUAUAUGUGUUCGGAACCUCACUGAGCUUUCAAGCUCAUCCCUUUAAUUUUGUUUUCCUUAACAGGGGACGGCGAGCAGGAUGAGAGCAUAGACUAGCUAGUUUAGUUCUCUUGUAAUGGUUCUCGCCCUAGUGCUUGGCACGGGCUGGACGUAUGAAGGAUUGAGAACCUUUGUAUAUUCGAUGUUUAUACUCUCUUUUGGGAUGGCAAUGUAUAUAAGUUCCGCUUUAAGUUUUGGAUAGUUGCCUAUUUAUUCUUGUGGUUUUAUUCCGAUUUUAAUUGAGAACUGAAGUGAUCGACUGAGUCCUGGCGAGAGCUGGGCAGGCGACCCGCCGAACCUUGGGGUACGCCCUAGGGGGAGAUGGGGCCGUAACACUUGGAUUUUGUGCUACCAACAUCACAAACAUCCCGUUGGGCUUGGACUUUGUGCCGCCAACAUCAAGUUGGGCUUGGAUUUUGUGCUGCCAACAUCCCGUUAGCAUUGAGUAUUGACUCACUAACGUCUGUUUUAAUCUUUUCUUGUCCGUUAGCAUUGGGUUCAACCCAAUAACGUAUUUUUAUCACCGUUAGCAUCGAGUAUUGACUCACUAACAUGUGUUAUGUUUUUUUAUAUCCGUUAGCAUUGGGUCCGACCUACUAAUGUGUCCCACCAACCCCGGUAGGAUCGGAUUUAAUCCCACGAACCGUUCAUAUCACGUUGGGAUCGGGUUUUAUCCCAGCAACUGACCUUUCAUGUUUGCAUAUUUCAAUUCAAGGCAGAAUAAAUACAGGUGAGUAUUUGGUGUCUACGUCUUUGUCUCGAGUUUCUUUGAAACUCAGACAAAGAGGGGCAAAUGUAGACACCAAAUUUUUAAUUUAGUUUUAUUUACUAUUAUUUUUAUUUUUCAUUGGUUAAAUGCUAGUUAUUAUUCAUUUCUAGUCUCUCAGUUUUUAUUUAGACAUUUUUAGUAUUAAAUUUCAGAGAAAGAAAAUUUACACAAAAAAAGUUGUUUUAAUUAUUUGUUUGUUUACUUAAAUUAAUUUUUGAAGGAAAAAUACAAAAAAAAAUAAUAAGGAAAAUAUGUGAAUAGGUGUAAGCUUGCAUGUGGGACAAGUGUCCCUUUGUGUCUUUGACAACACAACACCUAGAAGGUGAGGUGUUGGGACACUUGGUUGGUUUAGGAAAUUUUGGGGGGACAAAAAUAAAAAAGAAAACAAAAAUAGAGGAAAGAAAGUUGGCGGCGGACAAGAGGAAAAAGGGGAUCUUUUGGGGAAAAAGAAAAAAUGGGGAGGGAGGCUCUCGGUUGAGGGGAAGAGGAGAGCAAGAAAAGAGGGAAACGGAAAAUUGGGAGAGAGCUGGAGAAGAUAGAAACAAAGGGGGAAAAUCUGGAAAAUUUGGGGAAAGAUUUCGGAUGAAUCAAAGCAAAAGAAAGAGAGAGCCAGAGAGCGAAAAAGGGAGGAAAAACCAGAGGGAAGAGGCUUAGGCAAAGUGAAGGAAAAAUUGGAAAAGAGCGAGAAAGAAAAGGAAGAACCAGAGUAAAGGGACGGAGGAAGAACGGAAGCCGCCACCACCUCGUCGGAAUCCACCACUGCUGCCCGCGAACCUUCACCGUGAGAGACCACUGUAAGUCAUCCUUUUCCUUUAUAUUUCAGCGUUCUUUCAGAGCAUGUCUUCCGUGAGUUGUUGUUUCAAUUUUCAUGUGGAUUGUUCCUGGAUUUUAGAAUACACAUGCGUUAUGUAUUUGAUUGGAUUGAAAUUGUUUUUUAUUGUUUCUGAUUGUUUAUGCUGAAAAAUUUUGGGGUCGAUCAUGGCUUCCAUCGAGUAGAGAAUCAAUGACCUUCUUAUGCUCAUUCGUUGUUUGACAAAAUGCCCAACUGAAAAUUCCCCUUGACUGAUGAUUUGUCUGUAUUGGUGUGAGGAAAACGAAUGGGCAGCAAGUUCAAAAUAUGAUAGUUGAUUUUUCAUGGUAGCGAGAGAUGGGUUUGUUCAAACAGUGCUCUGAUUCUCUCUGUUGUAUGAUGUGGUUAUGCUGAUUUGCACAAGAAUCUUGAUUUGCUAGACUGCAGGAUCUUGUUUUAAAUGCUUGUAGACUGAUGUUUGAAGCUAUGCUUUUUUGUGCCUUGGUAAAUCCUUGGAGAAUUGCACUAGCAACCCAGAAUUGCAUAUGAAUAAGUUAAAAACUGUUCUUUUGAUCUCCCUUGUGCGUGGUCUGGGUAGAAAAUUGCUGGGGAAUGCAUAGUGUACGUUUGGGUUUGGAUGCUAAGAUAUAUAAAGGGUCAUUUUAAUUCGGAAAAAUUUGCUGCAUGAGAUUGUUAAACCUGUAAAGAGGUAGAAGAAAUCAGUGAAGAAAAGUGGCAUGUUCUGUUUCCAUUCCAAAUUGUUCGUUGCUUGUUCAGAUGUUGAAGUCUUUUUCUGGUUUUGUUGUUGAAGUUUUUAGUUUGAUGUAAAUCUGUGGUUUGUUGUCCAGUUGAUAUUGUGACGCCCCGAAAAGAAUGAGUGUGAGAACCCGAAAAUUUUCUAAUUUUCUAGUGUUUAUUUUAUUUAAUCGCCCGCCUUUUCUACAUUUUCUUUAUUAGAAAAAUUCCCCAGAUAAAGUUUAUGAGCAAAGAUAGUUUUAAAAUGAUUUUUCUGGUAUCGGUUAGUUUUUGAGAAAUUAAGAGCGUAUUUUGGACGUGGGACCCGCUAGUGCGGUAAAUGCAUUAUAUUCUUGACAACUUGUUGGAAUUUUGUAUUAAGAGAUAUUAUUUUAGAAAGUGUUAAGAUAUUUGUAUUGGAGAGACAAAAAGAUAAGUUUUAAACCAAAAAGGUGACAAGUGUCACCUUGUGAUUUAAUCUUGGACUUUGACCAUUUGACUUUACCUUUACCUUUACCAAAUAAAUACAAAAAAAUUGAUCAAAAUAAGCUUCAUUUUGCAAGCUUCUUGGCCGAAUGUUCUUGCUCAAGAAAGAAAGAAAAGCUCUCAAUUUCUUCCUUCUAUUUCUUGCUCAAUCGUCAAAUCCAACCAAUAAAACUCCAAAUCAUUCCAUAAAAUCUCUUUGCUAAGUGGUCUUGAGGUGUUUUGUGGAGUUGUUUGGAAAGCUAAGGUGAUUUGUUGCUCUAUCUCUUGUAUGGCUAAGGUGAGUUGUGAAGAACCACUCUCCUCCCUUAAUUGAUGUUCAAUUCAUGAUUGGUGGUGGUAUAAGAUGCACUUUUAUGGAUUAUAUCUUGAUUUUGGUUGAAUUGGUGAAGUUUUAUAAUUUUUGGGGAUUUUUCUGUUUUCAUAUGGAUAUGAUUAUGGGGUCAUGUAUGAUGAUUGGAAAUGAUGUUUAAUGACUCUAGGAGGUGGAAAAAGUGAUUAAUUACAAUCAAUUUCUGUUUUGGAAGAAAUUUUGGAAAGUUAGGGUUUAUGAUUGUGCAUUCUGCCCGAAUUUAUAUCUCAUAUAUAGAGGCCGAAUUGGCCUUGGAUUAAAACAUGAAAGUUGUAGGGAAUGAUAUUUUAGAGGUGUCUACAAAAUUUCAGGUCAAUCGGAGUAGUGUAGAAUGAGAAAAUUCGAAAUUACUAUUGCUGUUCUGGUUUUACCCGAAUGUAAGAAUUGCGCCUGUAAUUGGUUGUUUUGGCUGGAAUUGCUUCCGAAUUGGUUGUUGAGGUCUUCUAAUGAAAUUUAUCUCUGUUUCUUAUGUUUCAGAUGGUUUUGGAAUUUCUGGAUUUGGACUUGGAUAGCCUGCUUUAUGAUGUUUCCGCUAGAAUGCGUUCUGUGAAUCUGUUUUUGUGAUUCUGGUAUGGUAUCUUGCAUUUUUGACCUGGUUACACUCGAAACUGGGUUGAGUAACCUUCUGUAAUAUUGUAGCCCUGUCUCUUAGCUUCGAAACGGUGGGUCUUUCACCUUCAUCCGACAAUCGUAGCACCUUUGGUACCAUUACCGCAAAAUGAUGUCAAAAACUGUUUUUCUGGGUUUGAGCUUAACUUUCAUUUCCGGACUUUUCCCUAGCUUGACUUGUACUAGUACUACUUGGAGCUUGCUGAAUGGCUAUUGGAUGAACUUGUUGUUGUGUGUGCACCUUUGGGUUGGAAUGAGCAAAAUAAUGAAGCCAUGAUGGCUGGAAAAGUUAGCAAAUUCAGGGGAAGUGCUGUCCGAACUUUGAAGGGAUUUGUUUGCAUUAAGUUUGUGAUCUAAGACUUGGAUUUGAGCAAGGCAAUGAUAUAUGAUGGAUGGUUCCUGAGCCAUGGAGGUGAGUAACCCCAAACUAUUGUUAAAACUUCUUGUGAAAUGUUUCUUGCAUUAUUUACUCGUUUGCAUAUCAUGUGUGCCGACAUGUGAGUUCAUGACAAGUUUUGGCUUAAAUGAGUUCUGAGAAAGUCUUGUGCUGGACACCAACGUCUCCACCCUGUUUAUGGUUCAUGUUCAUGUUAUCUGGAGCUCAAAAAGGGGCUCCCUCUCAAUGUUAAUGUUAAAUGAUCUAUUUGAGCGUUGGAUGUUCAAGUGCAAUGAUUUCACUGGCUCACGAGAGCAAUAAACGUACAUUUGAUCUUGGAAUCAUGACAUCAUUGAAAUGCAUUAUUGUGAAAUAUAUUUGAUGACUGCUUUUACUGGUUACUCGCUGAGCUUCUAGCUCACCCCAAAACGAUUUUAUUCCCCUCCACAGGGCUCAAGGCGAAGGAAGGACUUGUUGUGCUUAUUCACGUGAUUGGAUGGCUUAGUUGGAAUUGUUAUAUUUUGUACCGUUUGGAUGUGGAAUCAUUUUAUGUAUAGUUGGAAAUCGUUUCCGCUUCACUUAUGACAUGUAAUUAUUGGAGAAUGUGAUGUAAUAUUUGAGAUUUAUCUUGUAAUCUGUUUGAGGAAUGUAGUGAAUGACUGAGUCCCGGCGAGAGCUGGGCAGGCGGCCCGCCGAACCCUCUGGUUCGCCUUAGGGGGAGGUGGGGCUGUCACAUAUAUGCCAUAUGCACGUUCAUCCUAAGUUUCCUCCUCUUGUAUCUUUGCUGCAUUUUAUGUCUAGCUGCUGUGAUUGGAUUUCCUAGGGAUAGAUGAUUGUGUUCGGAUGAUGUUAAUUGAAUGGGUUGAAGCUUUGUUGAUUUUAGAUUGAUAAACUAGGGAGUUUGGCUUGAGUUUUGCAUUUAAUCUACCUGGUAGAAUAAGAAAGCAGGUUGCAGAAAUAAAAUUGCAGAAGCAUUGUUAAUGAAGAAUAAAACUGCUCUUCGUAACCUUGCAUGGGAUUUUCCCAAAGAAUUGCACUUUAACCCCUCAAGUCUUCCUUUGUUUCACUAAGGCCCAAAAACUUCUGCAAAUAAAUCAUUUUUACCCCUUUCAAGCUUAAAUCUUCUUUUUUAUGUUUUAACUGUGCUUUUUAGUUAAUUAAUUCUGGAUUUUGGAAUGAAAUUAGACUUUAACAUUUUUAGUUCAACUAUUAGUUUGUUGGGUUUUGGUAAAAUGAAAGGGGAAUUGGAUUUGGCUAUUCGUUUGGGUUACUUGGAAUUGGGUUAGGUAUUUUUUUUCAUUUGGGUUUGUCCCGGGCUGAAGGGUUAAAGCCCAUCAGUUGGUUGGUUUAUUCUUGGGGUCAGAUUAGUGGACUGGCUCAUUCCUUUUGCUUUGGAUUUCGGUUGGGCUAGGGGGGUUUCAGCCCAAACAAAUAAAGAAAACGGCCCAAUGGCCUAUUAAGUCAAGAGGUCUGGUGAUGAAAUUUCAUUCCAGUCCCCUGACUUUCAGAUAUUUUCACUAUGGCCCUAAAAACUUUUAACUUCUUUCAACUGGGUCCCUAAUUUAAUUGUAAAUAGGUCCUUAAACUUUAUUUUUCUUUAAUUUUGGCCCCAAAACUUUGUUAAUUUUUGCAAUUAAGCCCCUUCUUCUUUUAACUUCUUAAAUGUGGGUUUUUUACAUGAUUUAAUUGAUUCAAUUUCAUGUUUAUUUUUAUCUUUUGUGAUUAUUUGCUAAUCAAAGUGAUACCUUGACCUCUUUCUUUUAUUUUGGGGGGUAAAUAAGCAAUCUCACUUCAUUAGGGCCCCAACUCAAGGGAAGUACACCCUAACCCCUAUUUCUCACUUUAUUUGAUCUUACGUGCCCUAUAUGACUUUAUGUGUUUAAUUGCAUGCCUAUUGAAAGUGUUUUAUAUUUAUUAUUUUAUUUACAUAUUUAUUGGCUUUAGUUUUGUAUAUUUAUUUUAGUUCAAUUUUGAUCAUUUGAAAGGCACUAGAAUGCCAAAUUUGUAAUAGUUAGGUAUUUAUUUUAAUUAUUUAUUUCAUUUCCCCCUUUUAGAUUGUAGUAGGGCCCCCCCUAAUGUAAUAGUUAGGGCUUGUUUGCCUUGUGUGAUUUGCAUGUUUAUGCCUAUGUGUUUAAUUGCUUUCCCUAGGUUUCUGCAUCUAGAUAAGCAUGCUUAUGUGCUACGUGCUAUGUGAAAAUAUGUGUCUUGCAUGUCUAUUUGCUUUUAGCAUUAUAUCUGAUUAUGUGAAUGGAAUGCACGUUACCGUGGCUAGUCCAAUGCCAGUCAUGGUUUCCCCUCGAGCUCUUACAAUGUCCAAUGCUUGUGAGAGAACGUUAGUUAAGGGCUAGUCCAAUGCUAGACUGUGACGCCCCGAAAAGUAUAAGUGUGAGAGCCUGUAAUUUUGUUUUAAAGUACUCGGUUUUAUUUUUUUUUAUAAUUGCACGUUUUUCCACAUUUUAUUGAUGUGAGAAAUUGGGAAAAUAAUUUUUAUGAGUAAAUAUAGUUUUUGGAUGAUUUUUCUAGUAUCGGAUAGUUUUUGAGAAAUUAAGAGCAUAUACCGGACGUGGGUCCCACUAGUGCGAAAAGUUCGGAAAAAUUCGGCCAACUAGGUUAAGUUUUGGAUACUGGAAUUAAUUUAUCGGGUGUUAAGAGAUAAGUAGAGGAUGCUAAGUGGAUUGGUAUGAGAGAGACAAAAGUUAGGCAAGCAUUAAAUUAAGUGACAAGUGUCACUUGGCUAUUGGGUGGACCAUUUGACUACUAUUCCAUGUCUUACCAAUUGACUUAAAUAACUAAAAAUUCACCAAAAUUCCUCAUUUUUGUAUUCCUCUUGGACGACUUCUUCAAGGCAAGAAAAGAAAGAAAACUCUUCAAUUUUUGGCUUCAAUCUUGCUCAAGUUCAACAAUCUAACCAUUUAAUCUUGCAAUCUCUCCAUAAAACCUCUUCACUUAGUGUUUGUGAGUUGAUUUGUGGAGUUAUUUGGAAAGCUAAGAGAACCUAUUGCCCCCUCUCUCUUGUUUCUAAGGUGAGUUGUGAAGAACCACCCUCCUCCCUUAAUUGAUGCUUAAAUCAUGAUUAGUGGUAGUAUGAGAUGCAAGUUUAUGGAUUAUUUCUUGAUUUGUGGUUGAAGUGAUGAAGUUUUAUAAUUUUUGGGGAUUUUUCUGUUUUAAUAUGAACAUGACUGUGUGGCUAUCUAUGAUGAUUGGAAAUGGUAUAUAAUGACUCUAGGAGGUGGGAAAAGUGGUUAAUUGCAACCAAUUUCUGUUUUGGAAGAAAUUUUGGAAAGUUAGGGUUAUGAUGAAUACAUUCUGCCCGAAUUUAUAGAUCCUAUUUAGAGGCAGAAUUGGCCUUGGAUUAAAACAUGAAAGUUGUAGGGAAUGCCAUUUUAGAGGUGCCUACAAAAUUUCAGGUCAAUCGGAGUAGCGUAGAAUGAGAAAAUUCGAAAUUACCCUUGCUGUCCUGGUUUUACCCGAAUGUAAGAAUUGCGCCUGUAAUUGGUUGUUUUGGCUGGAAUUGCUUCCCAAUUGGUUGUUAAGGUCUUCUGAUGAAAUGUAGUCCUGUUUCUUAGCUUUCCGUUGGUUUUGGAAUUUAUGGAUUUGGACUUAGGUAACCUGAUUUAUGAUGUUUCCGCUAGAAUACGUUCUGUGAAUCUGUUUUUGUGAUUCUGGUGUAGUAUCUUGCAUUUUUGACCUGGUUACACUCGAAAAUGGGUUGAGUGACCUUCUGUAAUAUUGUAGCCCUAUCUCUUAGCUUCGAAACGGUGUAUCUUGUACCUUCAUCCGACAAUCGUAGCGCCUUUGGUGCCAUUACCGCAAAAUGACGUCAAAAACUGUUUUUUUCAGGGUUAAAGCUAAAUCAUUUCCGGAUUUUUCCUGGUUUACUCUAGUGCUUAUACAUUCUUAUGGAGCCUUAUUUUGGUGGUAUUUGGAAUUGGUUUAUGACUUGUAAUCGAGUCUUAUUGUGGAUGCAGAAAAUAGAUGUGACAGCCCCACCUCACCCUAAGGCGAACCAAAGGGUUCGGCGGACCGCCUGCCCAGCUCUCGCCGGACUAACGGGAUCGGAAUAGAGCGAGCUAAAAACAUUCGGAAACUUACCAACGCGGUAAACAUAUCAAAAUGUCAAAAUAACAAAAAACGAAACCGAAGUCGGCUAUGAUAGUAACCGACCGUCAGAACCCAUCCAAAUAUCAAGCAAACAUUCACAUCUCAGAAUUUAGCAUUACAACCCAAAGGGCACACCAAAGUGAUUCAAAAAUGGAUACAUGUAUGGUUUGGCCAAAUCCAAUAGAGAAACGGACCCAAAAGUACAUUUAGGAUUUAAAUCAAUGAGCUAUACAAAGAUAUGUCCAACUAGCUCAAUUCGGCAACCGAUUAUCAAAUCCAGUCCAAAAGUAUUUAUUUUCCUGUAAGGAAAACAAAAGGAACAGAAAGGGGUGAGCUUGCGCUCAAUGAGGUCCCAAACAUAUAGCAGUAAAAUCAUGGCCUUUCACAUUUCACAAAUCAGGUACACAUGCCAGAUGUAAAGUAAAGGAACCAAUGAUUCAAAUCAAAAGGAUACAGGUAGCUCUCAGGAGCCAACUUUCCAGCGCAGUACUUGAUCCAAGCCGAUUGACUCUCCGUCAACGUAUAUAGAACCAACGUCCGUAGACCCGUCUUUACACCGAAUCCCGUUCACCAAACACCCCUUUACCGGGCCCGCUCACCGCAAACGAACAGAAAUGGUAAUACUCGAGUAUACCCGGAAUCAAGGGUCUCAAUACCCAAAGAUCCCAAAACAGACUACCGUGGUUCGUUAUCUAAUCGCCCAGGCCCUUGCCGGCCCGACUCGAAUAACUUAGCCACAGGAUUGAGCUCAUAGGUCAUAGAUAUCCGAACAGAUGCAGACACAGAUAACAGAUUCAAAUUUUGCAUAGUAAAUUGGCAUAUGAACAGAUAAGAGAACGAGUGUGAUAAAGUACACCCUCGUCUCAAACAAAUUAAACAGAUUGCAGAGCAGAAAUCAAGUUAAACAGCAAUGGAGGGGAGUGGUACACUCACCGGCUCAACUUCAAAAGUUUUCACUUCAGAUUGGCCUUAAUCGCCAAGUAACCCUAAAAUAAUCAAAAUAAACCAAUUGAAGGUUUCAUAUCCAAAUCGAGCAAACGGAAUGCACAAGUGAGGCUCGACUACACGUCGUAUGCCUUGCCAAAUAAAUACUAAUGCAAGGGUGCAAAAACAUGAUUUUCUUGGAAACAAAAAGAUAACAUGAAGACCUAGGCGCAAACAACCCAAAAGCCUUUCAUUUUUACCAAAAGGCAAAUCCAACUUAAAGGAACCAAACGGCCUAGAAAAUCCGGCAGAACUUCCCCUAAAUUUCUUACUUUUCCAGCCCUUAAGGCUUCACUAUUACCUCAAAUCAGUCCCAACAUCUCACACAAAAGUCAUCUCAUUUCCCAAAAGCCGUUCACUAGGCUCAAAGUAGUACAAGUACAAAAGUUAGCUAGGAAAUGAUCGGAAUGAAAACAAGCCUUAAAACUAUUCAAAUAAACACAAUAAGAUUCGUUUACAAGUCAUAAACCAAGGCCAAGUACUACCAAAAUAAGGUUCCAUAAGAAUAUAUAAGCAUUAAAGGAAACCAGAAAAAUCCGGAAAUGGAAAUAAGCUUUAACCCAAGAAAACAGUUUUUGACGUCAUUUUGCGGUUUUGGCACCAAAGACACUACGAUUGUCGGAUGAGGGUACAAGACCCACCAUUUCGAAGCUAAAAUACAGGGAUACAACAUCACAGAAGGUCACUCAGCCCAGUUUUGAGUGCAAACAGGUCAAAAAUACAAGAUACUUCAUCAACAACGUAAAACAGAUUUACCAAAACGCAUUCAAGCGGAAACAUCAUAACUCAGGCUCUACAAGUCCAAAUCCAUAAAUUCCAAAACCAGUUGAAAUCUAAGAAACAGGGCUAAAUUUCAUCAGAAGACCUAAACAACCAAUUCGGAAGCAAUUCCAGCCAAAACAACCAAUUACAGUCGCAAAUCCCAAUUUCGGGUAAACCAGAACAGCAAUAGUAAUUUCAACUUUUCUCACUCUACACAACUCCGAUUGACCUGAAAUUUUGUAGGCACCUCUAAAAUGUCAUUCUAUACAACUUUCAUGUUUUGAGCUAAGGCCAAUUCGGCCUCUAUCUAGGACCUAAAAAUUCGGACAGAAUGUUCAUCACAAAACCCUCACUUUUCAAUUUUUGGUCCAAAACAGAAAUUGGUUGCAAUUAAUCACUUUUCCCACCUCAUAGAGUCCUUAAACAUCAUUUCCAUUCAUCAAACAUAGCCACACAAUCAUGCUUAUAUUAAAACAGAAAAUUCUCCAAAAAUAAUAAAACUUCAUUAUUUCAACCACAAAUCAAGAAUUAAUCCAUAAACUUGCAUCUUAUACUACCACUAAGCAUGAUUUAAGCAUCAAUUAAAGGAGGAGGGUGGUUCUUCACAACUUACCUAAAGAACAAGAGAGAGAGAGCUAUGGGUCACCUUAACCUUCCAAAUAACUUCACCAAUCACCUCACUAACACUAAUAGAAGGAGUUUUAUGGAACAAAUGCAAGAUUAAACGGUUGAUCUUGAAGAUUGAGCAAGAUUAGAACCAAGAAAGUUGAGAGAGUUUUCUUCUUUUGCUUGAGAGAGAGCCGGCUUCAAGCUUGCAAAUUUGAGGAUUUUUUGGUCAAUUUUUGCUUAAAUUGGUAAAGGCAUGAUAGUGGUCAAAUGGCAAGACUAAAUCUUAUGGUGACACUUGUCACCUUUUAAUGCAAGUCUAUCACUUUGUUCCCUCUCACAUCAAUCCAAAUAGCUUCCUCUAAUUAUCUCUUAACACCCGAUAAAAUAAUUCCAGUAUUCAAAACAUAAUCUAGUUGGCCGAAUUUUUCCGAACUUUUCGCACUAGUGGGUCCCACGUCCGGUAUACGCUCUUAAUUUCUCAAAAUCUAUUCGAUACUAGAAAAAUUAUCUAAAAACUAUAUUUACUCGUAAAAUUUAUCUAGAAAAUUUUCCGGAUACAGAAAGUGCAGAAAACAAGCAUGAAAAAUGCGAAAACCAAGAAAAUGCAAAUUACGGGUUCUCACAAUAGAUGAAGAGGAAAGUGCAAAAUUGGAAAUAAGAAGGUUAGUUGCUCUCUUGGCCAAGAAACUCUAGGGUGGCGACACUUGUCGCCACCACCACCUUUCAUUUUUCUCUUUCCUUUCCUUGUUAUUUUUAACCUCUAUUUUCGGUCAAAGCAGCUGACAAUUAAGAGGAUAUUUUGCUCCAAUAUCAAUAAGCUUGUAUGGUAAGAAAGUGGUGGUCAAGUGGUGCAUUCAAUCGGUAGUGCGCGGGACCCGCCGGUUCGCGCCGUUUUUCUUAAAAACACACGUACUAGGGUUUUUACUUCCUAUUCACUAACCUUGUAUCAUUGCUUCUAAUCACAUAUUAUUUCUUACUUAAAAAGUCAUUUUUAAUCACCAAAUUUGAUCCUUGCUCCAUACCGAAAUUUCAUCCGGCGAAAAAUCGCGAAAACCCUAAUACUCCAAUCUUGAAAAUGAAGAGUGAAACCCUACUUUCUAGGUUUAUUUACACUUAUUGUGGAGUACUUGAGUAGGAGGAUCAUAUUAAAUAAAUAAUUUCCAAAUAAAAGGAAUUUUAAUAAAAGUGUGAUGAAUUUUACAAUUCCAUAGAAUAAAAUUAGGGUUUUGAGUCAAAUAUGAGAGAUUUAAACAUAGUCACAAGUAAACUAGGGUUUUUUGAUUAAAAUUUUAGGGUUUCUAGUCUUUUAAAACAAAAUAAGAUUUUAAGUCAAACCCAAAGAAACUUUAGUAUCUUCCCUGAAACAAAAUAAUAUUUUAAAAUAAAAGAACUAAAGAAACCAUAAAACAAUAGCUUCUUAAAAGUUGGGGUGUCACAUCAGAACUCUCCCUCAAUCCGACAUGCUGUUUUUUCCAUUCAUUCCCUUUCAGGAUCAGUCGUGGUCUUUCAAACUUUACCGAUGAUGUAUAGAUGAAUCCCCUGCUUCAUCUAAAUGUGUAAAAGAUACUAGCCGCAUUUAAAAGCCGAGUACUCUACCGUUGAGUUAGCAACCCGAAGAAUAAAUUAAAAUUCAAAAAAAUAAAAAAGAAAUUCAAAAAAAUCUAUAAAAUAUAAUAUAUUAAGUGUAAAAACAAAUUCAACAAAGACAUUAGACAAGGCAAUCAAAGUGUUGAGCUAACAAAUAAAAAAAGAUUUUCUAAUGCAUUCAAAACAAAAACAUAAAAAUGAAAUGAAUAGAGGCAGAUGAAAAUACAAGAAAUUCUCAGAAAGAUUUCGAUAAAAAUAAAAAAAAUAGAUAAAUAUCAAAAUUUAUAAACCGACCCCCCUUAAUUUACUUUUUCAUUUACUUUUUCAAUCAAUCAAAAAACCUUGCAUAUAAUAGAACCCACGGUUUGAAAGUAAAAAAAACAAACCUAGGGCACGAAACUAAAUAGAUCCACUUGACUUAUCACAAUGAAUUAUAUUUGUUCGAUACACUGUUGUCAAUAGAAAUGUUGCGAAAAGAAUAUAUGGAAAAAAAUACAAUAAAUUCAAUUGACAGUUAAAAUACAAACUGAUCAAAUCGUUGGAUUGACACUGCAUAUCUAAAUAAUUCUAUUCUACACGUGUAGAUGAGAAAAUAAAUAAGGACGUGGUGAAAAAGUCCCUGAUUUAUUUAAUCCACACCAAUAAAAAUGUAUUCAAUAAAAAAUAAAAUAAGUAGAAUAAGCAAACUUACCUCGAUUCCCUCUUUCUUUUUUAUAAGACUUUGUCGCAUAGAAUAUGAGAAAACAAUGAAAAAAUAGAUACUAAUAGGGCGGGAAGGGGGGGUAGUGACUUUUCUAUAAUUUUAUAGAAUCUUCUCUAUUCUUUUUAUAUACCCCCUUUUUUGCAUUUCUUUCCUUAAUUGAACUUCAUUUGAUUAGGGCGAAGUUCCUUAAAAACCCCCACCUUUUUAAAAAUAUCUUGAACAGUUCCUAUAGGUUGAGCACCCUGUUCAAGGAAAUAUAGAAUAGCAGUAACGUUUAAAUAAGUUUGAUUCUUUAUCGGAUCAUAAAAACCCACUUUCUGCAGAUCUUUUCCUUCUCUUCGGGAUCGAACAUCAAUUGCAACGAUUCGAA
rnacentral:lncRNA from 1 species